rnacentral:lncRNA from 1 species
AUCAUCUGACUCAGCACCAUCUUCCUCAUGAACUUCAUCCUCACUAUCCGGAAUCAAAUUCAGAUAGAUAACAGAAAUCCCGGGCCUAUCUUUUCUGAAGGAGAAGCUGAUCAAUUCACCCCCACUAAGACGGUUGUGGGCGAUGAAACGAUCCCAAUCAUCUCCUCCUAUCUGGGUUAUCUUUCGCCCCUUCUCGACUUGCAUAGUGUAUGGGCCCCCAAGAGCAUCGAAGGUCACGGUGUCUGCGACGAGCUCAUUGAAUGCCAAUCUCACAUUGCAUGGUACGAUCUAUGUAAGAUAAAAACAAAUAACAGACACAAUACAUUAGUGGAAAUAGCAAAAAAACAAAAAGAAUGUACUGUCAGAAGGUUCAUAUAAAUUGUUACCGCUGUAAAAACAAAAGAAGGCUGGAAGUAGAUGCUGAACAGCGUGGCAGUAGAAAGGCUGGUCCGGCACCGUGAGUUGCAGCGUCCACAUUGUGCUUCCUCCAUUCUACACAGAACGUGUUGAACUCUAAGUUGAAUUGUACAUAGUACAAUACAAAGAUCAUACAUAUAAUAAAUCACAGUGAUAACCUAUACUGGCAAUGGCCAAUCAAUCUAUUUUCUAUCAUCUACGUAAUAAAGCAAUGGCAAUGACAAUUCAUCUAAACCUGGGAAUAGUUCGGCAUCCAAACUAAAACCAGUCCAAUCCACAGCACACAUCAAAACCAAACCAAUCCAGAUAUUUUCAUUUAGAAUCUAGACCAAACCGAACUAUACAUGCUCGUCAUCCAACCCAGUCCAAACCGUUUUCAACUUUUGGAUUGAAUCCAAAGGUUCAAACCGUGGACAAAGCCAUACACGAGGGCACGUCAUGAAUCUAGAUCAGACAUGGCGUCAAAGCUCGAGAGAGGCGACGAGCUCCGGCCAGCAACAGCGGGAUUUGAAGCAGUAGUAGGUGGUAGUGGUGGCUCAAACUAAUUGAUUGAUUUGGUCUCAAACCAUAGAAACCAAAUCAAGAUCCAAUCCAAAAACUAAGUUUCAGUCCAAAACCAAUCGGCUCAAAUCCGCCUCCGUAGGGAGACGCGGUUGGGGAAGGGAAUAAGAGGGGAGAUCUCACGUACUUGCCGGAGUUGGCGGCGGCCGCGCACCGGCAGCAAAGAGAGGGGUCGUCGAGAGAUGGCGGCGACGGCGGCGGCGCUGGUCGAGAAGGGGAGAAAGAAAAAUGUGGAGUGGUCGAGACGGGGAGAAAGAAAAAUGUGGUACAUGUGGUGGCUCGGUUGUGUGGAUGACAAGGGGACCCACUUGUGAGACCGAUAGCAAUUGAUGGCUAACCGCAGGAGGUGCAGGACCGCGUGCACGACCGCCACGUCCCCACGUGGAAUGGGGACGGCCGGGUGGGUGUGUCAAGUCAAAUUGGCACCCGCGGCUUCUCGGUAACUCCAAGAGGCAGGAGCAGUGCAUUUCUUCCCCAUAUCGGGUAGAAAACCCUCGUCCUCUCCCCACCCUCUCUUCCUUCGUCACCACCUCACCACCCUCUCCUCCUUCCUCACCACCCUCCUCCCUUCCUACGCCUCCCUCCUCCUGUCUUCGACCGACAAUGAAGCGCGGGCGUGAAGAUGCGGCGGACGAGCCGGAGGCAACCAUCGGAGCAGAGCAGUCUGCUGCCGUGGAUGCAGCCGUGGGUGGAGCGGCUGAGUCCGCCGUAGCGGCGGAAGCUGGCGGUGCAGCGACCGUUGUGCCUGCUCCCGCUGCCAUCGCAGCUGUCGAGGCACCCGUCGGCGAGCACAAGGUCGGGGAAGAUCUGGAGGAGGAGGAGAUGAGAAGGCAUAAGCGGAAGGUGCAUGACUGAAAGUGCAACUAUCCCUAGGUGGUUUUGGUAAUUCAUAACAACAUAUAGCUCAUUGAGCUAAUGCUAUUUCAAGAUGAUUAUUUCAGGAAAGCUCAAUGAUUGGCAUGGCAUGGAUGUGAAAGUGGAAUCCUCAAAAUGCGAAGGAAAAAGAAUUGGCUCAAGCUCAAAAGUUCAAGACUCUUCAUUUUAUAUUUUAGUGAUCCAAGAUCACAUUGAGUCUUUAGGAAAAGCCAAUACUAUUAAGGAGGGAUGAGGUGUUGCUUAAUGAGCCUCUUGCUCUAUGUGCUUAGUGAUAUGCUCCAAAAUCCUCAACCACUUUUCCAUAUCCACAAAUGACCUAAACCCUAAGCCAAACUCGGUCUUACCGAUUCUGUCAAUCCGGCGCCACCGAGUUUCACUUGUCAUUUGAGACUGCCAAACCCUAGCAAUUCGGUCCUACCGAUAAGGUUCUCGGUCUCACCGAGAUGGGCUUGCAAACUCUCUGUUUCCCUUUCGUAACUUUUUGGUCUCACCGAAAGAGCGAAUCGGUCCCACCGAGAAUGCAAGGUAAACUCUAUGUUUCCUUCUUGUAACGUUUCGGUCUCACCGAAAGAGCAAGUCGGUCCCACCGAUUUUGCCUGACCAACUCUCUGGAUAGCUAAUUGCCGAACUUGGUCUCACCGAGAUUACGUUAUGCCCAAACCCUAACCGAAUCGGUCCUACCGAGUUGCAUCUCAGUCCCACCGAAAUUCCUAAUGGUCACUAGGUUUACCAUUUCGGUCCGACCGAGUUUGAUUAUUUGGUCCCACCGAGAUUGGAAAACUGUGUGUAACGGUUGGAUUUUGUGUGGAGGCUAUAUAUACCCCUCCACCACCUCUUCAUUCGAAGAGAGAGCAAGCAAAACACAUACAUCAUUCCUACUCAUAUGUUCUGAGAAAGAACCACCUACUCAUGUGUUGAGACAAAGAUAUUCCAUUCCUACCUUAUGAAUCUUGAUCUCUAGCCUUUCCCAAGUUGCUUUCCACUCAAAUCUUCUUUCCACCAGAUCCAAAUCCUAUGAGAGAGAGUUGAGUGUUGGGGAGACUAUCAUUUGAAGCACAAGAGCAAGGAGUUCAUCAUCAACACACCAUUUGUUACUUCUUGGAGAGUGGUGUCUCCUAGAUUGGCUAGGUGUCACUUGGGAGCCUCCGACAAGAUUGUGGAGUUGAACCAAGGUGUUUGUAAGGGCAAGGAGAUCGCCUACUUCGUGAAGAUCUACUGCUAGUGAGGCAAGUCCUUCGUGGGCGAUGGCCAUGGUGGAAUAGACAAGGUUGCUUCUUCAUGGACCCUUCGUGGGUGGAGCCCUCCGUGGACUCGCGCAACCGUUACCCUCCGUGGGUUGAAGUCUCCAUCAACGUGGAUGUAGGAUAGCACCACCUAUCCGAACCACGGGAAAACAUCCAUGUCUCCAAUUGCGUUUGAAUCCUCCAAACCCUUACCUUUACAUUCUUGCAAGUUGCAUGCUUUACUUUCCACUGCCAAUAAACUCUUUGCAUGCUUGCUUGAAUUGUGUGAUGAUUGCUUGACUUGCUCUAAGAUAGCUAAAAUCUGCCAAGAACUAAAAUUGGGAAAAGGCUAAGUUUUUAAUUAGUCAAGUAGUCUAAUCACCCCCCCUCUAGACAUACUUUCAAUCCUACAAGUGGUAUCAGAGCUUUGGUCUCCAUUUGGCUUGAUCUUCAUAGCUUUUGGUGGUCAUAGCCUUGGUUUCACAACCUAGGAGAGUAUGGCAUCUAGCGAGGGAAAUUAUCACCGUAGAGGUCCUUACUUUGAUGGCACUAAUUUUGCUAGUUGGAAGCAUAAAAUGAAAAUGCAUAUUCUUGGACAUAACCCCGCCGUAUGGGCUAUUGUUUGUGUUGGCUUGCAAGGUGAGUUCUUCGAUGGGAGGGAACCAAACCGUGAAGCUACCGCGGAUGAGUUGAAGAUGUUGCAAUACAAUGCUCAAGCUUGUGAUAUUCUCUUCAACGGAUUGUGCCCCGAAGAAUUCAACAAAAUCAGCGGCCUUGAGAAUGCAAAGGAGAUUUGGGAUACUUUGAUUGAUAUGCACGAAGGUACCGACUCCGUCAAGGAAUCCAAGUUGGAUGUGCUCCAAAGUCAACUUGACAAGUUCAAGAUGAAGGAUGGUGAAGGUGUCGCUGAAAUGUACUCCAGGCUUGCUCUCAUCACAAAUGAGAUUGCCGGCUUAGGAAGUGAAGAGAUGACCGAUAGAUUCAUCAUCAAGAAGAUCCUAAGAGCCUUGGAUGGGAAAUAUGAUACCGUGUGCACAUUAAUCCAAAUGAUGCCCAACUACAAAAUCUCAAGCCAACGGAAGUAAUUGGAAGGAUUGUUGCUCAUGAGAUGUCACUCAAGGAUAAAGAGGAACUUCACAAUAAAUCAAGUGGUGCCUACAAAGCGUCAUGUGAAGCCCCCGCAUCAUCAAGUGAGAAACAAAACUUCAAUGAAGAAUUGAGCUUAAUGGUGAAGAACUUCAACAAGUUCUACAAGAGUAGAAGCAAAGAUAGAAGCUUCAAGUCAAGGUCCUACAAUGACAAAAGAUCUUCUAGUCGAGAGCGAAACUGCUAUAAUUGUGGAAGACCCGGACACUAUUCCAAUGAGUGUACGACUCCCUACAAGAGAAGAGAAGAUUCUCCAAAAAGAAGAAGCAAAGAAUCUCCACCAAGAGAGAGAAGGAGUAGAGAUGAUCGUUAUGAACGAAGAUACUCACGGAGAAGCAAGGACUCGGAAAGGAAGGAAAAAUCAUCAAGGAGCUAUACAAAACAAAGACAUCAAGCUCAUGUUGAUGAAUGGGUAUCCGGCUUCGACUCCGACAGCCACUCAGAGAGAAGUUAUCACUCCGACUCCGAAGAUACUCAAGAUGAAGGUGUUGCCGGUCUAGCACUUGUGUCAACCAACUCCUACGACAUAUUUGACUCCCCAAAUGAAGGAAUUGGAAGAUGCUUCAUGGCUAAAGGUCCUAAGGUAACACACCCCGAGUACGUUGAUUUUAAUAGUGAUGAAGAUGACUUGUUAGGUAAUGAUGAUUUGCUUGUUGACAACUCUAGUGAUGAGUACUAUGAUGAAACAUCAAUUAAUCAUGCUAAAACGAAUGACAAUGAUAAGGAGAAGAUUGAGGCUCUAACUAAAGAACUAAACACUCUUAAGUUAGCUCAUGAAACUAUCUUCGAAGAUCAUCGAGAACUUUUAAGAGCUCAUGAGAAAUUACGCUUUGAAAAGCUCAAUCUUGAGCAAGAGCAUGAGUUCUUAAAAGCAAUCAACGAUGAUCUCCGCAAGAAUAGUUCUUCUUACAUUGCCAAGCGUUUACUAUUAUCCACUUACAUGCCUCAAGUCAAGACUAGUAACAAGAAUAAGAAAGAUUCUUCCUCUAGUAGUGACAAUGAUCAUGCUAAAUCCAAUAUUGUUGCUUCUAGUAGUUCUCUUGAUUCCACUAAUGAUUCUCUUAGCCAAGUUACACUUGAGCAAGAAAAUAGCUUAUUGAAGGGAAUUAUAGAGAAAGGUGUUUACAAGAGCCUUGCCGGAAGUAAGCAAUUCGAGGAAAUUGUGCACAAGCAAGGAAUGCACCGGAAGAAUCAAGGUGUUGGUUUUGAACGAAAGUUCAAUGCCAAUGGAGUUGAAUGGGAAGAAGAUCAAUACCCCAAGACAAAGUUUGUUCCUCAACAAGAGAAGUAUGACACUUCUUUCAAGGGGACACAAGCUCAAGAUGAUCUUCCACCACAAGACUACAAGCAAAAAGGCAAGGACAAGCUUCAAGAGGAGAUUGAUGCAUUUGAAGAAGCUCCCAAGACCUUAGUCAAGUGGAUUCCCAAGACUACUUCAAGUUCCACUACACCAAGUACGACUACAACUCCAAGGAUUCCCAUCAAGAUGGUGUGGAUCCAAAAGAAGAAGAACUAGAGAGUUCUUGAGGGUGACUCCGCCAACAUAAUUCACUCUUAUCAUUUUGGCAAGAACAAGUGCAAUCAACUUCCACAUCUUGCACUAGUUCAAGGAGUUACAAACCCUCUUGUUGGUAAGACAAGGGACAAGGUAACCUAAAGUUUUCAUGGACAUCAUCUUGUGUGUGCAUCACUCUAUGUCUAUGGAUAUCCUUGUUUGUUCCUUGUGGGACUAACCCAUGUAGGUAUUGAAAGUGCAAUUCACUCAAAUGGAUAGCUCCAAGUGAUCUACAUCAACAUUGAGCAUCCACAUCUUCAACAUCUACAUGAAGUCAUCAUCGACAAAACCCAAGGUUAGUUCAUCCCUCUUAGGGGGGAUAUCACAUCUAGGGGGAGCUUUACUCUAAGACUUGAGCUAAAGCAACUCUAAAGAUGUGAAUACAACAAUGCUUUAUGUAAAAGUGGUAACCCCACUUGAGCUUAAACGAUGGGUAUGACCUAUGAUCAAGUGUUCUCACUUGACUCCUAAGUCAAUAUGCUCAUAUAUAGAUGACCUAGUCAUCGCAAAUUGCUUUAUAGAUGCUAGAAUUGGUUGUGCAUGCUUUGCCACAUAUUUCAUUUGCCAUCUUAUUGUGUGAGCAUGUUGGUUGCAUAUUUUACUCAUUCGAGGACAUCCACUUGUUGUUUUGAUUGUUUGGCUUUCUUUUUUUGCCAAGUGGAUGGACAAGAAUGCCUAAGAACCUCCUCUAGCUAUCUAUGCUUUUCUCGUCUCAAACUCUAUUCAUGCUGCAUCACAAAACUUGAUCAAGUCAGAUUCGAACCACUCUGUGUGAGGAGCGCUCGGAGUCCCCGAUUCGUCAUAGACUUAAACUUCCAAAACCUCUUUAUGAAUCUCGGUCUGACCGAUACUCCAUUUUCGGUCCUACCGAGUUCAUUAAGUUGAUCUAGGUUUUCGAUCUCGGUGCAACCGAUUUGAACUUUUCGGUCACACCGAGUUGCAAUAACUGCACACAGUUUUGCAUCUCGGUGCCACCGAGUUGUUCCACUCGGUCACACCGACAGGGUCGGGCUAUAUAUAGUGACGGGAAAUUUUUUGGAAAUUUCUCCGAAACCCCUUCGCCCGCGCGAUAGCCUGCUCUGCCUUCGUGGUCUCCGGAUCGUCUUCUCGUCGCCAGCAGCCUCCAGUCACUGGUCUCCGCCGCCGUCAACGGAUUUCUGCCCCGCCGUUGCCGCCGUAGCGAGUCUCCGCCGAACUAGGGGUCAGCAGUCAGUUUGCAACAUGUCUGAUCAAAGUGACAGCCAGAAUGUGUCUGAGCAGCAAGUUGUGAUGAGUGAGGGCACUAGCCCCUCAAGCUCUUCUGAUGAUGGCAGCAGGAGCACCCCCAGCAAUCUGCCCAAGGCCGCCACACGUCAAAGGAAGAAGAGAACGUCUGAUUCUGAGGAUGAAGACUAUGUGGCAGAGGAAGAGGCCACAUCAAAGAGAGCUGAACCAGCUCAAGGAACCAAGCCAGGGCUGAAGAUCAAAAGGCCAACAGGCAGGCAGCCCAUGUCAAAGGCUAGGGCUUCAACUGUGAAGCCUGCUCCCACUGAGCCCGUUGCUGCUGAGGGCAAGAAAAGGAAAGAAAGGGUGAAAAAGACUGUAGCCAGAGUGCUUGGAAAGGCCUCCAUCAUGGUCGAUGAGGAGGAAGAAGAAGAGGUUGCUGCACUAGCACCCAAGGCAGCCAAACUCAUGGGAGAUGCUAUAAGGUCAGGAACAGCUGCAUCCAAGCCCAAGGAUGCACCUAAGGCUGCAACUAAGCCUAAGAGUGCACCCAAGAGAAACACACGAAGCAUCCCAGCUGCAGAAAAGAACAAGGCCCCAACGCCUGAAGCUAUUGAAGAAGAGGAAGAGAGUGUCCUUAGGAAGAUCAAGCCUGAGCGUCGACUUAGCACUAUGCAUUUUCUAGGAACUUUUUGGUAACUUGUUGCCAAAGGGGGAGAAGAUGUAUAGAUCAUAGGCUUCGAGAGAGAGUGUGUUGCUUUUCUCUCUUGUUUUUAUUUGGUGGUUUUUCGAACUUUGUUUGCUUGUGUGUGAGAUACUAUGUCGUUAUUCGUGAGACAUCGAUGAUCAUGUGUUUGAUCAUAAGCUACACUUAAUGUUUGCUUAAUGCUUGCUAUAUAUUAUCAUUCCAUCUAUCGUUUGUGAUCAUUCACUAUUCUUGGUGAUGAGUGCAUGUAUUUCAAUCUUAUCAUUUUUGAGCGCUCCACCAAGAUGUAUGUGACAUGGAAGAGUAACCCAUGAUUCUAACUCCAUGUGCAUUUGCAGUCCAAAGCAAAUUUUAAAUACGCACAAAUUUAGGGGGAGCUCUUAUUUGUCACAUACUUCUGAAAGCGACGAUAUAUUUCAUGCUUAUUAUCAUUUGUCGAAGCUUUGAUCUAUAUGUUGUCAUCAAUUACCAAAAAGGGGGAGAUUGAAAGUGCAACUAUCCCUAGGUGGUUUUGGUAAUUCAUAACAACAUAUAGCUCAUUGAGCUAAUGCUAUUUCAAGAUGAUUAUUUCAGGAAAGCUCAAUGAUUGGCAUGGCAUGGAUGUGAAAGUGGAACCCUCAAAAUGCUAAGGAAAAAGAAUUGGCUCAAGCUCAAAAGUUCAAGACUCUUCAUUUUAUAUUUUAGUGAUCCAAGAUCACAUUGAGUCUUUAGGAAAAGCCAAUACUAUUAAGGAGGGAUGAGGUGUUGCUUAAUGAGCCUCUUGCUCUAUGUGCUUAGUGAUAUGCUCCAAAAUCCUCAACCACUUUUCCAUAUCCACAAAUGACCUAAACCCUAAGCCAAACUCGGUCUUACCGAUUCUGUCAAUCCGGCGCCACCGAGUUUCACUUGUCAUUUGCCACUGCCAAACCCUAGCAAUUCAGUCCUACCGAUAAGGUUCUCGGUCUCACCGAGAUGGGCUUGCAAACUCUCUGUUUCCCUUUUGUAACUUUUCGGUCUCACCGAAAGAGCGAAUCAGUCCCACCGAGAAUGCAAGGUAAACUCUAUGUUUCCUCUUGUAACAUUUCGGUCUCACCGAAAGAGCAAGUCGGUCCCACCGAGUUUGCCUGACCAACUCUCUCGUUAGCUAAUUGCCGAACUCGGUCUCACCGAGUUUGUGCGAUCGGUCUCACCGAGAUUACGUUAUGCCCAAACCCUAACCGAAUCGGUCCUACCGAGUUGCAUCUCAGUCCCACCGAAAUUCCUAACGGUCACUAGGUUUACCAUUUCGGUCCGACCGAGUUUGAUUAUUCGGUCCCACCGAGAUUGGAAAACUGUGUGUAACGGUUGGAUUUUGUGUGGAGGCUAUAUAUACCCCUCCACCACCUCUUCAUUCGAAGAGAGAGCAAUCAGAACACAUACAUCAUUCCUACUCAUAUGUUCUGAGAAAGAACCACCUACUCAUGUGUUGAGACCAAGAUAUUCCAUUCCUACCUUAUGAAUCUUGAUCUCUAGCCUUUCCCAAGUUGCUUUCCACUCAAAUCUUCUUUCCACCAGAUCCAAAUCCUAUGAGAGAGAGUUGAGUGUUGGGGAGACUAUCAUUUGAAGCACAAGAGCAAGGAGUUCAUCAUCAACACACCAUUUUUUACUUCUUGGAGAGUGGUGUCUCCUAGAUUGGCUAGGUGUCACUUGGGAGCCUCCGACAAGAUUGUGGAGUUGAACCAAGGUGUUUGUAAGGGCAAGGAGAUCGCCUACUUCGUGAAGAUCUACUGCUAGUGAGGCAAGUCCUUCGUGGGUGAUGGCCAUGGUGGAAUAGACAAGGUUGCUUCUUCGUGGACCCUUCGUGGGUGGAGCCCUCCGUGGACUCGCGCAACCGUUACCCUCCGUGGGUUGAAGUCUCCAUCAACGUGGAUGUAGGAUAGCACCACCUAUCCGAACCACGGGAAAACAUCCGUGUCUCCAAUUGCGUUUGAAUCCUCCAAACCCUUACCUUUACAUUCUUGCAAGUUGCAUGCUUUACUUUCCGCUGCCAAUAAACUCUUUGCAUGCUUGCUUGAAUUGUGUGAUGAUUGCUUGACUUGCUCUAAGAUAGCUAAAAUCUGCCAAGAACUAAAAUUGGGAAAAGGCUAAGUUUUUAAUUGGUCAAGUAGUCUAAUCACCCCCCCUCUAGACAUACUUUCGAUCCUACAAUGACGAAAUCGAGGAGCUCUUCGAGGAGAACGCCAUAAAGGAGUUCGACCUAGAUAGCAGGAAGGGCAGCGACUUCGACGAGGAUGCCAUCGACGACCUAUCUGAGGUAGUACUCUGUUUUUGCUCUGUUUUUUUCAUGACAUUGGGGUUUUUCUUGUUAACUACAUGAGCAUCAAUUUCACUUGGGCGUGCUAGUUGUACGUAUGUAGGAUUGUAGGGAUCUAGCAUAGAUCUUCAUGUUGGAUGUGGUUUUUUAAAUCUGAUUGACAUUCUGAUUCCAGCAAAUACUUUGGGUUUUUUUCAUGGCAUUGGGGUUUGUCUUGUUAACUAGAUGAGCAUAAGUUCCACAAGGGAUACAUUAAUGAAAGAAGUGGGGUAAUGAACCCAACUACAAGAUAAUGUUCAUGGCAGGGAUACAUUAAUGGAAAAAGUGGGUUAAACAAUGGAUAUAUGGCAGGAUUCUCCAUUGGCUUCCCCAGGACAGUGACAAAAUGCUGCAGUUCCUGAUUCAUUUUAGUUUAUGUAGAUGAAUUAAUUUGCACACAUGUUCAUAGAUGAUUAGUUUGCACACAUGUUCAUAGAUGAUCCAUUUGCAAAUUCUAUACAGCUUUCCAUUUUGCAAAGGAAGUGAUCGCUCCCUUAAUAAUUAUGGGCUGACAGUACAUAUCCACUGGAUACCAAAAAAUCAAAACAUUUCAUCUAGCCAAUUUUCCACAGUAUGUUAUCUAGAUGAUCACAGCCACAUCUCUCAUCAAUAUGAGCAGUGAGACACCCCAUAGCUCCUUUACCAAUUUCCUUCUGAAACUUAUCAGGGUCUAACAAUGUUGGACAAGCAGUAUUGCCGGUGUCAGAAAGAAUAAUGGUUUCUUCAUUCCAGUAGAUAGAACAAACCCCCCUUGUGUGAAACAUGGAGGAGUACAAUGAAGCCAUUUUUCUGAUUCCAAUAAGAAUUACACCUGUAACAAGUAUCAAAUAUCAUUAAACCAAGCCACUUCAUGAAGUCUUUCAUGUGUUAAUUAUGUACUACUUGUGCACUAAUCUAUAAAUGCAACUAUUCCACCAUCCGUAUUUAUGCAUGUCAGUUUCUUUGGCUCAAUUAUGUAUGUGCACAUACGCCUUGUUUCUAGCAAAUAGAUAGUUGCCAUGUUACACGUGUGUACUUUCAAAACAUUGUAAUUAAAGUCAAUGUACCAUAAUGGAUUAGCUGAGUUCUUCUAUGUGUACUAAUUCACUAAUUCACAGGAGGAUGACGACGAUGUGGACUACUGCAUGGACAGCAGGCACAACAAGAGCCGGUACACCCUGAGGCAUCUGAUUGCUGGGAAGAUCAAGUACCGUUUCUUUGGCAAGAUUGGGUGCCCUUUCUGUUGCAAGGUGAUCGGUGGCGGCAUAGAUGGCAUGAUCCAGCAUGCCUUCAGCACUGGCAAUGGACAUGGUAAGAAGCAUAAAGCCAGUACUUUGGCUAAACAUGCUGCCUACGCACGCUUCCUCGAGAUUGUGAAAGUCAAUGAGCCCUACAACAUGCAUUGAACAAGGGAGAGAAGUGAUGUGCUGCUAGAGUGCUGCUGCUGCCCCAGGACCCCCGUGUCCUGUUAUGUUAUGUAUGUUUGUUUGUUGUUGGAGUCUAAAACUGAUGUCCUAUGGUGUGUCUGAACCUAUGCUGAGCGGUGGUUGAUCUGCCGUUUAUGUUAAGAGUUUGCUGCUACUCUAGUUUAGUGUUCCUAGUUGUUAAUACUAUUUUGGUGAUGCAUGUUUAAGCCUUGUACAAUGCUAGAUGCUUAGGGUGGUGCUUAGAAAAAUAAACAGGGUUUUUUUGAAGCACCAGUGCCUAUUUCUACAGGAGAGACGCCUAGUUAUGCGUCUACCCUGUACAAAUAAGCACCUGUGCUUAAGAAAAGCCUAGUUUAUUUCUAUAAGCAACUCCCCUAAGCGCCUUGCAUUGUACAAGGCCUUAGCAACUCAAGUAUCGUACGGUGGUCUACGUUAUGGUUGCUGUGUUAUUCUGCCGUACGGUGAUGCAUGCUAGGAACUGUCAUAAUAUGACUAUGGUAGUUAUAGCUUCGCAUGAUUAUGUUUAGUGUAUAACUCAGCAUGUUCCUACCAUAUCUAUGGGUAAUUACAACUGAACUAUGCAUUAAUUUUUGACAAAAUGAAAGCAUGCAAAUGAUUGCCGAUUCCACCUAUUGGAAAAUCAAGCUUUGGACUGAUGAUGCAUUAUAUAUUGCAAUAAGUAGAGGAUGCUCAUGAUUGCCAAAAGUACCUAUUUCCACUUUCUGAUAAGAACUAAACGUGUAUCAAAUGAUGCUAAAAGUAGAGCAUGAGCAUAAGCAUGUAUCAAUGCAUUAGAUAUUGCAAUAAGUAGAGGAUGCUCAUGAUUGCCAAAAGUACCUAUUUCCACUUUCUGAUAAGAACUAAACGUGUAUCAAAUGAUGCUAAAAGUAGAGCAUGAGCAUGAGCAUGUAUCAAUUGAUGCUACCUAUUUGUGUUUGAAUGGGCUCAAUAAAGCUGGUGCUGGUUUAUGCUCUCUGCGUGACCGUGAUGGUAACGAAGACACUUGGUUGGCUAUGGUCUUGCUGUCAAAUUUAAGUUUCAGUUCUUUAAGAUUCUUUGUUUUUGCUGCUUGCUCGGGAUCGACUAGCUUUCUCGGGCGUCCACGUGCUCUCUUCCUUUUGGGGGAGUUGGGUGCACCAUUUUUGGGGGAGUUGGCUGCACCGGUAUCCUUCUGGGAGUUGGAUGUGUCAGGUUCGUUGGAACCAUCGGGAUUGUUGACUAAUUGUACGUCCUCUUCUGAAGCAUCAGGUAGAACUGCUUGCUGGGCAUCGUACACCUCCUUCUGUAUAAGAGAGAGUGCUGCGUUAGUUCUAAUCAUGAGACUUAUGAAAUAAAUGAUAUAUUCUUCAUGUAGCGCUAACCGUUAUGGGGAACUUAUAUGAUUCGAGACGAAGCGCAUUGCAAUUUGAAUGCAGUAAGGCUGUACAUAUUUUCCACCUGAAAAUAUCUAUCCUUGCCUAUAUUGGAUAACCGACACUGACGUCAGCAUAGCUUUCAAGCUAAACAAAUUACAAAUUUAAAUUAGGCAUUCAAUUACCUGGUUCAAAAUAUCGGUCAUUUCAUCCCCGUUCCAUGACAACAUGUACUGCAGUGUCCAAACCGCACAGGAAGUCUUGCAAUGUUUAGUUAAAGAUCAGUAAUCUUAUUCGUGUACGCAAAUAAUAAUUUAUGAGGCCAUGCGUACCCAUCGGUCUGUUGUGGUAUGUUCUCAUAGUGUUUUUUGGUCCAUUUGGCAAAAUUGAUGUUAUUAGCUGGUGAUAUCAACCCUUUCUUGACCGCUUCGUCAAUGCAGAACUGAAUCGAGUCCACCUAGGUUACGACAAGUUAUACAUAGGGUUACGGUACUUUGGGAGCUCAUGUUCCAUGCGGAUCAAGAGAGGCAGCAAGAGAACACUUACAAGAGAAUCUUCCUUGGUCUUGUUGCAAUGAUAAUUCAUGGAGUUCAGAGUCUGAAUUUCUUUUUUGUCAAAAUUAAACAUCAUUAGCAUCCAAUGGUUUUGGUGUACAUUGAGUGGGACAUGCACCUGCAGUAAAAUUUGGGUUGGGUUGAGAACCGAAAUUUGUCGUGUACAGUGUGUACGUAAACUAUAAAAGUGUGGAAAACGUGUACCUUUCGGCGCCCUACAAAUUUUCCUGCUACACGAGCUAACCAUGAUGCUGCACGUCCAACAGGAACCACCCCCUUCAUUUGUAACAGCUUUUCGGUUUCUUGAGGGGAUAUGAUUGAGGUAGUAUCAUUCUCAAUUUGGCUAAUGAGAGCAUAUGCCAUAAUAACCUGCCAAAUUUUCAAUCAUACAAUAAUAAGACAGUUGUUGCAGUAAUGAUGUACAAUAGAGUAUAAUGGGCUUACAUCACCAUAAAUGUAUUUCUCGUCCAAAUUUCGCUUCAGAUUUUCUGCUGUGAGGGAAAUGUCUCCGAUUCUAGCUAUUUCAACAGGGUCAUAUGUUCCGCGGGUGUAAACGGCUGUCUCUAUGUCCUCAUCCGUGAACUUGUAAUCAUUACCAAAGACAGGCUUCAUCGGAGUUAAUUGUGGUUCCUCAUUGUUUUCCCUCACAUGUCUUGCACUUGGUGUACUCAAAGUCCCUGUCGUGAUUUGGCUAGCCCUAGGAGUUCCUGUCAGGGAUGAAUUGCACACAUUGACUUGAUCCUACAAUGAACAAAGGUAGUUCAUCAUUAGUUUGUUACUUUUAGAUAUUAACGUGUUGGGCCAAUUUUGAUCACCUGCACGCCUCCUUUCUGUGACACUGAUUGUCGGUUCCUUGUAAAUUCGUAUUUUAAGUCCUGUAACAAUGCAAACAAUAAUGAACAUGAAGGAACAUAUUCAUAAAAAAUACAAAAUGCACAGUAUGACAUACAUGGAGUUCCCUCCUUAAGUCUUUAAUUUCGUCCUCGGCCUUCGACAACCUAGGAUUAGUGCCAGUUUUAGUCUUCAUGUCGAUCAAGUCUUCACCUAGAGUCUGGUAUUUGACAUCAAAUCUGUGCUCAAUUUCCAUUAACUUCCUGCAUACCUUCUUUUCAUGAUCAGCAAUGCGUGCAUUCAUGACUUCAACUACCAUUUCAAUCUGUGUAAACAAAAUAAAACCCCAUUGGUAACAAUAGCUAAAUGAAUGAGGUUCCAUGACACCUAUUUGUGAUAUUGCAAAAACAAAUAGUCUUUGGAGUACAUACUUGCUGGCUACUAAAUUGCUGUCCUUGUGAUGGUGCUCGAUACGAAUCAUGUUGAUGCACAUGUUCAUCUUUUUUUCUUGGAAAAUUAUUAGAAUUAUCGGACGGUCGUUGAGGAGCACAAAUUUCCAUGACAACCUAUUUUUUUAAAAUAUAAUGAACCAUUAGUACCAAAUAAAAAAUCGAAUAUAGAAAGUUCAAUUGUAGAUAGGUACCAGCCCGUUAUGAAGACCUCCUUUCUCGUAAGCAUCGCUUCUUAAAGUAGCCAUCAUUUCGUCCCAUCGUGCGAUCAAUGGAGGGGGUCUAGAAGCAUACAUUAAUCGGCCACUACGCACGUGCUCCCAGUACCAAUACUACACAAUAAAUUAGUUCAUCACCAUACAGAUAUGCAACAGAACAAUAAUUAAAGGACAUUAAGUAGUGAUCUAUCACUAACCUAGAGCAGAAUUAGAUUUCAUUGUAGAUUUACGUGAUCUCGAUUUCUAAACUUGUGAACGGACUUGAAGAAGUGAUUAAGUGUGAAACAUCCCCAGUUAAAUUUCCGAAGGUUUUCAAGAUCUGUAACGAGGUUGAGAAAUUUCGAGUCCACAUAAUGUUGUGCUGUUGGUGCUAGAACAGUACCAAUUGCGUACAGAAUGAACCGCCUCAGGAAAUCGCCGUCUGGGGCUUUGGAAGCUCGGAUCAUUGUUUCAAGGUCAGAAAUCAAAAUUUGCCCAUUGUUUGCAUAGGCGGUAAACAAUUCUGUGUCGGUUUGCAUUUCCAGAUGUGGCUCUAUAUCCUCCCCUUCUAUCGGAAUGCCAAAUAUACCUUGCACGUCCUCUUUUGUUAUAGGAAUUGGCGUUUUACCGAUGGUAAUGGAUUGCGUGUCCAUAUCUAUGCUCUUGGCUAGUCUAACCAACAUUAUGCGCCGUAGAGUCACUUCAUGCAUCUGGGUCAGACCGCCAAGACUGGUUUCUGAUAUGAUGUACUUUCUGUGGUCUUAUGAAAACAGUUUCAUGGUUUUUCCGAACCUUGUCUGUGAGCAUACUAACUUCAUAUGACCAUGCUUUUCGGCGAGUUCCUGUUACAUGCCAUUAAAUAUUACUGAGUACACAUGAAUUAUGUGUACGAAACGAUUGUACACAAACAGUAAAUUACUUACCACAUCGGUAAUUUCGGAGAUGGGCUUUUCUCCAUUAUUAAGGUUCGUAUCUGAAACUGACAUUGCUGCCUCGUAUGCAAUGAUAAAAUCAGGCUCAAUUAAUCUGAACAAAAUUGGAAAAUCUAUAACAAAAUUAGCAGAGAAUUAAUUUUAACAAAAUUAACUGGGUCAUUUAACAUAUGAUCCACUUAUGGGUUUAAGCACAGAACCUACUUGGGUGCAAAACCUAUGAGGGUUCAACAACUAAAGCAUCGGCGAACAACGAUUAUAAAGAGUUACAAUCAGCUAAGACCUUACCUCGGAGAUGGUGCCACCGAGUAGAUGGCGGCGGUUAGUGCGUCGGAAACUAUAAGUGCCGGUAUAGCGCGGUCGACGGCGCAAAGGAAAAACGGCACGUUCACGCGAGGAGGAGGCGGCGAGAAGAACACUGACGUCCGAGCCCUUAGAUCACGUUGGCGGUGGGCGGCGAGUGGUGGUCGCCGACUCCUGUAUUCCAUGGGCGACCGGCGUCUCCGAUCUGAUCUUGCAGCGGUCGUGGGAGGUGCAGACGACCCGGGUGGUUAGAAUGCGGAGCUGUAAUCGCGGGAUUUAGGGAGGGGUGGGCCGCGUGAGUUAUGUGAGAUUUGGAUAAAUGAUAUAAAGAAAUAAGAAAAUCUUGUGAACUCGGUGUGGGGUUUAUGGGCUUUAGGGUUUAGGGGUUUAGGGUUAUUAGGGUUUAGGGAUUUAGGGGUUUAGGGUUAUCAGGGGUUAGGGUUAUCAGGGUUUAGGGUUGAGUGUUUACAUGCAAGCCCGGAAAUGCGCGUGUCAGAGAACAUACUUGCAUGUGUAUGUACUAAUGAUCCCAAACUUUCUUAAUGGCAUCCCAUGACCACAUAGAGAAUGAAUGCAUAAUGGUUUCCAUGUUGGGCAAAAUUUUGAAUGUUUUUACGGUUUAGUGGGGGGGGUGGGGUUAGGGUUAUCAGGGUUUAGGGUUUAAGGGUUCUAGGGUUGACGGAACUAUGUUUGUCUUACGGUGGACGUAGCACACACACCGGACAUUGGUGGAGCGUUGGUCUACAAUGGAUUCCCUCUGGUAGCAUCGAUCCGAUCCAUUGAAUGGCUCGGCCAACAAACUUCGUGCCACAUAGAGCAUGCAUCCAUCCACUGGACCGGAUCAAUGUUGGGUUGGUUUCAUACAGGUGAGGAAAGCAGCUAGUGCUUUCGGGGUGUUGACAUGCUAGGCCGGAAAUGCGCGUGUCAGAGAUCGUACUUGCAUGUAUAACCCCAAACUUUUUUCAUGGCAUCCCAUGACCCCAUAGAGAAUGCAUGCAUAAUGGUUUCCAUGUGGGGCAAAAAUUUGAAUGUUUUUACGGUUUAGUGGGGGGUGGUGGUUAGGGUUAUCAGGGUUUAGGUUUUAAGGGUUUUAGGGUUAACGGAACUAUGUUUUUCUUACGGUGGACUUAGCACACACACCGGACAUUGAUGGAGCGUUGGUCUACAAUGAAUUCCCUCCGGUACCAUCGAUCCGGUCCGUUGACUGGCUCGGCCGACAAACUUCGUGCCACAUAGAGCAUGCAUCCAUCCACUGGACCGGAUCGAUGUUUGCUUGGUUUCAUACAGGUGAGGAACCCAGCUAGUGCUUUCGGGGUGUUGACAUGCUAGGCUGGAAAUGUGCGUGUCAGAGAUCAUACUUGCGUGUAUAAUCCCAAAAAUCUUUCAUGGCAUCCCAUGACCACAUAGAGAAAUUUUGAAUGUUUUUACGGUUUAGUGGGGGGGAGGGGGUGGGGUUAGGGUUAUCAGGGUUUAGGGUUUACGGGCUCUAGGGUUGACGGAACUAUGUUUGUCUUACGGUGGACGUAGCACACACACCGGACAUUGGUGGAGCGUUGGUCUACAAUGGAUUCCCUCUGGUAGCAUCGAUCCGAUCCGUUGAAUGGCUCGGCCGACAAACUUCGUGCCACAUAGAGCAUGCAUCCAUCCACUGGACAGAAUCAAUGUUGGGUUGGUUUCAUACAGGUGAGGAAAGUAGCUAGUGCUUUCGGGGUGUUGACAUGCUAGGCCGGAAAUGUGCGUGUCAGAGAUCGUACUUGCAUGUAUAAUCCCAAACUUUUUUCAUGGCAUCCCAUGACCCCAUAGAGAAUGCAUGCAUAAUGCUUUCCAUGUGGGGCAAAAAUUUGAAUGUUUUUAUGGUUUAGUGGGGGGGGGGUGGUUAGGGUUAUCAGGGUUUAGGUUUUAAGGGUUUUAGGGUUAACGGAACUAUGUUUGUCUUACGGUGGACUUAGCACACACACCGGACAUUGAUGGAGCGUUGGUCUACAAUGGAUUCCCUCUGGUAGCAUCGAUCCGAUCCGUUGAAUGGCUCGGCCGACAAACUUCGUGCCACAUAGAGCAUGCAUCCAUCCACUGGACCGGAUCGAUGUUUGGUUGGUUUCAUACAUGUGAGGAACCCAGCUAGUGCUUUCGGGGUGUUGACAUGCUAGGCCGGAAAUGUGCGUGUUAGAGAUCGUACUUGUGUGUAUAAUCCCCAAAAAUCUUUCAUGGCAUCCCAUGACCACAUAGAGAAUGCAUGCAUAAUGGUUUCCAUGUGGGGCAAAAAUUUGAAUGUUUUUACGGUUUAGUGNNNNNNNNNNNNNNNNNNNNNNNNNNNNNNNNNNNNNNNNNNNNNNNNNNNNNNNNNNNNNNNNNNNNNNNNNNNNNNNNNNNNNNNNNNNNNNNNNNNNNNNNNNNNNNNNNNNNNNNNNNNNNNNNNNNNNNNNNNNNNNNNNNGGUUUUAGGGUUGACGGAGCACACACAUCGGACAUUGAUGGAGCGUUGGUCUACAAUGGAGUCCCUCCUGUAGCAUCGAUCUGGUCCGUCGACUGGCUCGGCCGACAUACUUUGUGCCACAUAGAGCAUGCAUGCAUCCACUGAACCGGAUCAAUGUUGGGUUGGUUUACAUGUACAUGUACAGGGACCCGAAAUGCGCGUGUUAGAGAUCGUACUUGCGUGUACAUGUACCAUCCUUCCAUCCACUGGCUGGGCCGACAACCUUCGUGCCACAUUGUUCACAUUGUCCAAUUAACACUUUGUAUAGAUUUUUUUCAUAAAAAAUGAACGAAAUAAUGCAACUAAUCUGAACGUAACGUUUGGCAUGUAUCAAACCAAGUUGCCACUAUUCCUCAAAAAAAGAACCCAGUUAGCCACUAAUUGCGCCAAACAUAUCUCGUAAUUACGAACGAAAAUGGGUUGACAAUUAUAUCUGGAAAUUCUUGGACUGAAUUUAUUGCUCUUCGUUUUUUAGAGAACAAUAAGUUAGAAUGGUGGGCGGCGGGUUGGCAUGGGCACGACCAUGGCUCGGGCUUGUGUCAUAUGUGGUUCGACCCGCGGUCAGUGCACAUGUUUUCGAAGCCCCGAAAAGAUCGUGCUCGUUAAAAAAAAAACUUGCAUCGACGCGCAUUACUUCAAAAUAACUAAUUAACCCUACAAUCACGGAUAUAGACCUUCCCAUUCUACCGCAUAUCUACCCUAUCCUAACCACCCCCAUCUACCUUGUUUCUCCUCACAUAGCCAUCGCCGGGAUCGCGCCAUCACUUCUCAAGCGACCACGCCGACGCCGGAUUACAAAAGGUCUCUUCCACGGCUUCUCUCAUCUUCGAUUGCAGUGAUGAUUAUUUUUUCCAUUGAUUCGACCAACAAGUAAUUUCCGAAGAGAUUAGAAAAUCCAGCUUUUACUAUGGUUGAGUAGUUCUGUUGUGAUUCGAGUACAGGAUGUCAUGCAAGAGCUUUUUGAUUGAUAGUUUGUACUAGUUGAUCGUGUGAACUUAUUAUGAAUAUUUUUUCACAGUCGUAUUGUUUCGAAUUAGUUGGAUGAGGGUGUGGAUACAGUUUUCAUACUAUGGGUAUAUGUGUUGCUGUAGGGACCAUGGUCUCAGAGGCGCAUAACAACCGUGCGGAGUACGACAAGUCUUUGCAUGAAGCGCGUCGGGAGAUCGACUUGAAGGUGCAAAAGGAUCGCGCUGAGGUAGAUAAGAAACAGAAAAAAGAACGUUCAUACGUGGACAGGAUGAUAAAGGAGGAGCGUGAGGAGUUUUCCCUUAAGAUGGCGAAGAUGCGUCUUGAGAUUGAAGAAAAGUAUAAGAGGGACUGUGAGCACAUGGAAAAAAAGUUUGUCUUAGGCUACAAGGAAAUGCAUCAAAUGUUGCAGAAGGACCGGAAGCUUGUGGACAGUAUUAUACAGACAGAGCGAGUCAGGAUGGAUGCCUAUGUGUUGCAGGCAUGUGCGGAUAUGGACAGUAAGCUGCUACAGGAGCGGUCGGACAUGGAUUAUAAGGCCAUGCUGGAGAAGGUCCGCUUGGAAGGACAUAUGUUAGAAGACCGUGCGAUCUCACGGCCACCCCGACAACAUGUCUUCAAUUAUUCUCCCCCUGUCAGUAUCUCGCACCGAUUCUAUAUAUUAAGGACCUACGUAUUCUAUGAUAUAAACAUCUUCAAUUUGUGGCAACCUUAUGUCGGCGAUUGUAUGUAGGCUAAGCAUCAUGACACGACACAGUCGCCAUUCACUCGACACAUUGCGAUAGAGUCACCCGUUCAAUGCCACAUCAGUCCACCCCAACAACAUAUCGUCAAUUCUCCCCUUGUAAGUACCCCGCAACAAUGCAUACCCAAUAUAUGGUAUGACCUUUCAAAACUUGUGUGUAAACCCACUAUCGACGUUUCAUACGCAGGAUAAGAAACCUGUGAUGGCAGAGUCCCCAGUCACACCACAUGAAGGAUACAUUCCACAUAAUAAGGUGAGAAGGUUUGAGAUGGCACAACCCCCAGUCACUCCACAUGAAGGAUACAUUCCACAAAAGCAGGUAACAACGCCGCAAUGUUGCUAUGCACAUAAAAAAUUAUGUUUGCCCCUUUACUCAUUGAAUGUAUUAACUCCGAUGUGAGAUACUAGGUGCUGGUCAUGGAAUUUUUUGUUAGUAGGGAUCAUGAGAUGUCACAUGUCCCGAGAGCAUACUUUGAUGAACACCCGGCAGAAGUCAGAAUUUUUGAACCCGCCAAAGUUACCUACGAUCUCAUUAUGAGUGAAAUGAGAGAUACUUUUGGUUGCAAACUGGGAGCAGAACUGUACUACUUCUUACCCGGGUCUGCGUGGAAGCUGCCAGAAGGAAUGUUCUUGAUUGCAGGACCAGAUGAUGUACAAAAAAUGCUUUCUGAUCUGAAUGGCAGCAAGACAUGUCACCUGUACAUUGUGUACAAUAGAACUACGGGUUGUUUUCCCGAGGAUGACGUUGAUUCCGAGGUUCAAAUUUUACAUGUUACAUGCAUCUAGUUUAUGGCUACGUCUUUUUUGAGUUCUUCCUAAUACAAUUCCUAUGGUUUUCUACAGGAAGUGAGAAUCCAAGAAAUGGAGUGUCUUGCUAGAGAGUUGGCAGAGAAAGACCAAGAACAACUUAAGUUGUAUGGUUACAUUGAUGUUAAAGAGAAAAAGAUUGAAGCACGUGGGUCGUCGCCAAGCCCGACGCAAUCUCCAACGACGCAACGCAAGAGGUCACUGGAUUUUGGUAGUGCAGAAGACAAUAUGGAGUAGGCUCAAUUGUUUUUCAACCAGUUAAAGCUUCAAACCAGGAUUAUUUAGUUGCAAACAAACAUUUUGUUUUCUGUUUCACACUAUGUUCGCAAUUAUGGUACAAUUUAUUCAUGAGACAUUUCGUUGAACAACAAUGCAUGUGUUUUAUGAUCAAUCAUACAGUUGUUUCUGAGUUGUUUUUGAGAUGGCAUUGUGUCUAAAGAAGUUUCCAUCUAUAAAACUUGCCACGCAGUCGCAUCGGAAUCGCGUAUCACGCGAGAGGCGUGCGUCGCACGGGAGAGCGUCGCACGCGAGCUUGUUUUCGGGUAGAAAUCAUAACAUAUUUCGGAUAGAUAAAGUUCACGUCCUCCACCCGCGCAUGCAAACCCACGUCGCCGCCAUUCCCAUGCACGCAUGCCUCAGGCGCAGACAACGAGACGGCCCAUCCGAAUUAGGCCCAUCCGAAGUAGGACAUUAGAACCCUCCCCCCACUCCACCUAUUCCCCUCGCACUGUGGCCUCCCUCCCUCCAUCGCCAGAUCCCCCACUCGUCCCCCUCUGUCCGCCGCCCCUGCAUGCCGUCAGCGACUUCACCUCCGCCGCCCCCGCACCCCCCGAACGAGAUCGGCCAGAUCCAUCUCCUCAACCAUCGCAGGACAACGCAGGUACCCCAGUUUCUGUUGACGUCUCAAUGGUAUCCAUGCUGAUAAUGCUAGGUAGAUCGACUGAGUGUAGCAAUUUUGUGCCACCAUCUGAAACUUGUGAUGCUUCCUACUGUACAAUAUAGGACUUUUCAAAGUUCUGUUAUGAUGGCACUUUUUGACACAUACAGUAGAGCUGCGUUUUUAGUUGUUAUACUUUCAGUUACCAUCACUGCUUGGGAAAGGACGAAUUGGAUGCAUUCAGGUCUGCAGUUGAUAGUGUAUCAUCAUAAUAUAGGUGCUGUGUUGUGUGAUUCUUCAUGCUGAGAACUUCAGCUUUUUCAGUUAUAGUGAAAGGCUUCUGUAUAAAAAAAACUACUAAAUGAUCACAAAAACUUCUAGACAACAUUUUGUAUGAUCUGACCAAAACUUGAACUAAAUGAUCACCAAAAGUUGAAGGAUUUUGCAUCACAUCACAACCAUAAGUCUUCUGCACCAGCAUCAUAACAAUCACAUAACUACAUAACAAAAGCAAACUUGUUCAUCAUUACAAAAGAAAACUUGUUCAACAUAAGAAAAGCUAACUUGUUCAGCAUUACAAAAGCAAACUUGUUCAACAUAACAAAAGCUAACUUGUUCAGCAUUACAAACGCAAACUUGUUCAACCACAUAACUGCAAACUGAGACACAUAAUACCACAAACAACUCAAUAUCCCAGUAGUAGGGGUCAUCCCAAUGAUCCUCCACCUCUUGCCAGUACUCCAAACCUUCUUUGACGAUAUCGAUUUUCUUCCAUGCCUCGUAGGUGACGUACGCAUCUUUCGCUGCGUACUCGAUGAGGUUGUUUGGCAGUGGGCUGUCCCCCCAUAGUUUGUGGUCCAAUUCCUUGUUGAUCUUCUUCUUCAUUUCCUUGUACGAUGGGUGGAUGAGGCUGGCUGCAAACUCAGCCAAAGCCUGCCACUUCUUUCCAUUCCUUGGAACUCUCCAUUUGCGCUGCAUGUCGACGUACUUGUCGGGGUUGAUCUCCAAACCAGACAAUUUCAGCUUCUCCUUGUCACCUCCAAUGGAGAAGCCAACAAAGGUGUAGAGCUUCUUCUCCUGCAGGAGUGGGCGGAGUUCCUUAGGCCUGCAUCAAAUUAAUCUGGUGCAUCAAAUUCAUCCACUUCAAAAACUUCAGAAACUACUAAUUAGACAUAAAAUUCAGAACUAGUAUUGCAUCUACUCCAGAACUUCAGAACUAGUAUUGCAUCUACUUCAGAACUUCAGAACUAUUGCAUCUACUUGAGAAACUUCUGAAACUUCAGAACUAUUGCAUCUACUUGAGAAACUUCAGAAACUACUAAUUAGACAGAAACUUCAGAACUUCAGAACUAGUAUUGCAUCUACUUCAGAACUUCAGAACUAUUGCAUCUACUUCAGAAACUACAGAAACUACUAAUUAGACAGAAAGUUCAGAACUUCAGAACUAGUAUUGCAUCUACUUCAGAACUACAGAACUAUUGCGUCUACUUCAGAAACUUCAGAAAUUACUAAUUAGACAGAAACGUCAGAACUUCAGAAACUUCAGAACUGGAUGUUUUUACCAUUUGGUUGCCGCGGUGAUGUGGUAUACCAGGACGAGAUCCUCCACGCAUAACUGUAGAACUGCAGCCUUUUGCGGAGGUUCAUCUUCCCUCGUAUACUCGACAUCAACGCCGAUCGACUGAGGAAACAUGCCGCCGAGCCUCCUCCUGAUCUCGCGGAUCCUCUUGUCGGCUUCGUAUGGAUUGCUGGUGCAUACGACAUCCAGCUUCUCCUUCAGGUGGAUAUCAACCAUGAGCUUCACGGUGUAGUCCUGCUUCUGCCCAGGGAUCGGAACGUCGUCGUCGACCACCAGCGGCUCCUUGCCAGACGCCUCACCUUGGUGAUGCUUGCCAGAUGGAGGGGAGUUGCUCCACGAUGCCUCCGCCAUUCUCUUGGCAGACGGAGGGGAGUUGCUCCACGAUUCCUCCGCCAUUGCCCUCCUGGCCAGCGAUGGUGGAGGCAGAGGGGAGUUGCUUGAUGGUGGAGGCAGAGGGAGGAAGAUGGAGCGGCAAUGGAAUAAGGAGGGAGGCAGAGGGAGGCAGAUUGAGCGGCAAUGGAAUAGGAGGGGAGUUCCCUGCGUCGUGGGGAGUUGCCAGUGGAGGGGAGUCGUGGGGAGUUGCCAGUGGAAGGGAGGCGUGGGGAGUUGCCUCGAAAACUCAAACGUCCUGCCCUUUGGCCCUCGAAAAAUCUGGAGGGGAGACGUGGGCUCUUUGGUUUGUCCCGUUUCUGAAACAAAAAAAAAAUAACAGCCAUAUUUUGCUCUCACUGCAACCAUAUUAAGAGAUGAAAAAUGGCACCAAAAAGUCACUGCAGCCAUCCUCAAUGGCACGAAAACAGCACCAAAACAACAUCAGCCAAAACAACAAAAAAUGCAUCCAUUGAUCGUUCUUUAUUUCUUCUAACAUUCCGUGUUCUGUGCAGUGAGAUAGACACAACACUACAAAUGCAGGCUGACAACGCCCGCGAUUUCAUGACCAUCAGGACAGACGGCGGCUUCAUCCACGCUCCGGUCCCAUGAGUCGAGUCGAAAGUAGUGAUGCUAUGUGUAGUUCUGAAACAUUGAUUGGCUCAUGUUGUAAUUAAACUUUAAUGAAUUGUAUGUCUCUUUGGUUUGGACAGUCGUUAAACUUAGAUGUACUCGAUGCUAUUUAUUACUAGGACCAUGAAUUGUGCUAUUAAUGUCUUGCUUUUCUCUUCCGAUCCUUUUGUUGCAUACUUAUUUAUUGCUUAUGUAUUGUCUGUUGUUUGGCUUGUGCAUAGAGAUGCCGUCGUAUGUCGUGUACAAGGUAAGGUUCCCGGAGUCUACGAUGACUGGGAGGAGUGUCGGAGACAGGUUCACCGUUUCAGCGGUAACAGUUACAAAGGGUACACCACUAGGGUGGAGGCGGAAUCUAGAUAUGCCCGCUAUCUAGCGGGAGAGAGGAGGGAGCGUUGGAGGAAACGGAUGAAGACCAAUUUCAUCGCGAUGAUGCUCAUCGUGAUGACCGCAACUCUCUUCUAUGUGAUGGUAGUUUAGAUGAUCGAUAUCGACUUGUAAUGUGAAGACAAACUCGCUACUCGCGGUCUCGAGACUUGUAAUGUUCUAUCUUUGUUCGGUCUUGUGAAUUCAGAGACUAAUAUGAUGAAUUGUAUUCGGAGAGCUAUCUUCUAUUGUAUUGGAUGAAUGUGCUGUUGCUGUGUGGUGUUGUCUAUAUUCUCUCCAAUAAUAUAUUUUGUAACCUGUGAAAAUAUCAGAAAUGUGCAUUUUUUCGACCACCUCCAAAUCACCUCAGUUUUGGAACACAUGAUCUCUUCCACAAACAAAACUAGGUUUCCAAGUUUUUGUAUUUUUUUAAAUUUUUUUGAAUUUAUAAUGCCCUCUAGACUGACUGCUGAAAACAUCGGUCUAUGCCUCAAGGGGGCAUUGUAAAAUAUUUUUUUUAAAAUUUUCUUGCAUACACAUGUUUUGCACAUGUGGGUCACCAUGUACAAGAAAAUUUGGGUGAUUUGGAGGUGGUGGAAAAAUUCACAUUUUUUCAAAAACUGACUUAAGUUAAGACCAAAUGGUCCCUCCGGGAAUGCGGGCAUUUUUUCGACCACCUCCAAAUCACCUCAGUUUUGGCACACAUGAUCUCUUCCACAAACAAAACUAGGUUUCCAAGUUUUUGUAUUUUUUUAAUUUUUUUUGAAUUUAUAAUGCCCUCUAGACUGACUCCUGAAAACAUCGGUCUAUGCCUCAAGGGGGCAUUGUAAAAUAAAUUUUUUCAAAAUUUUCUUGCAUACACAUGUUUUGCACAUGUGGGUCACCAUGUAUAAGAAAUUUUGGGUGAUUUGGAGGUGGUGGAAAAAUUCAUGCAAGACUCGGGGACCUGCAUGCAAGACUCGGGGACCUGCAUGCAAGAGUCGGGGACCUGCAUGUGAAUAGUGAUUCAUCAAGGCCAUGACAGCUAUUGGCACAGCGGCUGCCGCCCGAUUUGUAUGCAGCGAAGAUGAACGUGCAUGGAGGUUUUUCAAAGAUUUCCAAGCACACCCCAGUGGGCCCCGCUUAUUUAAAAAAGACGUCAGUCAUUAUUGCUCUGUAAAUGAAGAAUAUGCAUGAUGAUUAUGAAUACGCAUGACAACCAUAGUAAGGGUGAAGAAUCAUAGUGCCCAAUUUGUCGAAAUACAUCAUCAUUCUUAAAGUUGGACAUCAAAUGAUACACACAGAAAAUGGAAACGAAAGAUGUCGAACUAAUAUAGUAACAUGCCAGUACAACUGCACUUCACUAAAUUACUGUCACGAUGAAAUAGAAUGUAAAGACCACGUCACACAAACAUGAAUGACACACGACUUUCUCUGGCUCAUCGUCGGUUCAUGCUGUAUGUAGAUAUCACAGUUCAGCCUCGAUAUCCUACACAGAAGAAUAGAAUAAAUCACAUGGACAUCAAUUAUGAGUAAAACACAUGCAAAAAAAAUAUGAAAAUAUUUUGUACCUCUAGCAAUUUAGCGCAUUUACGUCGAUUGUGACCUGGUUUCUUGCAAUAGCCACAGAUAUUCUGUGAUGUUGACUUCUUUGUCUUUGCCUGCAGCCUUUUCUUCGGUGCACCUCGUCCUGGCACAUGCACGGGAUCCAGAACCUUAUCAACUUUCUGUGAGUGUGGCAUCAACGGGCCAAACCUAAUGCUGUUAUGCUGAGCAUUAGUUGACUCCUUGCUGUCAGCUUGUUCAAAACUUGAUUGCUUGCCAUGAUGUUGUGCUUGCAAAAGCAUCUUUAGACGGUGAUAGUCCUCAUCAGAGUGGCAUGCCUGGAAACUUGCGGCGUGACUACAAUUCCGCAACUCGCGGUACCUCUGCAGGCUUAGCGAAUAGUCAUACAUCUGGUUUUUUCUGGUAGGUGCGUAUGCACAUUUUGCAUUCAUAGUCCACCUAGUGGGAACGCAACAACCGGGCAGAAUUGUUUGUUUUAAAAUCCCCAAUAUGUAAAAAAAUGUGGGAACAUGGUGUGCCUGCGCAUUCCAGCUUAUGGCAAGAACAACUCACCCUGUGCAAAAGACCUCCUUGCUCUUCAAUGCGCACUCCAAACUUUUUAUCCAUUCUUUCCUGCUUGGACACAACAUAAGUGGAAUCUUCUGAUCCAUCUAGUAUCUCUCUAAUCUGACAUUUGCUGACAGAAUCUAUGCUCCAUAAGACCAUCUUAAAGACACUAGGUGUGAAAACUGUUGCGGCGUGUUUCUCAAGCGGCGAAGCAUUUUCCUCUGUAAAUGGAACGGACUGCAAGGCUUCAACGUCAUGGAGAGCUUCGUUAAUCCGUCGCGACGCAAGGCAACGCUCAUAGUGCUCUAGCCUUUCAAACAACGACAUCUUACCCUCAAGAUGCGUAUGUAGCACAGAGUUCAAGCUCUCACUCCUCUGAUUACUGCUCAAUCCUAGGAAACAACGCCCCUCAAGAUAUGGAGCACACCACAACUUUCUCAUCUGAUACAUCUGAUGCAGCCAAGACUCCUCACUGGUUACUUUAUUCCGUUGUAAGAAUUGUAUUCAUUUUAUCUCAUGCUCUUCAAUGGAAGAAGUAUCAUAAAUGAAAGAUCUGAAUUCCUCCUUUACGUCGUCAUCAUGCAGAUGGCGUACAAUGUUCUGCUGAAUGUGCCAUAUACAUAGUCUAUGGUUUGAGUCUGGCCAGACCACCCUUAUUGCUCUCUGCAUUGCAAGGUCCCCAUCUGUGAUCACAGAUAUCGGAUGCUUCUGUGCCAUGCAAUCAGAAAAGGUCCGCAACAUCCACUCGUAUGCCUGGCUUGUUUCAUGAGAAAUUAAUUAUACCACAGCCAAAUAUAACAGUGCUGCGGUGGUGAUUCAACCCGACAAAAGGCACGAAUGGCAGAUUGUAUUUUUUGGUUCUGUAUGUGCUAUCGAAAACAAUGACGUCUCCGAAAGCCUCGUAGUCAAGUCGCGAUUGACUGUCAGCCCAGAACAGUCCCUUCAGAUGGCCAUGCUCGUCUACCAAGUACUUGAAGAAAAAAAUCCACAUCUCGCUCUCGCCUCGCCAUCAUAUGCAUGAUCACCGUUUUAGCAUCACCGGCACUGAUUGUCUCUUGCUUAUUAGCAUGGCAGAAAUUAUAAACGUCCCUCUUUAUGCAUCCAACCUUAUCAAAUCCACCGUAUUGGAAGCACAAAAUAUCCAUAAUACGGUAUUUGUGGAUCCCACAUUUUCCAUGUCCGCAAUGUCCGCUUUCUGCUCAUCGCUAAUUCGUCUGUGCAAACGCAACAGACAAGAAAGAUCCCAUGGGGCUAGAGGAUGGUUGUGCUCAUCGAUGAAAUCCUUGACAAACCACCGACCGGUUUCCUCUUGUCUCGUAAUGACCAAUUUAGCAUUACAUCCAACACGAGUUAAACUUUGUGGCCUCCUUUUUCUAUCUUCCAUCUUUCUUUUCAUGUGCUUAUCUUCGCGAAACCCUUGACGACUACACACAAUUUUCCUUAAAAUUAUGUAUUUGUUGGAUCCAUCCCACUCAACGUAGCUUUUCCUCACACUAAAACCUUUUUCAAGAGCAUAUUUGUUGUAGAAUUCAUAGCCUUCAGCCUCACUAUCAAACAUCUUGCUGACAACAUUUACAUACUCGAACAUACUCUCAUCACUUGCAUACGCCAUGUCUUCCUGCAUAUGACAUGUGAGGGAAACCAAUCAUCAACAUCUUUCUGUUUAUCAAUGUUGCAGGUGUAAAAUAGCUCAUAGGCAAAGACAAGUGCAUGGAAAAGACUUUGCUGGUUUGACAUGUGAGGGAAACCAAUCAUCAACGUCCAACAAGUACUAUCCUAGCAUGGAUGAUGACUCUAAUAAACUGGAUUCAUACCUGGUACGCGCGAAGAGAUGGGAUCGCCCGCCGCCGUCGCCGCCUAUUCCGUCGGCACAGAUCCGGCCUUCUUCUUCUUCGGUGACAGCGUGGGGGGCUGGGGUUGGUUGGGUGGAGGACGAGGACGAUGAAUUUAUUCCUCUCACCAGGCAGGUCGAGGACGGAGAAGGUCAGGAGCGGCGACGAAUAGAUCGGAGGAGGUUUCUGAUCUGGAUCGAGUAUACAUGGAUCUGGUCUUCGGGUGAUCGGUUCAAGAAAAGAUUUUUGUCCCUGGACCAUUAUGCCCUUAUCGCUUAAAUUUAAUCAAGUUUAAUUCCCUGCAAGAUCGGUUUUCUAAUAAUAAUCAGACGUCACCAGACAUGUAAGUACUGCUAAGUACUCCGAGUACUAACCUAAUCACCGUAAAACUGCUCCCAAAUAGGAUGACCGCUUUAGAGAAAGCAAUAAGGGAAUUCAUGGACAAUCAAACUGAGAAUGUAAUUGUAUUUGUACCGAUGAUGGGAACGAGUUCACAGAUUCUCUGACUUAGCCGAGACUAUGGCAGAGGGAUGUCAAAUUCAUAUAACUGUUCAUGCACCAUCCGACGGCAGCAAGCAAAGCCCAUGGACACACAGCAUUAUCGACCUAGAAGGGUGAUGCUGCCCAGUCCAACGCAUAGGCGAAGCAGGAAAAACGGUGCGAGGCAGCCGAAGUAUGAAUGAAGGAACCGAUCACCAAGCUGCCGAAGGAUGAGCUGCUCUGCUCUUGUGAGAGAUGUUAAAUUUUGUAGUGUUCAUUUUACCAUUCUGUAAUGUGCACUUAUGUUGCUGCUCAAUUCAGUUCCCUUCUCCCACUUGCAUUUCACAGUCAUGUCCAGUUCAGUGAGCAAAGUCUCUAAAAUUCAGCUCAUUCAAUUAUAGCAUUCAUUCACAACAACCACACUGAGAGAUCUCAACCCCUUCUGCCACUGAGUGAUCUCAACCCCUUUUGCCAUACUCAAUUCUGUUAUCAAUUUUACAACAUCAAGUGAUAUGCUCACAAAUUGACAAUGUCAAUGACCUGCUCUUAAUUUACAACAUCAUUGAUAUGCUAAAAAAUGAUAAUGUCAAUGAUCUGCUCUCAAAGUACUUCCUCUGUCCCAUAAUAUAAGAGCGUUUUUGACACUGUCUGAAACUCUCUUGUUGUUUUGUGUAAAUCAGUUUACAAUCUGAAACUCAACUGAUGUUUGCUUGUAAAUCAGUUAAUAAUGUGCUCUCAAUUUCCAGGCUAGCUUCGCCGGCGCCUGCUCGACGGAGUGGUGCAUCGAUGGCAGCCACGGCCGUCCUCCUCUUGCGAUGGUGCGGGGUCAGCGAUAUGGUGCUUGCUUAGUGCCUCCAGCAACAGCGGCGCGACCUCGCGGCGUGAUACAACCAUGACUUGUAGCCAAGGCAGCGGCAGUCGUCCUCCCAGGGCGAUCGCGAGCAAUGGCGACGGUGAGCGAUGGGUUGUUUAUGGGCUGCACAGCAUUGUUGUUAUUCUUAUUUGUUUUCACCUUGCUGCUGUCGAAUGACGCAUGUGAUUUGGAUUAGACGUCCGUCUAGCGUAAAAAUAAUACUCGAUGCUAUACAGCCCAGGUCGGGAAUCUCGAAGUGAGUUCACGAUGGAGAUAGCGAGAGUAUCUGAGCUCGUGCUCAGAACAUCACUUUCCUUAGGAAAGGGGGAACCAGGAUCGAUUCCUGGUCUCAAAGGUGACAGCGGGUGCUGCUACCAGUCCGAUCAAGUUCCGUUCGUGAUAAGUUGUAGGUGCGCGUCGUACUUGAGCCGAUUCAAGCCGGUUUUCUUUGAGUUUUUUUCCUUCUUCAUUUUUUUCAUUCUUUUUUGCACUCGUUUCUUCAUUUUUUUUCAUUUUUUUCUUUUGUUUAUUUUCUUUGUUCUUUUGGUUAUUAUUGUGCAUUUUUUGUAUACGUCAACAAUAUUUUUUUAAUACACGUCUAACAUUUUUCAAAUACAAAUCAACAAUUUUUGCAAUACAUGGCCUACAUUUUUGUAUACACAUUUUUUAAAUGCUUGAUUAUCAUUUUUCAAAUACAAUAUUAACAAUUUUAAUACAUGGUUAACAUUUUUUUAUCAUUUUUACAAAAAAAUAUAUUAAAUGCUUGAUUAACAUUUUCUUAAUAGAUGGUCAACCUUUUUUUCAUACACAUUUAACAUUUUUUCCAAACGCUUGAUUAACUUUUUCAGACCCUUGUUCGACAUUUCUUUCAAAUGCUGGAUUACAUUUCUAUAUACUUAAUCAAAUAUUUCUAUCAUUUUUAAUACAUGGUCAACAUUAUUAACAUACACAUUUAACAAUUUCCCAAUUCUUGAUUAAUAUUUUUUAAAUACUCGUUUAACAUUUCCCAAUUUUAGCUAGUUAUGGUGCAAACUAAGUGUUGUGCCUCGUCUUAAUCUAUCUAUAUAUCCUAUCUUCUAUUCGGCGACGUGGUUGCGCCCGUGGCGGAUGUGGUCGCCGCCAUGACUUGGUCGAUCUCCCUCUUCUGUAUUCGAGAAAAAAAGAUCUCCGUCUUCUCUUUAGAUGAGAUGGGGAGGAGAUGGUGAGAGAUGAGGUCAACGGCAUUGGGGAGAGGAUAAGGGUAGACGCCAGUGGUGAGGCGGCGUGAGGAAGACGAGGUGGUUGGCGGCUAGGACGCAUGAGGGGAGGGGAAGGGUGGGGAGUGGUGCGUGGAGGGAAGUGGGUGUGCGGCGUGCCCAAUUCACGAGAGAGGAGAGAGGUCGGCAAGGGAGCGACCCAUGGGAGUUUUUUUUCUUCUGAGUGAGCCUAGUUGGGCUAUCUGCUGCGUCCAAGGCCCAAUGCACCACAUGUCUUCAAAUUGGCCACCAGUAGCAGCCCUUAGAACAGACAUGGCCAUUUUGCAAAUUUAAAGACAUAAGUUUUUUGCACGCAUGAAAAACAUAACACGUAUCUUUUCACACAUAAUGAACUAUAGGUACUACCCAAAAAAACAUAAUGAACUAUAGGUUGUCACAAGAACUCAUGCCAUCCCACAACCUCCCUCUGACCCUGCCAACAUUGUUGCAACUGCACUCGCAAGUGUUAUCGUAGAUGAUCAUUUGCAUGAUUUCCCGUAAAACAAAAUAAGAUCUACAAACGAAUAGAAGCUACACAUACCUUGGCAUGCACACACAUUGCAAGCCAUACUAAGCAGAUAAGUGUUAAAAACUUGUACUCCCUCAUCUCAGUUUACAAGUCUUCCACGUGUAUCUAGGUCGUCAAUUUAAUUAUAUAAAAUAAAUUGUUUGACAUAAAUUAUAUCAUUAGAAAAUAGAAAUAUAUAUUUUGUAAUGUAUGCCUCUUAUUAAGUUGGUCAAAUUAACAAUCUAGGUACACAUGCAAGACUUUUAAACUAAGAUGGAGGGAGUACAACAUAUACAACACUUACGACAAGUAAAAGCAAUUUGAUGAGUCAUGGUCUAUCAAAGCAAGCUACAUUACUAAUCUAAUCUAUGUUAACAUGUCACACAUGAUUACAAUCUUUUUUGUGUGCAAGUCAAGCCUAUCUAGUCUACAUGUAACAACUUGUAGAACAUUACAAAAUUGAUGUUUGCUAAUAACUUUUAGAACACUACAACACUUGACAUGUAAAAAGAGUUUGAUGAGUCAUGACCUACUAAAGCAAGUUACAUUACUAGUCUCAUCUAUCUUAACAGGUCACACAAGAUUAAAAACUAAGUUCUGUGCAAGCAAUGCUUAUCUAUUUUACACAUAACAACUUGCAUAACAUUACAAACUUAGUUUUAGAAAAUUAGGCAACCUAGAUUAGUGUUUAGUUGUAAAGUGAAUAAGAUGAGUCAUGUGUGUUAUCACACCUUUUUAUGGUGGAAUGAUAGUGCCACCAAACACAACAUACCAAAAUAUGAUUUUGGGAAGCAUCCAAGCACUUUCCAGACAAGCAAAUGCCAAUUGUGAAAGAGAUAAUGCCAUGGCAGCUAUAAAUAGGCCUGUUGCAUGAUGAUCAUCCUUCCUCAUUCAUCAUUCUCAUAAGUAGAGUGCAUCAUUCAAGCCAAGCAAGCACUGGUCAAUACAAAUCCAUCAUGAAGACAUUUCUCAUCAUUUCCCUCCUUGCUAUCGUGGCGACCACCGCCACAACUGCAGUUAGAGUUCCAGUGCCACAAUUGCAGCCGCAAAAUCCAUCUCUGCAACAACCACAAGAGCAAGUUCCAUUGGUGCAACAACAACAAUUUCCAGGGCAGCAACAAACAUUUCCACCACAACAACCAUAUCCGCAGCCGCAACCAUUUCCAGGACAACAACCAUAUCCGCAGCCGCAACUAUUUCCACAGCCGCAACCUUUUCCGCCACAACUUCCAUAUCCGCAGCCGCAACCAUUUCCCCCACAACAACCAUAUCCACAACCGCAAACACAUCAUCUGCAACCACAACAACCAAUUUCGCAGCAACAAGUACAACAACAACAACAACAACAACAACAACAACAACAACAACAACAACAACAACAACAACAACAACAACAACUACUACUACAACAACAAAUCCUUCAACAAAUUCUGCAACAACAACAACUGAUUCCAUGCAGGGAUGUCAUCGUCUUGCAACAACACAACAUAGCGCAUGAAAGCUCACAAGUAUUGCAGCAAAGUAGUUACCAAGUGUUGCAACAAUUAUGUUGUCAGCAGCUGCGGCUGAUCCCCGAGCAGUCGCGGUGCCAAGCCAUCCACAAUGUCGUUCAUGCUAUUAUUCUACAUCAACAACAACAACAACAACAACAACAACAACAACAAGGACAACAUCAACCGUCGAGCCAGGUCUCCUACCAGCAGCCUCAGCAACAAUAUCCAUCAGGCCAGGGCUCCUUCCAGCCAUCUCAGCAAAAUCCACAGGCCCAGGGCUUUGUCCAACCUCAACAUCUGCCCCAACUCGAGGAAAUAAGUAACCUAGCGCUGCAGACGCUACCAGCAAUGUGCAAUGUCUACAUCCCUCCAUAUUGCUCGACCACCAUUGCGCCAUUUGGCAUCUUCGGUACUAACUGAGAAGAGAAGAACUCUAGUACUAGAUAUAUGAAACACCGUGUUCUUAGUCCAUGGUUUGGUCGUUGUACCGUUGAAAAUAUAAGGUGACAUGCACUAUCAUGUAAGAACCCGAACUAUACUAGUUCAAACAUGGGAAUAAAAGACAAACACAUGUCUUGUCUGCAUAUGAUUGUUUAUUUGAGUUCCAUUCCUAUGCCCAUUCACAAGUUCACCCGUAAUUAUAUAUAUUACACAUUAAGUAGAUAUUUAUGUUGCAUUAAUAUGAAGAUAACAAAAUGAGUCUGAAACUUGAAUUAAAUUGAAGUAUUUUCUUGGACUUUCAAAUUGUGUAUUAUUAAAGUAGUAAGGAUUAUCCACAUCCUUGGCUUGCCCUUCAUCAAUUAUUCCCAGAGAAGCUUUCAGUUCAUAAAUCAAUUACAUUGAUUUUUGUGAAUGGUACAUCUCCUCAUCACGAGUAUCAUUACGGCUACUCCAAAUCGCUCACAUAACCGAAGCAUUAAUAGCGCCCUUCUUGCAUCCGGAAAUAUGGAUCGAAGAUAUCACUUGACCAUGUUUCCAGGUGCAACCUUGGGAUUUUUAUGUCAAAAUAUUCUCAAGCAAAAUCCAAGAAUAAACUUGCAUGCUCACGUGUGAUGAGGGCAGAUGAAGUAACAUUUCCUCCCCAUGGCCACACAUAGGGCACACACAUAACCCCAUCACAUGCCUUUUUAGUUAUGCAUAUGAAAGGUAGGAUGUUUUUAAUUACUCUCUACCAAAAUACUCUUAACUUGGCUUGUACCCUAAUAUUUCGUUGCCUUUUCAAUUGUUCUUCCCCAUUAGACAAAGUAGACAGUCCAUCUACCACACCGUACCUUGUGUCCAUCAUUGCUCUGUACAACAAUUGAACAGAACAAAUGUCAUUUCUUUACGAUACCCACGACCAAAUGUCCUUUGCUGGAUUGUUUGGUCGUGGCAUAUUAAGGAUGGCCACCUCAUCUCAUGGGGUAAACACCUAAUGAAUGAAAGGAUUGUUCUAGUCGCCCGUGUUUUUCAUCGAUAAGAUCAUCUACAAGUUGGACCGAAGUUUCUCACAUGCAUCAUAGUGGUUUCAUUAGCGGCGUGCCCUGCACCCAUUUAUCACGUCGUAUCUCUGUAGUAUGUGCAUUCCCAAUUUGUCACAGCAUACCCUCCUUCAAACCUUCUUUCCCUUUCAGAUUAGCACGCCAAGUUAGCUAUGCACUAUGCGGGAACCAGCAUUUGAAAAAAAAGAAUCUCAUUUCAUGGUAUCUUCCAUGAAGGACCCUCGUACAUUAGCUAUCUAGGUAGAAAUAGCCAUGUAUGUUUGGCAAACUUUGCAUAAGUGAAUAGAUCAAGGUCGUGGAACCCCAAGCCUCCAAUUACACACGGCCUCUCUACCAAUAAGAUCUCCAAAGACAUCAAGGAUACAGACAGCCAAAAAAGAAAAUAAAAAGAAAAAAAAUAAAAAAUACCCUGCCAUGGUGAUCAAUCACAAGCAUCAGCAGCACUCUAACCACCACCAAAGACAAUGCCCAGAUUACAAAAAAAAAUUAUCCAAAAACAAUGCCCCCAAGAAGGAAACAAUACACAAGCGUUGUCGUUGCCCGAUCGAAGAUCGUGGGUUUUCACCCUGGAAAAUUUUUGAGUUCACCCAAAAACAAUGCCUUCAACAAGGCCAUUGCCAAGUACAACAAAUAUGGUCGAGACCUUGGGUUUUCACCCUAGGAAUUGAGACUCGAUGCUCGAGGAGUACCAGCAAAAAUGCAGUCCACUAGUGUUGCCGCCCCCACUUGGCAAGGCCACUGUUGCAAGUCACCAAACACCUGGCAUAUAGUUGUCAUCGCAUCCAAUACACCCUUCGGCCGAAGCUUCAAGACCUUGAUCCGUCUCCAGCGUAUCUAUAAUUUUUGAUUGUUCCAUGCUAUUAUAUUAUCUGUUUUGGAUGUUUUAUAUGAUUAUUAUGGUAUUUUAUAUGAUUUUUGGGACUAACCUAUUAAACUAGAGCCCAGUGUCAGUUCCUGUUUUUUCCUUGUUUUAGAGUUUCGUAGAAAAGGAGUACCAAACGGAGUCCAAACGGAAUUAAACUUUUGCGAUGAUUUUUCUUAGACCAGAAGACAUCUAGAGGACUUGGAGUGCAUGUUAGGAAAGCCACGAGGCUGCCACAACGACAGAGGUGCGCCCCCACCCUUGUGGGCCCCUCGUGACUCUACCGACAUAUUUCUUCCGCCUAUAUAUUCUCAAAUAUUCCAAAACAUACUAGGAGAGCCACAAAAACACUUUUCCACCGCCGCAACCUUCUGUACCCGUGAGAUCCAAUGUAGGGGCCUUUCCCGGCAUCCUGUCGGCGGGGGAUUCGAUCACUUAGGGCUUCUACAUCAACACCAUUGCCUCUCCGAUGAAGCGUGAGUAGUUUACCACAGACCUAUGGGUCCAUAGCUAGUAUCUAGAUGGCUUCUUCUCUCUCUUUGAUUCUCAAUACCAUGUUCUCCUCGAUGUUCUUGGAGAUCUAUUCGAUGUAAUACUCUUUUUGCGGUGUGUUUGCCAAGAUCCAAUGAAUUGUGGAUUUAUGAUCAGGUUAUCUAUGAGUAUUAUUUGAAUCUCCUAUGAAUUCUUAUAUGCAUGAUUUGAUAUCUUUGCAAGUCUCUUCGAACUAUCGAUUUGGUUUGGCCAACUAGAUUGGUUUUUCUUGCAAUGGGAGAAGUGCUUAACUUUGGGUUCAAUCUUGCGGUGCUCGAUCCCAGUGACAGAAGGGGAUGAUACGUCCCCAACGUAUCUAUAAUUUUUGAUUGUUCCAUGCUAUUAUAUUAUCAACCUUGGAUGUUUUAUAUGCAUUUAUAUGCUAUUUUAUAUGAUUUUUGGGACUAACCUAUUAACCCAGAGCCCAGUGCUAGUGCCAGUUUCUGUUUUUUCCUUGUUUUAGGGUUUCGAAGAAAAGGAAUAUCAAAUGGAGUCCAAACGGAAUGAAACCUUCAGAAAAUUUAUUUUUGGAAAGAAAGUAAUACGGGAGACUUGGAGUGCACGUCCGGGGAUCAACGAGGAAGCCACGAGGCAGGGGGCGCGCCCACCCCUCUUGGGCGCGCCCUCCACCCUCGUGGGCCCCUCGUGGCUCCCCAAAUGUAUUUCUUCCGCCUAUAUAUAUCCAUAUACCCCAAAACGACCGGGGAGCACAAUAGAUCGGGAGUUUCUCCGCCAGAAGCCUCCGUAGCCACCGAAAGCUAAUCUAGACCCGUUCCGGCACCCUGCCGGAGGGGGAAUCCCUCUCCGGUGGCCAUCUUCAUCAUCCCGGUGCUCUCGAUGACGAGGAGGGAGUAGUUCUCCCUCGGGGCUAAGGGUAUGUACCAGUAGCUAUGUGUUUGAUCUCUCUCUCUCUCUCUCUCUCUCUCUCUCGUGUUCUUGAGGUGAUACGAUCUUGAUGUAUCGCGAGCUUUGCUAUUAGAGUUGGAUCUUAUGUUGCUUCUCCCCCUCUACUCUCUUGUAAUGGAUUGAGUUUCCCCUUCGAAGUUAUCUUAUCGGAUUGAGUCUUUAAAAAUUUGAGAACACUUGAUGUAUGUCUUGCCGCGUGUAUCUGUGGUGACAAUGGGAUAUCACGUGAUUCACUUGAUGUAUGUUUUCGUGAUCAACUUGCGGGUUCCGCCCAUGAACCUAUGCAUAGGGGUUGGCACACGUUUUCGUCGUGAUUCUUUGGUAGAAACUUUGGUGCACUCUUUGAGGUUCUAUGUGUUGGUUGAAUAGAUGAACUUGAGAUUGUGUGAUCCAUAUCAUAUAAUCAUACCCACGGAUACUUCAGGUGACAAUGGAGUAUCUAGGUGACAUUAGGGUUUUGGUUGAUUUGUGUCUUAAGGUGUUAUUCUAGUACGAACUCUAGGGCUGUUUGUGACACUUAUAGGAAUAGCCCAACGGAUUGAUUGGAAAGAAUAACUUUGAGGUGGUUUCGUACCCUACCAUAAUCUCUUCGUUCGUUCUCUGCUAUUAGUGACUUUGGAGUGACUCUUUGUUGCAUGUUGAGGGAUAAUUAUGUGAUCCAAAUAUGUUAUUAUUGUCGAGAGAACUUGCACUAGUGAAAGUAUGAACCCUAGGCCUUGUUUCGACGCAUUGCAAUACCGUUUACGCUCACUUUUAUCAUUAGUUACCUUGCUGUUUUUAUAUUUUCAAAUUACAAAAACCUUUAUCUACCAUCCAUAUACCACUUGUAUCACCAUCUCUUCACCUAUACAAUUUACCAUUGUAUUGGGUGUGUUGGGGACACAAGAGACUCUUUGUUAUUUGGUUGCAGGGUUGCUUGAGAGAGACCAUCUUCAUCCUACGCCUCCUACGGAUUGAUAAACCUUAGGUCAUCCACUUGAGGGAAAUUUGCUACUGUCCUACAAACCUCUGUACUUGGAGGCCCAACAACGUCUACAAGAAGAAGGUUGUGUAGUAGACAUCAAGCUCUUUUCUGGCGCAGUUGCCGGGAAGGUGAGUGCUUGAAGUUAUAUCUUUAGAUCUUGCAAUCGAAUCUUUUUGUUUCUUGUUUUAGCACUAGUUUAGUUUAUAAAAGAAAACUACAAAAAAACGGAAUUGAGUUUACCUCACACGCUUCAUCUUUUUAAUAUCUUUCGUGAGUAUGAUGGAAAGAAAAAUUGUGCCAAAGUGUUAGAAGAAGAAUGCAUUAAACUGUUUGGCAUUAAAUAUUUGAAUGAUGAGCAUUAUUGCAAUGUUGUUAGUAUGAAUUCCUUGAAUAUCCAUAGUACUAAUGAUGAUUGCACUAGUUAUGAUGAAAAUGUCUCAUGUAAACAUGUCAAUUUUUGUGGAGUGCAUUGGGUUUGCAAGUACACACCAAUUAGGGAAGAUAGAUUUUGCAAGAGGCAUAAGUACUUAGAAACUAAAUUGUUGCAAGAAAGGCUAGAUGAAUGUGCUGAAAAUUUAAAUUUUCUUGGCCAUACUUGUGAGCUUUGCAAUGAACAUGGUUAUUUAACCAUCCGAUGCAAAUUGUUUCAUGAUCUAAUCGUUUCCAAAAAUUGUGAUGACUUGAUUUCCCUUGCACAUCAUAAUGAACUUAGUUUGCUUAUGGGUUAUGAGGAAAUGAAAUGUAUAACUAACUAUCUUCCAGUAUUUUCCCAUGAUAAACUUCUUGGAUUUGACCUAGAGGAAAUUUAUAUGUAUUGUGCGGUGAAUUGCAUUGAAAACCCCUAUAUUGUCAAUUACAUAAAGAAAAGAAAACAAAUAGAGGAUGAACAGAAUACUAAUGAAAGGGAAGAGACCUCCCAAUAUCCUCCUAUUAUUUCUUAUGAUGAACCAGGUAACGAGGAGGAGCCUCCUAUUCAACCAAUCUCAUUAAUAAGGAGCUCCAAAAAGAGGAUUGAACCCACACACGAUGUAGUGAAGAAGAAGAAAAGAAAGAGGAAGAGAGGUAAAAAGAUAUCUCUCCCAAAUAAUGCUGCUCCUAUUACUAUUGUGCCUCAUGAAAAUAUAAUUGUGGAAAAUAAUGAUACUUCUUAUGAUCUUGAAAAUCCUUUUGUCACUUGCUUGGAAGAAUAUGAUAAUUGCUAUACUAUUGGUGCUAUCCAUACUAUUAAUGAUGAGAGUGAUUAUGCUUAUGAUAUGAAAAGGCCCAAGCUUUGGGAUGCUAUGUUUGAUGAAGAUGAUGUUUUUGAGAAUAUAUUUGCUACAAUUAAUGUUUGUCCCAAGCUUGGGGAUGCUAUGUUUAAUCAAGAUGAUAUUUUUAGUCUCCCAAGUUUUGAUAUGCAAAUUUAUAAUGAUGAUAGCAUGCCUCCUACUUAUGAUGAUUAUUGUGAUGAUACUUAUGCUAUAAAAAGUAAUGAUUAUAUUUAUAAAACUUGUCAUGAUUAUGGUUACCCCUUUUCUGAACAUUACUCUUUUAAUGUGGAAACAAUUUAUAGUAUUCGAGUUUCUUAUGAUACUCCCACUAUUCCGAAUGAGAAGAAUUUUGCUUGUGUAGAGAGUAAUAAAAUUUCUAUGCUUGUAGAUCAUGAAAAGAAUGCUUUAGGUGCUGGUUAUAUUUUUGAAUUCAUUCAUGAUGCUACUGAAAAUUAUUAUGAGGGAGGAACAUAUGCUUGUAGGAAUUGCAAUAAUAUCAAGUUUCCUCUCUAUGUGCUUAAAGUUUUGAAGUUAUGCUUGUUUUGCCCUCCUAUGCUAGUUGAUUAUUGUUCCCAUAAGUUGUUUGCUCACAAAAUUCCUACACAUAGGAAGUGGGUUAGACUUACAUGUUCUAGUCAUAUGCUUCAUGAUGCUCUCUUUAUGUUUCAAUUCUUAUCUUUUAUGUGAGCAUCAUUGAAAUCGUCAUGCCUAGCUAGGGGCGUUAAACGAUAGCGCUUGUUGAGAGGAAACCCAACUUUAUUUUUGUUCCUUGAUUUUUGCUCCUGUCUAGCAAUAAAUAAUUUAUCUAGCAUCUGUUAUGAUUGAGUUUUUAUGUUAGAACCGUUGGGAAGACUUGGGGAAAGUCUUGGCGAUCAUGCUGUAAAAAAACAGAAACUUUAGCGCUCACGAGAAUUGCUGACAUUUUUUAUUGGAGAGUGCUAUUUGGUUAAUUAUUUUUGCAGAUGAUUAAUAGAUAAAUUCCUCACGUCCAGCAAUUUAUUUUAGAAUUUUUGAGGCUCCAGAAGUUUGCGUUAGUUACAGAUUACUACAGACUGUUCUGUUUUUGACAGAUUCUGUUUUUCGUGUGUUGUUUGCUUAUUUUGAUGAAUCUAUGGCUAGUAAAAUAGUUUAUAAACCAUAGAGAAGUUUUAAUACAGUAGGUUUAACACCAAUAUAAAUAAAUAAUGAGUUCAUUACAGUACCUUUAAGUGGUGUUUUAUUUUCUUUCGCUAACGGAGCUCACGAGUUUUCCAUUUUAAGUUUUGUGUUGUGAAGUUUUCAAGUUUUGGGUAAAGAUUUGAUGGAUUAUGGAAUAAGGAGUGGCAAGAGAAUAAGCUUGGGGAUGCCGAAGGCACCCCAAGGUAAUAUUCAAGGACAACCAAAAGCCUAAGCUUGGGGAUGCCCCGGAAGGCAUCCCCUCUUUCGUCUUCGUUCAUCGGUAACUUUACUUGGAGCUAUAUUUUUAUUCACCACAUGUUACGUGUUUUGCUUGGAGCGUCAUUUUAUUUCAUUUUUUUGCUUGCUGUUUGAAUAAAGUAUCAAGAUAUGAAAUUAUUAAGUGGGAGAGUCUUCACAUAGUUGCAUAAGUAUUCGACUACUCAUUGAUCUUCACUUACAUCUUUCAGAGUAGUUUGUCAUUUUCUCUAGUGCUUCACUUAUAUCUUUUGAGAGCACGGUGGUGGUUUUAUUUUGUAGAAAUAGAUGAACUCUCGUGCUUCACUAAUAUUAUUUUGAGAGUCCUCAGAACAGCAUGGUAAUUUGCUUUGGUUAUGAAUUUAGUCCUAAUAAGAUGGGCAUCCAAGAGGGAUAUAAUAAAAACUUUCAUAUAAGUGCAUUGAAUACUAAGAGAAGUUUGAUACUUGAUGAUUGUUUUGAGAUAUGGAGAUAGUGAUAUUAAAGUUGUGCUAUUUGACACUACUAGGAAAAGGCCUACUAAUGGCGCACCAGUUUUGCCUACUAAUGGCGCAUCACUGGUGCGCCAUUACUAGCACGCCAUUAGUAAUUUUUAGUAAUGGCGCACCACUGGUGCGCCAUUAGUAUCGGCCACGGUGCGCCAUUCGUAUAGGCCACUGGUGCGCCAUUAGUAUAGGCCACGGUGCGCCAUUAGUAUUUUUGGAUUUUGAAGGCGGGAAAAUAGUAGUGGCGCACCGUCUAACCCCCACCGUGCGCCAUUACUAUUUUUGAAUUUUGAAUUUGGAUCUGGAUCGUGAUUUUUUUGCCCAUUUUUUGCUCGUUUUUUUGCUCGUUUUUUGGCACAAUAUUAUUUCAAAUUUUGUUCUUGUUUUUGGAUCUUGUACGUUCUUUUGCCGUGUUCUUUUGCCGGAGAGGAGUUCGCCGGAGAGGAGGAGGAGGAGGUCACCGGAGAGGCGCUCGCCUACAUCGCCGGAGAGGAGGAGGAGGUCGCCGGAGAGGAGUUCACCGAAGCAUCGGAGAGGAGGAAGGAGAAACCAUGAGGGAAUGGGAGGAGAGGAGGGAGGAGAAACCAUGAGGGGAGGGGAGGAGAGGAGGGAGNNNNNNNNNNNNNNNNNNNNNNNNNNNNNNNNNNNNNNNNNNNNNNNNNNNNNNNNNNNNNNNNNNNNNNNNNNNNNNNNNNNNNNNNNNNNNNNNNNNNNNNNNNNNNNNNNNNNNNNNNNNNNNNNNNNNNNNNNNNNNNNNNNNNNNNNNNNNNNNNNNNNNNNNNNNNNNNNNNNNNNNNNNNNNNNNNNNNNNNNNNNNNNNNNNNNNNNNNNNNNNNNNNNNNNNNNNNNNNNNNNNNNNNNNNNNNNNNNNNNNNNNNGGAGAGGAGAAGGAGGUCGCCGGAGAGGAGGAGAUGGAGUGGAGGAGAGGAGGAGAUGGAGUGGAGGAGAGGAGAGGAGGAGAUGGAAUGGAGGAGAGGUGGAGUGGAGGAGGUGCGCCCAGCCAUGUAUACGACAUAGUAAUGGCGCACCGUGGGCAGGUGCGCCAUUACUAACUUUUUUUAUUUUUUGAUUUAUUUUGAAUUUUGAAGGCGGGAAGAUACUAAUGGCGCACCGUGGGCAGGUGCGCCAUUAGUAACUUUUUUUUUAUUUUUGACUAAUUUUGAAUUUUGAAGGCGGGAAGAUACUAAUGGCGCACCGUGGGCAGGUGCGCCAUUAGUAACUUUUUUUGACUAAUUUUGAAUUUUGAAGGUGGGAAGAUACUAAUGGCGCACCACGGGGUGGUGCGCCAUUAGUAACUUUUUUUUAUUUUGUUGACUUAUUUUGAAUUUUGAAGGCGGGAAGAUACUAAUGGCGCACCAUGGGCAGGUGCGCCAUUAGUAAGUUUGAAUUAUUUUUAAUUUUUUUGCCUCUCCAGAUCUUAAAAGCCCCAUAUAUUUUUUUCUGUUAGGUUUUUGAGGAUUUUAAAAAUGUUUAACGGAUUCCCCGGUUAAAUUUGGAUGUAACUUUUCGAGUAGAUGAUUUUUCAUAUAAAAAACUUUUUCAUCCGAGUUAGUAUGCAAAAGUUAUGCCCAUUUUUACAAAUUNNNNNNNNNNNNNNNNNNNNNNNNNNNNNNNNNNNNNNNNNNNNNNNNNNNNNNNNNNNNNNNNNNNNNNNNNNNNNNNNNNNNNNNNNNNNNNNNNNNNNNNNNNNNNNNNNNNNNNNNNNNNNNNNNNNNNNNNNNNNNNNNNNNNNNNNNNNNNNNNNNNNNNNNNNNNNNNNNNNNNNNNNNNNNNNNNNNNNNNNNNNNNNNNNNNNNNNNNNNNNNNNNNNNNNNNNNNNNNNNNNNNNNNNNNNNNNNNNNNNNNNNNNNNNNNNNNNNNNNNNNNNNNNNNNNNNNNNNNNNNNNNNNNNNNNNNNNNNNNNNNNNNNNNNNNNNNNNNNNNNNNNNNNNNNNNNNNNNNNNNNNNNNNNNNNNNNNNNNNNNNNNNNNNNNNNNNNNNNNNNNNNNNNNNNNNNNNNNNNNNNNNNNNNNNNNNNNNNNNNNNNNNNNNNNNNNNNNNNNNNNNNNNNNNNNNNNNNNNNNNNNNNNNNNNNNNNNNNNNNNNNNNNNNNNNNNNNNNNNNNNNNNNNNNNNNNNNNNNNNNNNNNNNNNNNNNNNNNNNNNNNNNNNNNNNNNNNNNNNNNNNNNNNNNNNNNNNNNNNNNNNNNNNNNNNNNNNNNNNNNNNNNNNNNNNNNNNNNNNNNNNNNNNNNNNNNNNNNNNNNNNNNNNNNNNNNNNNAAUUUUUUUACUAAUGGCGCACCGUGGAUGUGGUGCGCCAUUACUAGUUCAACUAGUAAUGGCGCACCACCCCCACGGUGCGCCAUUAGUAGUUUUGAAAAAAAUUAAAUUUUUUUACCAAUGGCGCACCGUGGAUGUGGUGCGCCAUUAGUAUUUGGACACUAAUGGCGUACCAACACAUGGUGCGCCAUUAGUAUAUAGUAAUGGCGCACCACAUGUCUGGUGCGCCAUUAGUGUCAAUUCCAUCUAUAGCCCUUUUCCUAGUAGUGUGAGUAGUUGUGAAUUUGAGAAAUACUUGUGUUGAAGUUUGCAAGUCCCGUAGCAUGCACGUAUGGUAAACGUUAUGUAACAAAUUUGAAACAUGAGGUGUUCUUUGAUUGUCCUCCUUAUGAAUGGCGGUCGGGGACGAGCGAUGGUCUUUUCCUACCAAUCUAUCCCCCUAGGAGCAUGCGUGUAGUGCUUGGUUUUUGAUGACUUGUAGAUUUUUGCAAUAAGUAUAUGAGUUCUUUAUGACUAAUAUUGAGUCCAUGGAUUAUAUGCAUUCUCACCCUUCCAUCAUUGCUAGCCUCUUCGGUACCGUGCAUUGCCCUUUCUCACAUUGAGAGUUGGUGCAAACUUCGCUGGUGCAUCCAAACCCCGUGAUAUGAUACACUCUUUCACACAUAAACCUCCUUAUAUCUUCCUCAAAACAGCCACCAUACCUACCUAUUAUGGCAUUUCCGUAGCCAUUCUGAGAUAUAUUGCCAUGCAACUUUCCACCAUUCUGUUUGUCAUGACACAUUCAUCAUUGUCAUAUUGCUUAGCAUGAUCAUGUAGUUGACAUAGUAUUUGUGGCAAAGCCACCGUUCAUAAUUAUUUCAUACAUGUCACUCUUGGUUCAUUGCAUAUCCCGGUACACCGCCGGAGGCAUUCAUAUAGAGUCAUAUCUUGUUCUAGUAUCGAGUUGUAAAUAAAUAGAAGUGUGAUGAUCAUCAUUAAUAGAGCAUUGUCCCAAAAAAAGGAAGAGAACGACCAAAUAAAAAAGGGAAGCCCCCCACCCAAAAAAGAAAAGAAAGGCCAGAUAAAAAAUAAAAAAAAUAAAAAAAAUAAAAGGGACAAUGCUACUAUCCUUUUUCCACACUUGUGCUUCAAAGUAGCACCAUGAUCUUUAUGAUAGAGAGUCUCUUGUUUUGUCACUUUCAUAUACUAGUGGGAAUUUUUUAUUAUAGAACUUGGCUUGUAUAUUCCAACAAUGGGCCUCCUCAAGUGCCCUAGGUCUUUGUGAGCAAGCAAGUUGGAUGCACACCCACUUAGUUUCUUUUGUUGAGCUUUCAUACAUUUAUGGCUCUAGUGCAUCCGUUGCAUGGCAAUCCCUAAUCCUUGCAUUGACAUCAAUUGAUGGGCAUCUCCCUAGCCCAUUGAUUAGCCGCGUCGAUGUGAGACUUUCGCCUUUUGGUCUUCUCCACAUAACCCCCUCAUUAUAUUCUAUUCCACCCAUAGUGCUAUAUCCAUGGCUCACGCUCAUGUAUUGCGUGAAAGUUGAAAAAAGUUUGAGAUUACUAAAGUAUGAAACAAUUACUUGGCUUGUCAUCGGGGUUGUGCACAAUGAGAGCAUUCUUGUGUGACGAAAAUGGAGCAUGGCCAAACUAUAUGAUUUUGUAGGGAUGAACUUUCUUUGGCCAUGUUAUUUUGAGAAGACAUGAUUGCUUAGUUAGUAUACUUGAAGUAUUAUUAUUUUUAUGUCACUAUUAAACUUUUGUCUUGAAUCUUAUGGAUCUGAAUAUUCUUGCCACAAUAAAGAGAACUACAUGGAUAAAUAUGUUAGGUGGCAUUCUACAUCAAAAAUUCUGUUUUUAUCUUUUAGCUACUCCAGGACGAGCAGGAAUUAAGCUUGGGGAUGCUGAUACGCCUCCAACGUAUCUAUAAUUUUUAUUGUUCCAUGCUAUUAUAUUAUCAACCUUGGAUGUUUUAUAUGCAUCUUUAUGCUAUUUUAUAUCAUUUUUGGGACUAACCUAUUAACCUAGAGCCCAGUGCCAGUUUCUGUUUUUUCCUUGUUCUAGGGUUUCGAAGAAAAGGAAUAUCAAAUGGAGUCCAAACGGAAUGAAACCUUCGGAAAAGUUGUUUUUGGAAAGAAAGCAAUACAGGAGACUUGGAGUGCACGUCAGCGGAUCAACGAGGAAGCCACGAGGCAGGGGGCGCGCCCACCCCCUGGGCGCGCCCUCCACCCUCGUAGGCCCCUCGUGGCUCCCCUAAUGUAUUUCUUCCGCCUGUAUGUACCAAUAUACCCUAAAACGAUCGGGGAGCACAAUAGAUUGGGAGUUCCGCCGCCAGAAGCCUCUGUAGCCACUAAAAGUGAAUCUAGACCCGUUCCGGCACCCUGCCGGAGGGUGAAUCCCUCUCCGGUGGCCAUCUUCAUCAUCCCGGUGCUCUCCAUGACGAGGAGGGAGUAGUUCUCCCUUGGGGCUGAGGGUAUGUACCAGUAGCUAUGUGUUUAAUCUCUCUCUCUCUCUCUCUCGUGUUCUUGAGGUGAUACGAUCUUGAUGUAUCGCGAGCUUUGCUAUUAUAGUUGUAUCUUAUGUUUCUUCUCCUCCUCUACUCUCUUGUAAUGGAUUGAGUUUCCCCUUCGAAGUUAUCUUAUCGGAUUGAGUCUUUAAAGAUUUGAGAACACUUGAUGUAUGUCUUGCCGCGUGUAUCUGUGGUGACAAUGGGAUAUCACGUGAUUCACUUGAUGUAUGUUUUCGUGAUCAACUUGCGGGUUCCGCCCAUGAACCUAUGCAUAGGGGUUGGCACACGUUUUCGUCGUGAUUCUUUGGUAGAAACUUUGGUGCACUCUUUGAGGUUCUAUGUGUUGGUUGAAUAGAUGAACUUGAGAUUGUGUGAUGCAUAUCGUAUAAUCAUACCCACAGAUACUUGAGGUGACAAUGGUUUGCUCACAAAAUCCCUAUGCAUAGGAAGUGGGUUAGACUUAAAUGUUCUAGUCAUAUGCUUCAUGAUGCUCUCUUUAUGUUUCAGUUCUUAUCUUUUAUGUGAGCAUCAUUGAAAUCAUCAUGCCUAGCUAGGGGCGUUAAACGAUAGCGCUUGUUGGGAGGAAACCCAACUUUAUUCUUGUUCCUUGCUUUUUGCUCCUGUUUAGCAAUAAAUAACUUAUCUAGCCUCUGUUAUGAUUGAGUUUUUAUGUUUUAAUUAGUGUUUGUGCCAAGUAGAACCGUUGGGAAGACUUGGGGAAAGUCUUUGCGAUCAUACUGUAAAAAACAGAAACUUCAGCGCUCACGAGAAUUGAUGGGCAUCUCCUUAACCCAUUGAUUAGCCGCGUCGAUGUGAGACUUUCUCCUUUUUGUCUUCUCCACAUAACCCCCUCAUUAUAUUCUAUUCCACCCAUAGUGCUAUAUCCAUGGCUCACGCUCAUGUAUUGCGUGAAAGUUGAAAAAAGUUUGAGAUUACUAAAGUAUGAAACAAUUGUUUGGCUUGUCAUCGGGGUUGUGCAUGAUGAGAGCAUUCUUGUGUGACGAAAAUGGAGCAUGACCAAACUAUAUGAUUUUGUAGGGAUGAACUUUCUUUGGCCAUGUUAUUUUGAGAAGACAUGAUUGCUUAGUUAGUAUGCUUGAAGUAUUAUUAUUUUUAUGUCAAUAUUAAACUUUUUUCUUGAAUCUUAUGUAUUUGAAUAUUCUUGCCGGAAUAAAGAGAACUACAUGGAUAAAUAUGUUAGGUAGCAUUCCACAUCAAAAAUUCGGUUUCAUUAGCGGCGUGCCCUGCACCCAUUUAUCACGUCGUAUCUCUGUAGUAUGCGCAUUCCCAAUUUGUCACGGCAUACCCUCCUUCAAACCUUCUUGCCCUUUCAGAUUAGCACGCCAAGCUAGCUAUGCACUAUGCGGGAACCUGCAUUUGAAAAAAAAGAAUCUCAUUUCAUGGUAUCUUCCAUGAAGGACCCUCGUACAUGAGCUAUCUAGAUAGAAAUAGCCAUGUAUGUUUAGCAAACUUUGCAUAAGUGAAUAGAUCAAGGUCGUGGAACCCCAAGCCUCCAAUUACACACGGCCUCUCUACCAAUAAGAUCUCCAAAGACAUCAAGGAUACAGACAGCCAAAAAAGAAAAUAAAAAGGAAAAAAAUAAAAAAUACCCCACCAUGGUGAUCAAUCACAAGCAUCAGCAGCACUCUAACCACCACCUAAGACAACGCCCAGAUUACAAAAAAAAUUCUCCAAAAGCAAUGCCCCCAAGAAGGAAACAAUACACAAGCGUUGUCGUUGCCCGAUCGAAGAUCGUGGGUUUUCACACUGGAAAAUUUUUGAGUUCACCCAAAAACAAUGCCUUCAACAAGGCCAUUGCCAAGUACAACAAAUAUGGCUGAGACCUUGGGUUUUCACCCUAGGAAUUGAGAGUCGAUGCUCGAGGAGUACCACCAAAAAUGCAGUCCACUAGUGUUGCCGCCCCCACUUGGCGAGGCCGCUGUUGCAAGUCACCAAACACCUGGCAUAUAGUUGUCAUCGCAUCCAAUACACCCUUCGGCCGAAGCUUCAAGACCUUGAUCCGUCUCCAACGUAUCUAUAAUUUUUGAUUGUUCCAUGCUAUUAUAUUAUCUGUUUUGGAUGUUUUAUAUGAGUAGGGCGUUUUGGUGCCCAGGCUCAUCUGCACCCGGUUAGAAAAAAUUCAUAAAAAAUUUAAACAAAUUCAAAAAAUUCCAAAUAAAAUUUGUAUGGUAGACAAUUUGAUGCGUGAGGCCCGCCUCAAAUUUCAAGUCAUUUGGAUAUAUGAGAAGCUCUCAGCAAAAAAGACAAAUCGGACUAAAACAGUACAUGAACAGUAAACAUUUUUACAGACCCUCAAUUUGUCUUUUUUGCUGAGAGCUGCUCAUAUGUUCAAAUGACUUGAAAUUUGGAGCGUGCCUCACGCAUCAAAAUUUCUAUCACACAAAUUUUAUUUGGAAUUUUUCGAAUUUUUCUAGUAUUUGUUUUGAUUUUUUUCGUCGGCACAGGUGCAGAUGAGCUCAGGUGCAGAAAUGGAUUUUCGGUUUUAUUUGCACUAUUAUGCUAUUUUAUAUGAUUUUUGCGACUAACCUAUUAAACUAGAGCCCAGUGCCAGUUCCUGUUUUUUCCUUGUUUUAGAGUUUCACAGAAAAGGAAUACCAAACGGAGUCCAAACGGAAUGAAACUUUUGCGAUGAUGUUUCUUAGACCAGAAGACAUCUAGAGGACUUGGAGUGCACGUUAGGAAAGCCAUGAGGUGGCCACAAUGACGGAGGGCACGCCCCCACCCUUGUGGGCUCCUCGUGACUCUACCGACCUAUUUCGUCCGCAUAUAUAUUCUCAAAUAUUCCAAAACCUACUAGGAGAGCCACAAAAAAACUUUUCCACCGUCGCAACCUUCUGUACCCAUGAGUUCCCAUCUAGGGGCCUUUUCCGGCAUCCCGUCGGAGGGGGAUUCGAUCACGGAGGGCUUCUACAUCAACACCAUUGCCUCUCCGAUGAAGCGUGAGUAGUUUACCACAGACCUAUGAGUCCAUAGCUAGUAUCUAAACGGCUUCUUCUCUCUCUUUGAUUCUCAAUACCAUGUUCUCUUCGAUGUUCUUGGAGAUCUAUUCGUUGUAAUACUCUUUUUGCGGUGUGUUUGCCGAGAUCCGGUGAAUUGUGGAUAUAUGAUCAGGUUAUCUAUGAAUAUUAUUUGAAUCUCCUAUGAAUUCUUAUAUGCAUGAUUUGAUAUAUUUGCAAGUCUCUUCGAACUAUCGAUUUGGUUUGGCCAACUAGAUUGGUUUUUCUUGCAAUGGGAGAAGUGCUUAACUUUGGGUUCAAUCUUGCGGUGCUCGAUCCCAGUGACAGAAGGGGAUGAUACGUCUCCAACGUAUCUAUAAUUUUUGAUUGUUCCAUGCUAUUAUAUUAUCAACCUUGGAUGUUUUAUAUGCAUUUAUAUGCUAUUUUAUAUGAUUUUUGGGACUAACCUAUUAACCUAGAGCCCAGUGCCAGUGCCAGUUUCUGUUUUUUCCUUGUUUUAGGGUUUCAAAGAAAAGGAAUAUCAAACAGAGUCCAAACGGAAUGAAACCUUCGGAAAAGUUAUUUUUGGAAAGAAAGCAAUACGAGAGACUUGGAGUGCACGUCAGGGGAUCAACGAGGAAGCCACGAGGCAGGGGCACGCCCUCCACCCUCGUGGCUCCCCUAAUGUAUUUCUUCCGCCUAUAUAUAUCCAUAUACCCUAAAAUGAUCGGGGAGCACAAUAGAUCGGGAGUUCCGCCACCAGAAGCCUCCGUAGCCACCGAAAGCCAAUCUAGACCCGUUCCGGCACCCUGCCGGAGGAGGAAUCCCUCUUCGGUGUCCAUCUUCAUCAUCCCGGUGCUCUCCAUGACGAGGAGGGAGUAGUUCUCCCUCAGGGCUGAGGGUAUGUACCAGUAGCUAUGUGUUUGAUCUCUCUCUCUCUCUCUCUCUCUCUCUCUCGUGUUCUUGAGGUGAUACGAUCUUGAUGUAUCGCGAGCUUUGCUAUUAGAGUUGGAUCUUAUGUUUCUUCUCCCCCUCUACUCUCUUGUAAUGGAUUGAGUUUCCCCUUCGAAGUUAUCUUAUCGGAUUGAGUCUUUAAAGAUUUGAGAACACAUGAUGUAUGUCUUGCCGUGCGUAUCUGUGGUGACAAUGGGAUAUCACGUGAUUCAUUUGAUGUAUGUUUUGGUGAUCAAGUUGCGGGUUCCACCCAUGAACCUAUGCAUAGGGGUUGGCACACAUUUUCGUCAUGAUUCUCCGGCAGAAACUUUGGGGCACUCUUUGAGGUUCUAUGUGUUGGUUGAAUAGAUGAAUCUGAGAUUGUGUGAUGCAUAUCGGAUAAUCAUACCCACGGAUACUUGAGGUGACAAUGGAGUAUCUAGGUGACAUUAGGGUUUUGGUUGAUUUGUGUCUUAAGGUGUUAUUCUAGUACGAACUCUAGGGCUGUUUGUGACACUUAUAGGAAUAGCCCAAUGGAUUGAUUGGAAAGAAUAACUUGGAGGUGGUUUCGUACCCUACCAUAAUCUCUUCGUUCGUUCUCCGCUAUUAGUGACUUUGGAGUGAUUCUUUGUUGCAUGUUGAGGGAUAGUUAUGUGAUCCAAUUAUGUUAUUAUUGUUGAGAGAACUUGCACUAGUGAAAGUAUGAACCCUAGGUCUUGUUUCAACGCAUUGCAAUACCGUUUACGCUCACUUUUAUCAUUAGUUACCUUGCUGUUUUUAUAUUUUCAGAUUACAAAAACCUUUAUCUACCAUCCAUAUACCACUUGUAUCACCAUCUCUUCGCCGAACUAGUGCACCGAUACAAUUUACCAUUGUAUUGGGUGUGUUGGGGACACAAGAGACUCUUUGUUAUUUGGUUGCAGGGUUGGUUGAGAGAGACCAUCUUCAUCCUACGCCUCCUACAGAUUGAUAAACCUUGGGUCAUCCACUUGAGGAAAAUUUGCUACUGUCCUACAAACCUUUGCACUUGGAGGCCCAACAACGUCUACAAGAAGAAGGUUGUGUAGUAGACAUCAGGGGAACCGACACAUAUUGUAGUGUUUCCAUCGAGGAUAACAAGAUGGGGUUUUCGUCAUAUUGCUUGAGUUUAUCCCGCUACAUCAAGUCAUCUUACUUAAUGCGUUAUCCUGUUCUUAUGAACUUAGUACUCUAGGUGCAGGCAGGAGUCAGUGGACGUGUGGAGUAAUAGUAGUAGAUGCAAGCAGGAGUCCGUCUACUUGAUACAAACAUGAUGCUUAUGUUCAUGAUCAUUGCCUUAGAUAUCGUCAUAAGUUUGCACUUUUCUAUCAAUUGCUCAGCAGUAAUUUGUUCACCCACCGUAAGAUUUUCUAUCUUGAGAGAAGCCUCUAGUGAAACCUAUGGCCCCGGGGUCUACUUUCCAUCAUAUAAGUUUCUGAUCUACAAUUGUGUUGGUUGAAUAGAUGAAUCUGAGAUUGUGUGAUGCAUAUCGUAUAAUCAUACCCACGGAUACUUGAGGUGACAAUGGAGUACCUAGGUGACAUUAGUGUUUUGGUUGAUUUGUGUCUUAAGGUGUUAUUCUAGUACGAACUCUAGGGCUGUUUGUGACACUUAUAGGAAUAGCCCAACGGAUUGAUUGGAAAGAAUAACUUUGAGGUGGUUUCGUACCCUACCAUAAUCUCUUCGUUCGUUCUCCGCUAUUAAUGACUUUGGAGUGACUCUUUGUUGCAUGUUGAGGGAUAGUUAUGUGAUCCAAUUAUGUUAUUAUUGUUGAGAGAACUUGCACUAGUGAAAGUAUGAACCCUAGGCCUUGUUUCAACGCAUUACAAUACCGUUUACGCUCAGUUUUAUCAUUAGUUACCUUGCUGUUUUUAUAUUUUCAGAUUACAAAAACCUUUAUCUACCAUCCAUAUACCACUUGUAUCACCAUCUCUUCGCUGAACUAGUGCACCUAUACAAUUUACCAUUGUAUUGGGUGUGUUGGGGACACAAGAGACUCUUUGUUAUUUGGUUGCAGGGUUGCUUGAGAGAGACCAUCUUCAUCCUACACCUCCUACGGAUUGAUAAACCUUAGGUCAUCCACUUGAGGGAAAUUUGCUACUGUCCUACAAACCUCUGCACUUGGAGGCCCAACAACGUCUACAAGAAGAAGGUUGUGUAGUAGACAUCAGGGGAACCGACACAUAUUGUAUUGUUUCCAUCGAGGAUAACAAGAUGGGGUUUUCGUCAUAUUGCUUGAGUUUACCCCGCUACAUCAAGUCAUCUUACUUAAUGCGUUAUCCUGUUCUUAUGAACUUAAUACUCUAGAUGUAGGCAGGAGUCGGUGGACGUGUGGAGUAAUAGUAGUAGAUGCAAGCAGGAGUCAGUCUAGUUGAUACAAACGUGAUGCUUAUGUUCAUGAUCAUUGCCUUAGAUAUCGUCAUAACUUUGCGCUUUUAUAUCAAUUGCUCAACAGUAAUUUGUACACCCACUGUAAGAUUUUCUAUCUUGAGAGAAGCCUCUAGUGAAACUAUGGCCCCGGGGUCUACUUUCCAUCAUAUAAGUUUCCGAUCUACAAUUUUAGUUUCCUAUCACUUCCUUUGCAAUCUUUUACUUUCCAUUCCAUAAACCAAAAAUACCAAAAAUAUUACUUUACCGAUUAUCCAUCUCUAUCAGAUCUCACCUUGCAAAUAACCAUGAAGGAUUGACAACCCCUUUGUCGCAUUAGGUGUAAGUUGCUAUUUGUUUGAGCAUGUAUUCAGUGACUUGUGCAUUGUCUCCUACUGGAUUGAUACCUUGGUUCUCAAAACUGAGGGAAAUACUUACUCUACUUUGCUGCAUCACCCUUUCCACUUCAAGGGAAAAACCAACGCAAGCUCAAGAGGAAGUAGGAAGAAUUUCUGGCACCGUUGCCGGGGACAUCUACGCCAAGUCAAGACAUACCAAGUACCCAUCAUAAACUCUCAUCUCUUGCAUUAUAUUAUUUGCCAUUCGCCUCUCGUUUUCCUCUCCCCCACUUCUAAAAUGAUUUGCCUUUUCUUCGCCCUCUUCCAUUCAUCUUCUUCGCUUGCUUUUUGUGUGCUCAUGUGUUGGAUUGCUUGCUUUGUCACGAUGUCUCAAGAGAAUACCAAAUUGUGUGACUUUUCCAAUACCAACAACAAUGAUUUUAUUAGUACCCCGAUUGCUCCCGCUACUAAUGCGGAAUCUUGUGAAAUUAAUGCUGCUUUGCUGAGUCUUGUUAUGAAAGAUCAAUUUUCCGGCCUUCCCAAUGAAGAUGCCGCAUCCCAUCUAAACAAUUUCGUUGAUUUGUGUGAUAUGAAAAAGAAAAAAGAUAUGGAUAAUGAUAUUGUUAAAUUGAAGCUAUUUCCGUUGUCACUUCGAGAUCGUGCUAAAACUAGGUUUUCAUCUUUGCCUAAAAAUAGCGAGUGUCAUUUUUUAAUGCGAGUGAUUAGUUUUUAAAGAAUGAUUGGCAUUCUUUCUUAAUUGCUCAUCUACUAAUCGUUUGGCGUGUUUUCUUAUCUUGUCAAAAUCAUAUCCCCUGGCUGUAAAUAUCAAAGAAUAAUUUCAUUUGUUGGGCUUGGACUGUACUGUCCGAGAGUCAGAGUAUAAAUACCAUACGAUUUCAAGAGCAAUAGCAACGGGGCAACCAUUAGUCCAUACUCUACACCAUAUGGCUAGAAAUUUUAUAUUAUAUAUAACAAAGUUGUGACAAAUUGGAAAUGGAAAGCAAUAAAAUGAAUAUGUUGCUAUAGGUUAUUAUUAUUACACAUGCACGUGUACCUUGAUCCUUGCUUGGACAUAGGGUCCGAGGAAGUUACAUUGCUUUGACUACUGAUAUUGUUUGUGUUAAAGUGUGCCACAAUGGCAUAAAUAUUGUCGUUGCAUAAUGGGAAACCACGUCAUAUUUAUCGAUGAUAUGUGGAAAUAGGGAUAAGCUACUUUAUGAAGAUAUAUAAGGAUGUAUGGGUUACGUUGGUGGAAAAUGUUGUUAUGAACACAAAUGCAGUUGCAUUUAUCAUGCAUUCGCGGUGAAGUGCGCUAUUGUGGCAUAUAUCUUCCUUUUUGCCACAGAAGCAUGGUAGAAUUAUAAAGAGAGUAUGUUUCUAUAGACAUUUCAAAAAAGAGAUUUGUGUAUACUCUCAUUAUACUGUAAUCACCAUAGAUUAUUCAGAUUAGAAGUUGUUGUCUCUACCACAUAUUUAGAUUUUCUAUACAUACUAAUAUCUAUAUCGCAUAGAAAAUCAUGUAUUUAUAUGAGAUCUUUGUGGUGCAUGAUAAAGCAAGAUUCCUUUUGUUAUUGCAGCAAUUUAUAAGUAUUUAAAUAUAUACUAAUAGCUAGUUUCUUCUGUGUUAUAAGGACAAAAUAAGACAUGCAUAGACAUGCAAAUACGUAUUAGAAAUCUGCUACUCCAAAUGUAUCAUGUUAAUCCAUGUAAGCCACGAAUCGCGUGCAUAUCAGGCAAAGCAGUUUUUUUUGUAAAAACAAUACAUAAUACUAAUCGAUGGUAUAGACGAUUCAAUACAUAUGCAUCAAGACACCGCUACCUUGCACAUAGUGAUAUAGGAUGGAAUUGAAUCUGAUCCGCUCCUUUCCAACUUAAUCGAGUAAUGUGUACUUCUCAUAAAUAGGCAUGUAUAUAGUAAUUGUUCUUUUGACCAAACGCUUGGUAUAUUAAUGAUCACAUUAUACAUUUAUGUAACAUUUCUUACUUGCGAAAUCUUUUACAAAUUGGAAUAUGGGAAUUUUAUUAAUACCUAGAAGAAAUACUACUAUUUAGAACAUAUAAUAACUGGUACUAUACUUUUUCUUAAUAUUGGUACUAUACUUAAUUGGACCAAAAGUUGCACAUAUUUUUGAUUAGUUCAUUUUUUUCUACAGAUUUAUCGGCGCCAUUAUUUCUCUAUGGUUGACAUGUAUAUGAACUACUGUCUGUAUAUAUUGAUCUGCAUUUAGACAAAUAUCAGGGACAAACACACAUACUGUUUAGCAUGUGUAGUUGUAAAGGUAGAAUACUGAUUUGUAGUAUUAAGAAAAUAUAUUUAUAAGAUCUUACUACAAUGUAUAUGGAUUGAGAAUCAGAGAAAUAACCAAGUGUUGUGCAAGGAUCAUUCUGACUAUCCAGUGGCAGAAUAAAAAUAGGAUGCUAAGCGCGGGGAGAAUACUUAUGUCCUAUAAACCUGCAAAUAAGAAGCAUGCAUUCACCAUAUAUUAGAAUUCCAAAUUUUAUAGUUCCUUUGCAUGUUGGAAAUAAGCUUUGCCCCUUGUGAUAUGGAUUAUCACGUAGAAUGGAAAGAGGAGAAAAAAAUUAUGGCUUAGCAGAAUCAAUGAGGAAAAGCACUACAUGUGAAGUAUCAAAACGUUGUGAUAGCACGAACCCCACCAGAUUUGAACUCGUGCUCUUAGUAUGACAUGAAAAGAGGGGCUACUCUCCAAUCGAAGUGAAAAUAGUAGAACUUUGAACUUAUAUAUAUAUACGCUUAAAAAUUCUAAAAGCAAAUGGUCAAAAACUCAGAAUAGCUUGAGCGGGCACUACUUGCUAACUCAAGCACAUGGCAACACAGUAUUAAGUCAAGAUUUUGCAACCGAGAGGGAAAGUCAAAUAAAUAAAUAAAUAAAUAAGGAUUCUCAUCAAACCUGUGAAUCCAAGCUAGUAUCUAACUAUUGUAUUGCUCAUAGUUUUGCAUACACCAUGGAACGUACGAUACAUAGCAUGUUGAAAAAUUAUAACCAAUUAAAUAGAAGAUAAAGGCAUAGUGCUAGGAGAUCAUCUCUCAGAGCAAUCAUCGCUGACAUAAACCUUCGGUUAAAUCACAUGUCUAAUUAGAACCUAGAGGUCUUUUACUUUUCCUUUAUAUGGAACCUUUAUUUUGACCUUUGGGGACUAUAGCCGCCUCAAAUAUGCAACUUUUUUUCGAAAUUUUAGUAUAGUGUAGUUGGAGCUUUUCCUGGUGUUCCAUAAAAAUAGCAAAGGGCAUAUUUCCUUUAGCCUACUUAUAUAUAAAAAAACGGCGUUCCUUAAUUAUUAUUCAAACUGAAAACACAUGCUAUCUUUAAAAGCAAAGAUGUACCUUAUGUGAGAAUCAUGCAUGUGUUAUUUCUAAUUAGUUAGGCAAUAAAAUAAUAGCAUCGUAUCAUUAGAUAAAUUAUUUUUCAACUGAAUCAGACAUGUGGGGUUUGACAAAAUUGAAAGUAUAUGCGAAGAUGUUAAGGAGAAAAUGUCAAUAUAAAAAAACUGUUUCUAUAGGCAGAUGUGAAUUACGUACAAAAAUAGGUCUGUUCGCUUUACAAAAGUUCUGGUGAAACCAAACUCCUGAGUUACUACAUGUAGAGCUCAAAAAUACCAGAUAUAGAGUAUAAAAUGAGAAUGGAAUACUAAGUGCAUCUUACAGAAAUUAUAAGAUCUUUUUAAUAGCUUCCUCAAUAUUACAUAGCAUACACAACAAUGAGGCAUCAAAUGAAUCAGUAUUCUAAAUAUGUAAAGAAGAAUAAGAAACACAAAGUAGCUGCUGCUCGAGCAACUACUACAUGCAAAUACAAUGCUUGAGAAUUUUCAAGCGUUCUGUUCGCUUUUUACCCUGAUUCAGCAUGGAUUAAAAAACCACAGUACUUAAUUCCGUGUAUCCUAAAUUCAAGCGUCAUGUUCGACGAAUUUCACCAUAGAUUUACAUGCCUGUGGACUUGUAGAACCAACAGCGCACUCUACAACAUCCGACAGAUAAAUCGAUCUGCUUUCCGUUCGCUGUAGGUUGUUCAUUGGGAAGCAGCACGAUCCACUUUAGACCACCAUCAGUAGACCUGAUCCUACGCUGCAUCGCAUUGUUAUAUUGCAGUCAGCUCGGAACUUAUGUCAAGGAGAAUAGUUAGACGAUGGAUUUGAUAUUUGGCCUUUUUGAGAUCUGAAACGUGUGUGUACUUCGUAGCUGUCAGCAGGUGGAAGGCCGUCCUGACAAAGAGGCAUAUUGCAUCCUAAAUUCAAGCACCAUGUUCGAAAAAAAAUCAGUAUGGGUUUACUUGCCUGUGGACUUGUAGAACCAACAUCAAACCCGACAAAAUCGGACAGAUAAAUCGAUCUGCUUUCCGUUCGUAGUAGGUUCUCCAAUGGGCAGCAGCACGAUCCACUUUAGACCACCUGAUCCUACGCUGCAUCUUGCAGUCAGCUCCGAACUUAACCCAGAAGAAUAGUUAGACGAUGGAUUUGAUAGUUGGCCUUUUUUUAGAUCAGAAUUGUAGGUGCAGGGUGGCUCGGCGAUCCUGACAAAGAUGAGAUUGAUCGGGGUCGCUAAUAAUCCCUUGUAGCACCUGCCGGGAUCCUUUGUGGUUCGCCGAGUGCACUUGAUGGCGAUGGGAUCAAGGGAAGAGAAGAAUUGAAGGAGGUGGGGUCGAGGGACAUGUUUUUCCUAUUUUAGGGGGAGAUAUCUUUCCUUUCUGUUUUUGCGUGAUUGUUUUCGUUUUUCAAUCGGCCGAAGAUUUUAUUGACAGAUCUAUUUUCUUUUUCUUUUCAUCACGGGAUUUUACAUGAAAGGAGGCUAUCUUUUUUUAGCAUGGAAGGAAGAUAUCUUUUUUAAAGGAACCGAUGGAUGCUUUGUUUGUUUGUUAAGCCAAUCUUGACGGUGUCGCGUUCCUUUAUUUUUUACGGGGCCAUAUAUGCUACCAUUGAUUGCAAUUAGUUUUUUUCUCUUGGAGAUGGAUUAUUUGUUUGUUGAACGUGUCUGCCUUAAUUAUGGAUGGACCAUCUGUGUAACGCAUGUUUACUUUUUAUCUUGGACGUUAAUUCUAUAAUCUAUCGGUGUAAUUAAUUUUGAUGAUGUGGAUUAAUGAGAAGGCCUUAAAAGGUGCCUCCAAUUAGUAAAUAUAUAAGAUAUAAGAUAUUGAUUCAUGGAAUAAGUUUAAGGAUGAAUUUAUUUCCAAGUAUUUUCCUCCCGCUAAGAUCAUCUCUCUUAGGAACGACAUUAUGAAUUUUAACCAACUUGAUCAUGAACAUGUUGCACAAUCUCCGUAGAGGAUGAAAUUGAUGAUAUGAAAUUGCCCUACACAUGGUUUGAAUAUGUGGAUGAUUAUACAAUUUUUUAUGCCGGAUUGAAUUUUGCUUCUAGAAAUCUUUUAGAUUCGGCCGUGGGAGGUACUUUUAUGGAAAUUACUUUAGGAGAAGCUACUAAACUCCUAGAUAAUAUUACGGUUAAUUAUUCUCAAUGGUAUACUGAAAGAUCUUCCACUAGUAAAAAAGUGCAUGCGAUUGAUGAGUUUAAUGUUUUGAGUGGAAAGAUGGAUGACCUUAUGAAAUUAUAUGCUAGCAAGAGUGCUUCUGUUGAUCCUAAUGAUAUGCCUUUGUCUACUUUGAUUGAGAAUAAUAAUGAAUCUAUGUAUGUGAAUUUUGUUGGUAGGAACAAUUUUGGUAAUAACGCUUAUGGAGGUAAUUUUAAUCCUAGACUGCUUCCUAAUAAUUCCCCUAAUAAUUAUGGCAAUUCCUACAACAAUUCUUCACUGGUAGAAAAAGGGCCUGUAGUCCCGGUUCGUAAGGGCCUUUAGUCCCGGUUCCUGAACCGGGACUAAAGUGUCGGUACUAAUACCUCCCACCUUUAGUCCCGGUUCAAUCCAGAACCGGGACUAAAGCCCAUCCACGUGGGCAGUGUGCAGAGCCCAGUCAGGAGACCCUUUGGUCCCGGUUGGUGGCACCAACCGGGACCAAUAGGCAUCCACGCGUCAGCAUUUCUGUGNNNNNNNNNNNNNNNNNNNNNNNNNNNNNNNNNNNNNNNNNNNNNNNNNNNNNNNNNNNNNNNNNNNNNNNNNNNNNNNNNNNNNNNNNNNNNNNNNNNNNNNNNNNNNNNNNNNNNNNNNNNNNNNNNNNNNNNNNNNNNNNNNNNNNNNNNCCGGUUCAAUCCAGAACCGGGACUAAAGCCCAUCCACGUGGGCAGUGCGCAGAGCCCAGUCAGGAGACCCUUUGGUCCCGGUUGGUGGCACCAACCGGGACCAAUAGGCAUCCACGCGUCAGCAUUUCUGUGGCUAGGGUUUUUAUUUUUAUUUUUUGAAAGGGGGGGGGGGUUGGGGGUUUUGGGGGGUUAAUUUAGGUGUUUCAUAUAUUGUGUUAGCUAGCUAUAAUUAAUAUAGAGAAGUGUCCUCUCUUAUGUCCGUGCUUGGUCGACGCUACGUACUAUACAUACGUAUAGAGAGGACUAGACACGCUGGCUAGCUAGUAAAGCAAACGAAGGAAACAGAAGAUCGUCAUGAACAUAUAUGCAUACAGAGAGAAGUGAUAUCGACCACCUCUCCUUCUCCGAGAGAUUGGUCGAACAACAAGUUCUCGUAUAUCUAUCUGACAGUACCGGCUACAUAUAUACAGUAAUUAUCUCUUACAAAUAUAAUCAUACGGACUCAGGUUUAACAUAGAAUUCUCCGUCUUCAGGGAUCACGUGGUCAAAAAAGAAUGCCGCCAAUUCCUCUUGAAUUGCUCGCAUGCGAGCUGGUGCUAGGAGUUCAUCCCGCUUCCGAAACAUCUAAUUUGAAGAAGGGGGUCAAUACAUAUAUAUAUAUAUAUGAAUGAAUGAAACUCAACACAAAUGAUGGUAAUAAAAUAAAAUUGUGAAUAUUGUUAUUUACGUACUUCAUAUUGUUCGUUAGAGUACCCGCCCCGCUCACACGUCGUGUGACGGAUGGACUCGCAGAUGUAGUAUCCACAGAAAUCAUUCCCUUGUUCCUGCCACAACCACUUUACAAGAAAUAGAGGUCAAUCAAACUGAUAAGCAAGAAUGCUAAAUGGUAUUGAUGAAACUAGCGCUUGAAUCACUAGGAGAUGCGCGGAACAUGCUACUAUAGUACUUACUUUCGGGUGUCUAAAUUCUAGCUCCUUCGGCAGUCCCGGAACUUUUUUGGUGAAUUUUCUCCAAACCAUGCCGGACAAAGAAAACAAUUACUUGAUAUCAGGAAAUGAACAAAGUUGCUGAUAUGGUGGAUAAUGAUCGAUUUAACUUACUUCUUGAGGAUUUCAGUCAUGUCUGCAUAGUCCUGCGGAUCUUUUCGUUUUGAGUCUAAGAAGGUUACUAGUCCCUGCUCAAGCUUAAUCUCUAGGAGAAUAUAGUGGAAACUGCACACGCAUGCAUAACUUAUGAAUUACAUUACUAUAACCUUGAGUAAUAUAUAAGGGAAACCGAAUACGCACAAGACAGUAGCACUCACUUGAAGUUGUAAGGAAAGAGUAUUAUAUCUUUGUUUUGAUUUAUUACGAACGAUUGUAGAAAGUUGGCCUCGGUAGCUGUGACAUGAAGUUUAACCUGAAUUGCAUCUAUGAGAUAUGUGUUAAUGAACCCAAUAUCACCGACUUGUCUUUUCUUCAAUUCGACGAUCUUCAAUCUGCAUAAUAUAGUGAGGAUGAUUAUAAAUACAUGCAAUGAAAGAGCUAAGCUAUAUAGAGAAACUUAAUGACAGAAGUAGUACUACUUACAGACAGUAGCAGGCGACCGUUGUUUUAUCGAGGGCCAAUUGAUUGAAAAACUGAUAGAACUCCUCAAAUGGAACAGGCAACAGAUCAAUUCCAACGAGGUCAUGCUCCUUUUUAACUCUCACAUACAAAGUACUCCUCCCCCAGAGUCUCUGCAGAUUUUCAAGUACCAAUCAUGCAAUCUUCGCAUCAUCGUUGAUAGAGAUCUUUCAUCUUUGACGAGAGGCUUCCCGUACUCGUAUCUUUGCAUCUGCAUGUCCAUGGGUUCAUAAUGUACUUCGUCGGGUAGGUAAUCUGCAAGAUUAUUAUAACCGGGCACCAUCCUCGGAUCAUUAGCGACUUUGUGGCUAGGCACCUUGAGCGAGGGGCAUGAUUGCUUCGCUUGUUUGCCGAGCUGGGCAAUUUGUUUCCCAGCUCGUCGUUUUUUCAGCCUUUCAUCACUGACAGUAGUUCCCGACCGCUCCGCUUCGGCAAAUUCCUUUCCAAUAAUGCGGUCAUAGUUUCCUUUCGGCGGAUCAGACUUUGGUGGUUUUGUCAGGGCAGCCAGAGUGCGCUUCACUUUCACCCCAUCUACCUUCUCCUCUGGAGGUGGAUGUUUCUUUGCUUUCACCCCUUCAAAGAAUUUCCUCACUUCUUCUCACGCGAUCUCGGCGUUCUCCUCCUGGGUCCUCUCGUAUGGUAACUUCUCUGGAGUCUUCAGAGAAGGACCGAAUCUGUAUGUCCUCCCGCCUCUGGUUGUACUGCUAGACGCCGACCGAGCAAACGAAGCGGUUGUCUUCUUUACUUGCUUAAGAGGCGGAGGAGAAGGACUACGACCCGCCGGAGCAGCUGGAGCGGCGGCAGGUCUCUUCUGCCCUUGCUGACGAGGCGGAGAAGGAGGAGGUUGGCUGCUCGGGCGCGUCGGCGCAGGCGGAGACGGAGGCGGAGUGCCGCCACGCGCCGGAGAAGGAGCCGGCCGAGGGCCCUGAUCCUCACUCGCCGGAGGAGGAGGUGGUGGAGGAGGCGGAGUGCCCUGACUCGCCGGAGGAGGAGGAGGAGGCGGAGGCGUCCAGUUCGGAAGGUUGAUGAGGUCCUUCCGCCAUAGGCAUGGAGUCUUCAGAGCAGACCCCAGCCGAGUCUCCCCUUCACCGGUAGGGUGGUCAAGCUGGAGGUCCUCAAAUCCCUCCGUUAUCUCAUCCACCAUCACCCUAGCAUAUCCUUCUGGAAUCGGCAUGCAGUGAAAAGUUGCGCCGGGUUCAGUAGGAUAAACAGAGCCAACAGCCGCCUUGACCUUCAAAUUCAUCCAUUGCGUCAUAAGGUGGCAAUUUUGAGACUCCGUUAUAGCAUCCACAGGAUAGCUGGCAGGAGCCGUCAAGGCAUGCUGCAGCUGAAGCUGCUCGGUGGAAGCCACGCUGCUUCUGCGCUGAGAUGGCGGGGUAGCUUCGGGGGAGGCUUCGGCAGUACGUUUGUUGCGAUUUGCUUCUCGUUCCUCUAUCGCUUGUACCCUUGCGUGCAGCGCCUGCAGUUCGGUCUGCUGCACUUUUUUCCUCCUCUCAUGGGAUUUGUAACCGCCUGCGUCCGGAAACCCAACCUUCCACGGAACGGAGCCUGGCGUGCCUCGUGUCCGUCCAGGGUGCUCAGGAUUCCCGAGGGCCAUUGUGAGCUCGUUGUGCUCUCUGUCUGGAAAGAACGUCCCUUCCUGCGCUGCGUCGAUAUAGUGCUUAAGCUUACUGACUGGUAUGUCCAUUUGUUCGUUCGUCCAAAUGCAGUUCCCUAUUUCAGGGUCCAAGGUUCCGCCACCCCCGAAGAACCAAGUCCGGCAACGGUCUGGCCAGUUAUUUGUCUCUGGUCCGAUCCCUUUAUGAACCAGAUCAUUCUCAACCAUGGACCACUUAGGCCGGGCUACGAGGUAGCCACCUGACCCCGUGCGAUGGUGAAGCUUCUUCUUCGCGGCAUUCUGCUUGUUUGUCGCCGACAUCUUCUUACUCUUUUCCGAUGUCUUGUAGGCCACAAAUGCGGGCCAGUGAUCUCUGAUCUUCUCAUAUCUUCCCUUGAAUUCUGGUGUCUCUUUUUUAUCGACAAACCUAUUCAGCUCUUUCUUCCACCUCCUGAAUAGAUCUGCCAUCCUCUUCAGAGAAAAAGACUUGAUUAAUUUCUCUUUAAUUGGGUUCUCUGGAUUAUCCUCUGGCGGUAGGGUGAAAUUUGACUUCAGCUCAGUCCAAAGAUCAUUUUUCUGCAUAUCAUUGACAUAAGACACCUCAGGGUCUUCUGUAGCCGGCUUAAACCAUUGCUGGAUGCUUAUCGGGAUCUUGUCCCUAACCAGAACCCCGCACUGAGCAACAAAUGCCCUCUUUGUCCGGAGGGGUUCAAUAGGUUGGCCGUCGGGCGCGAUUGCUGUGAUCUCAAGCUUUUCAUCCGAGCUCAACUUUUUCUUCGGGCCUCGUCUCUUUACCGAAGUUGUGCUCGAUCCGGAGGGCUAGAAAAAAGAACAAAGACUUAAUUAAUAUGUGUACAUACCAAAACAAUGAAUGCAUCAAUCAGCUAGUCAGCAUAGGCUUAACUAAUAUAUAUACCUGGCCGGACUCGGUUCGGUCACCGGAGCCGUCAUCACGGUCUCCUUCUUGCACCGGCAUUGGGUCACCGGCGCCGUCCUCAUGUUCUUCUUCUUGCACCGGCAUUAGGUCACCGUAGCCAGCUUGUUCACCCUCUCCUUCCGGACCAUCGAUGAUAUCGUUGAGAUAGUACGAGACGGCAUCACUUCCUUGUGCGAUUAUCUCCCUCAACAACGCUUCUUUUGUUGCUUCGUCUAGGGCGGUGUCCAUAGUUUCUACAAAUAUUUACAACAUGGCAAUUAUUAUUCAAACAUGACAGAUGGAUAUAUUAGUGCCAAACGUAGAACUACCUACCUAAUCAUAGUAAGCUAUCGGGAGGGGGUAUAUAUCGACAACGACGACACUACAUCUAUAUAUGUCCCUCGAUGACCCUCGUUCCUGAUAAAAAAAGAGGAAGAAGAAGAAAAAAAAGAGGAGAAGAAAGAAUAGAGGAGAAGAACUCCUCUAUUCUUUCUUCUCCUCUUUUUUCUUCUUCUUCCUCUUCUUUUUUUAUCCUCUUCUUCCUCUCAUGUUCGAGAGGAUCGCCUUGGGGUCGGGAGGUUGCCUAGUGUCAAAGGAUUCAACAAAACCAUGUCUUCAUCAUUAGGCGAAAGUAACAUGUGCAUGAUGGUAGGAAGCUCUUCAAAGUUGUUCUGGAACGGAGUCCCAGAUAGGAUAAUUCGCUUUUUGGUACAAAGUUCAGCAAGAGCCUUCCGAAUAUCGCUAUUUGGAAGGCCUUUGCUGAAUUCGUACCAAAAGGCGGAUUAUUCUAUCCGGGACUCCAUUCCAGAACAACUUUGCAGAACUUCAUACCAACAUGCCCUGGUUACUUCCGGCUAAUGAUGAAGGCAUGGAUUUCUUCAAUACUUUGACACUAGGAAACCUCUCUCGACCCCUCGGCGAUUCUUGACCCCUCGAACCCUCAACGACCCUGAAACCCUCGACGCUUGACCCCUUAACGACCCUCGACCCUCUACCCUAGUUCCCGACCCUCGACCAAUAGAGGAGAAGAAGAAAGGAAUAGCUAGAGGAGAAGAUCGAAGAAAAAAAAGAAGAAACAAAAGAGGAGAAGAAGAAAGGAAUAGUGGAGAAGAAGAGAAAAUAGAAUAUAUAUUCUAUUUUCUCUUCUUCUCCACUAUUCCUUUCUUCUUCUCCUCUUCUUUUUCUUCUGUUUUCUUCUUCUUAUUUAUUUCUCCUCUUCUUUUCGGUAGAGGAAACCCUAAAUAGCUAGCAAGUAUCGUGGGUGUGAGAUACAUGUGGCCUUCGGUGUCGGACACUACAUCCACGUCCCACAAGUGACGUGGGCGUCGAAACCCGCGCCACUUGUGGGAUGUGGAUGUAGUGUCCGACACCGACGGUACAUGUAUCUCACACCGACGAUACUUUCUAUUUAGGGUUUCUCCUCUACCACUCGGCGGCCCUCUCGACGACCCUCGUUCCCGAUAAUAUAAAGAGGAAGAAGAAGAAGAAAAAAGAAGAGAAGAAAGAAUAGAGGAGACGAACCCUCGAACCCUCGAACCCUAGACGACCCUCUUCUUCCUCUCAUGUUCGAGAGGAUCGCCGAGGGGUCGGGAGGUUGCCUAGUGUCAAAGGAAACCCUAAAUAGCUAGCAAGUGUCAUGGGUGUGAGAUACAUGUGGCCUUCGGUGUCGGACACUACAUCCACGUCCCACAAGUGACGUGGGCGUCGAAGCCCGCGCCACUUGUGGGAUGUGGAUGUAAUGUCCGACACCGACGGUACAUGUAUCUCACACCGACGAUACUUUCUAUUUAGGGUUUCUCCUCUACCACUCGGCGGCCCUCUCGACGACCCUCGUUCCCGAUAAAAUAAAGAGGAAGAAGAAGAAGAAAAAAGAAGAGAAGAAAGAAUAGAGGAGAAGUCUCCUCUAUUCUUUCCUCGCCUCUCUCAUGAAUGUCCGGCGUUCUCGACCCCCCCCCCUCCCCACGUGUCGAAGAAAAAAAAGAAGAAAAAAAAGAGGAGAAGAAGAAAGGAAUAGAGGAGAAAAGAGAAAAAUAGAAUAUUCNNNNNNNNNNNNNNNNNNNNNNNNNNNNNNNNNNNNNNNNNNNNNNNNNNNNNNNNNNNNNNNNNNNNNNNNNNNNNNNNNNNNNNNNNNNNNNNNNNNNNNNNNNNNNNNNNNNNNNNNNNNNNNNNNNNNNNNNNNNNNNNNNNNNNNNNNNNNNNNNNNNNNNNNNNNNNNNNNNNNNNNNNNNNNNNNNNNNNNNNNNNNNNNNNNNNNNNNNNNNNNNNNNNNNNNNNNNNNNNNNNNNNNNNNNNNNNNNNNNNNNNNNNNNNNNNNNNNNNNNNNNNNNNNNNNNNNNNNNNNNNNNNNNNNNNNNNNNNNNNNNNNNNNNNNNNNNNNNNNNNNNNNNNNNNNNNNNNNNNNNNNNNNNNNNNNNNNNNNNNNNNNNNNNNNNNNNNNNNNNNNNNNNNNNNNNNNNNNNNNNNNNNNNNNNNNNNNNNNNNNNNNNNNNNNNNNNNNNNNNNNNNNNNNNNNNNNNNNNNNNNNNNNNNNNNNNNNNNNNNNNNNNNNNNNNNNNNNNNNNNNNNNNNNNNNNNNNNNNNNNNNNNNNNNNNNNNNNNNNNNNNNNNNNNNNNNNNNNNNNNNNNNNNNNNNNNNNNNNNNNNNNNNNNNNNNNNNNNNNNNNNNNNNNNNNNNNNNNNNNNNNNNNNNNNNNNNNNNNNNNNNNNNNNNNNNNNNNNNNNNNNNNNNNNNNNNNNNNGGGACUAAAGGGGGGCAAUGGUCACGGUUGGUGCCACGAACCGUGACCAAUGCCACCUUUAGUCCCGGUUGGUGCCACCAACCGGGACCAAUGCCCUUGUGCGCCCCGCGCCCAGAAGUUUAGUCCCACAUCGCUAGCUGAAGGGCGCCGAUACUGGUUUAUAAGCGCUGCUCUGCCUCCCCUUUCGAGCUCCUCUCAAAUGCAGGCUUUCGGGCCUAAACUGCUACUGCCUGUGGGCCUAUUGGGCCUCUGCGGGCCUGAAUCCUGGCCCAUGUAGGGUUUCUAGUCGUAUUCAGGCCGUGGAGGCCCAGUAGGAGGCAUUUUUUUUGGUUUUUUCUUUUUUGUUUCUAUAUUUUUUUGGUUUUUUAUUUUUUUUAUUUCUACUUACAACUAAAUACUUACAGUUUUUUAGUGAUUUCUUUUUGCUUUUAGGUCACAAAAAUUAUAAACUUUCUAUUAGUGCCAUUAGUUUUAAAUUUUAAAUAGUUUAAAUUUGAAUUUUUAAAAAUUUGUGUGAAUCACUAGUUUAUGAAUAACUUUACUAUAAAGUUAGAAUUUGUUUUCUAUUUAUUUUUUAUUUCUACUUACAACUAAAUACUUACAGUUUUUUAGUGAUUUGUUUUUGCUUUUAGGUCACAAAAAUUAUAAACUUUCUGUUAGUGCCUUUAGUUUUAAAUUUUAAAUAGUUUAAAUUUGAAUUUUUAAAAAUUUGUGUGAAUCACUAGUUUAUGAAUUUUUUUCUUCUUUGCUAUUUAUUUUUGAUUUAUACUUACAAUUAAAUACUUAUAGUUUGCUUUUAGGUCACACAAAUUAUAUUCUUUUUGCUAUUGAAGAAUAUUAUAGUUUUAUUUUAGUUGAUCAUAACAUAAUAUUUUAAUUGAUUGUUUUUAUUUUCAUAAAAGUUUUGUAGUUCAUUCUGUUUGCUAUUAAUUCAUUCUUUGAGCUAAAUGACUCUGAAAUUGGAAAGCAUUUCAAAAUGAACUCUGAAAAGGUUGAAAGUUGGCAUGGUAUCAUCAUUUCACCCACAUAGCAUGUUCCAAAAAGUAGAGAGGGUUACGACAAAAACUUGAUGCACUUCGUGUACAAAAUGGACAAUCACUUUCGAAGUAUCAAAGUUUCAAACCAUAAGACAUGAAAGCAUUUCGAAUGAACUCUGAAAAAGUUGAAAGUUGGGAUGCAUGGUAUCAUAAUUUCACCCACAUAGCAUUUUCUUAUUGCGGGAGAAAGUCUUCACUUUUUCUUCGCUUGUGUCAUUUGCUUAUUGCGCCGUAACCAUGGAUAAUCUUCAUUGUUUUUAAGGAUGCUUGGGUCAGCCUUGACAUUGAAGGGAGGAAUUUCAUGAAACUUUUCAUAAUCUUCAGACAUGUCUGUCUUGCCGUCCACUCCCAGGAUGUCCCUUUUUCCUGAAAGAACUAUGUGGCGCUUUGGCUCAUCGUAUGAUGUAUUCGCUUCCUUAUCUUUUCUUUUUCUCGGUUUAGUAGACAUGUCCUUCACAUAGAUAACCUGUGCCACAUCAUUGGCUAGGACGAACGGUUCGUCAGUGUACCCAAGAUUUUUCAGAUCCACUGUUGUCAUUCCGUACUGUGGGUCUACUUGUACCCCACCGCCAAACAGAAUGACCCAUUUGCACUUAAACAAAGGGACCUUAAAAUCAGGUCCGUAGUCAAGUUCCCAUAUGUCCACUAUGUAACCAUAAUAUGUGUCCUUUCCUCUCUCGGUUGCUGCAUCAAAGCGGACACCGCUGUUUUGGUUGGUGCUCUUUUGAUCUUGGGCGAUCGUGUAAAAUGUAUUCCCAUUUAUCUCGUAUCCUUUGUAAGUCAAUACAGUCAAAGAUGGUCCCCUGGACAACAAGUACAACUCAUCACAAACAGUGUUGUCACCUCUGAGACGUGUUUCCAACCAACUCCUGAAAGUCCUGAUGUGUUCACAUGUAAUCCAGUCGUCGCAUUGCUCCGGGUGUUUGGAGCGCAGACUGUUCUUGUGUUCAUCGACAUACGGGGUCCCCAAGGUAGAGUUCUGUAGAACUGUGUAGUGUGCUUGAGACCAAGAAUAUCCGUCCCUGCAUAUUAUUGAGUCUCUUCCAAGAGUGCCUUUUCCAGUCAGUCUCCCCUCAUACCGCGAUUUAGGGAGACCUAUCUUGUUAAGGCCAGGAAUGAAGUCAACACAAAACCCGAUAACAUCCUCUGUUUGAUGGCCCAUGGAGAUGCUUCCUUCUGGCCUAGCGCGGUUACGGACAUAUUUCUUUAGGACUCCCAUGAACCUCUCAAAGGGGAACAUAUUGUGUAGAAAUACGGGCCCCAGGAUGACAAUCUCGUCGACUAGAUGAACUAGGACGUGCGUCAUGAUAUUGAAGAAGGAUUGUGGGAACACCAGCUCGAAACUGACAAGACAUUGCGCCACAUCACUCCUUAGCCUUGGUACCAUUUCUGGAUCGAUCACCUUCUAAGAGAUUGCAUUGAGGAAUGCACAUAGCUUCACAAUGGCUAAUCGGACGUUUUCCGGUAAAAGCCCCCUCAAUGCAACCAGAAGCAGUUGCGUCAUAAUCACGUGGCAGUCAUGAGACUUUAGGUUCUGAAACUUUUUCUCUGGCAUAUUUAUUAUUCCCUUUAUAUUCGAUGAGAAGCCAGUCAUGACCUUCAUACUAAGCAGGCAUUCAAAGAAGAUUUCUUUCUCUUCUUUCGUAAGAGUGUAGCUGGCAGGACCUUUAUACUGCUUCGGAGGCAUGUCAUCUUUUUUGUGCAAACGUUGCAGGUCCUCCCAUGCCUCCGGCGUAUCUUUUGUCUUCCCAUACACGCCCAAGAAGCCUAGCAGGUUCACGCAAAGGUUCUUCGUCACGUGCAUCACGUUGAUUGAGGAGCGGACCUCUAGGUCUUUCCAGUAGGGUAGGUCCCAAAAUAUAGAUUUCUUCUUCCACAUGGGUGUGUGUCCCUCAGCGUCAUUCGGAACAGCUAGUCCACCGGGACCCUUUCCAAAGAUGACGUAGGGUAAAUCAUUGACCAUAGCAAGCACGUGAUCACCGGUGCGCAUGGCGGGCUUCUUUCGGUGAUCUGCCUCGCCUUUGAAAUGCUUGCCUUUCUUUCGACAUUGAUGGUUGGUCGGAAGAAAUCGACGAUGGCCCAGGUGCACAUUCUUCCUGCAUUUGUCCAGGUAUAUACUUUCAGUGUCAUCUAAACAGUGCGUGCAUGCGUGGUAUCCUUUGUUUGUCUGUCCUGAAAGGUUACUGAGAGCGGGCCAAUCGUUGAUGGUCACGAACAGCAACGCCUUAAGGUUAAAUUCCUCCUGUCUGUGCUCAUCCCACGUACGUACACCAUUUUCAUUCCACAGCUGUAAAAGUUCUUCAACUAAUGGACUUAGGUACACAUCAAUUUCGUUGCCGGGUUGCUUAGGGCCUUGGAUGAGAACUGGCAUCAUAAUGAACUUCCGCUUCAUGCACAUCCAAGGAGGAAGGUUAUACAUACAUAGAGUCGCGGGCCAGGUGCUGUGAUUACUGCUCUGCUCCCCGAAAGGAUUAAUGCCAUCCGCGCUUAAAGCAAACCAUACAUUCCUAGGGUCCUUUGCAAACUCAUCCCAGUACUUUCUCUCGAUUUUUCUCCACUGCGACCCGUCAGCGGGUGCUCUCAACUUCCCAUCUUUCUUUCGUUUCUCACUGUGCCAUCGCAUCAACUUGGCAUGCUCUUCGUUUCUGAACAGACGUUUCAACCGUGGUAUUAUAGGAGCAUACCACAUCACCUUUGCAGGGACCCUCUUCCUGAGGGGCUCGCCGUCAACAUCACCGGGGUCAUCUCGUCUGAUCUUAUACCGCAACGCACCGCAUACCGGGCAUGCGUUCAGAUCCUUGUAUGCACCGCGGUAGAGGAUGCAGUCAUUAGGGCAUGCAUGUAUCUUCUCCACCUCCAAUCCUAGAGGGCAUACGACCUUCUUUGCUGCGUAUGUACUGUCGGGCAAUUCGUUAUCCUUUGGAAGCUUCUUCUUCAAUAUUUUCAGUAGCUUCUCAAAUCCUUUGUCAGCCACAGCAUUCUCUGCCUUCCACUGCAGCAAUUCUAGUACGGUACUGAGCUUUGUGUUGCCAUCUUCGCAAUUGGGGUAUAACCCUUUUUUGUGAUCCUCUAACAUGCGAUCGAACUUCAGCUUCUCCUUUUGACUAAUGCAUUGCGUCCUUGCAUCGACAAUGACCCGGCGGAGAUCAUCAUCAUCGGGCACAUCGUCUGGUUCCUCUUGAUCUUCAGCAGCUUCACCUGUGGCAGCAUCAUUGGGCACAUCAUCAUCUGGUUCCUCUUGAUCUUCACCAGCUCCCCCCGUUGCAGCAUCACCGUAUUCAGGGGGCACAUAGUUGUCAUCGUACUCUUCUUCUUCGCCGUCUUCCAUCAUAACCCCUAUUUCUCCGUGCCUCGUCCAAACAUUAUAGUGUGGCAUGAAACCCUUGUAAAGCAGGUGGGAGUGAAGGAUUUUCCGGUUAGAGUAAGACCUCGUAUUCCCACAUUCAGUGCAUGGACAACACAUAAAACCAUUCUGCUUGUUUUCCUCAGCCGCAUCGAGAAACUCAUGCACACCCUUAAUGUACUCGCGGGUGUGUCUGUCACCGUACAUCCAUUGCCGGUUCAUCUGCGUGCAUUAUAUAUAAUUAAGUGUCCAAAUUAAUAGAAGUUCAUCAUCACAUUAAAACCAAAGUGCAUACAUAGUUCUCAUCUAACAACAUAUAGCUCUCCAGAGCAUCUAAUUAAUUAAACCAUACAUUGAAACUAUGUAAAACAUUUCAAUGCGAAAACAAAUGCGAUCAUAAUCGCAACCAAGGUAACAAUUGAUCCAACGGCAUAAUGAUACCAAGCCUCGGUAUGAAUGGCAUAUUUUCUAAUCUUUCUAAUCUUCAAGCGCAUUGCAUCCAUCUUGAUCUUGUGAUCAUCGACGACAUCCGCAACAUGCAACUCCAAUAUCAUCUUCUCCUCCUCAAUUUUUUUUAUUUUUUCCUUCAACAAAUUGUUUUCUUCUUCAACUAAAUUUAACCUCUCGACAAUAGGGUCGGUUGGCAUUUCCGAUUCACAUACAUCCUAGAUAAAUAAAAUCUAUGUCACGUUGGUCAGCAUAAUUUUCAUAAACAAUAAAUGAACCAAUAGUUAUAAAGAUAAUAUACAUACCACAUCCGAAUCAUAGACAGGACGAGGGCCGACGGGGGCGGAUACCAAAACCAUCGCACUAUAUAAGAUGCAAUAAUAAAUGUAAGAAAAUGAUACAAGUAUCUAUCUAAACAUACAAGUAAGAAUAUUUUUCCUUUCAGAAAGAAGAUAAGAACAAGAGGCUCACCACGGUGGUGUCGGUGAUGAGAUCGGCGCGGGUGAUCGACGGCAGUGAAGACGGGGACGGGGCGUGACGGACCGCUAAAUCUAGACAAAUCUCGAGGAAAAUGGAGCUUGGAGGUCGAGCUUCGAGAGGAGAAAGCUUAAGUAGUGUGGCUCGGGCAUUCCAUCGAACACCUCAUGUGCAUAGGAGGUGAGCUAGAGCACCACAAAGCCCUCUCCCCCUCGGCCAGAGAAAACAGAGCACUGGGGUGCUCUGCUCACGAGCGAGGGGUAUAUAUAGGCACCUCAUUGGUCCCGGUUGGUGGCAUGAGCCGGGACUAAAGGGAAGCCUUUGGUCCCGGUUCGGGCCACCAACCGGGACCAAUGAUGGUGGGCCAGGAGGGAGGCCCAUUGGUCCCGGUUCGUCCCACCAACCGGGACCAAAAGGUCCAUACGAACCAGGACCAAUGGCCCACGUGGCCCGGCCGGCCCCCUGGGCUCACGAACCGGGACCAAUUCCCACAUUGGUCCCGGUUCAAGACUGAACCGGGACUAAUGGGCUGAGGCGGCCUGGACCAUAGCCCCUUUUUCUACUAGUGCUUAUGGAAAUUAUAAUAAGAUGCCCUCUAAUUUUGAGAAUAGUGUUAAAUAAUUUAUGAGUUCGCAAAAGAAUUUCAAUGCUUUGAUUGAAGAAAAAUUGCUUAAGAUUGGUGAUUUGGCUAGGAACGUGGAUAGAACUACCCUUGAUGUCGAUUCUUUGAAACUUAGAUCUAUUUCACAUAAGCAUGAUAUCAAUGAGUCUCUCAAGGCUAUGAGAAUUCCCAUUGAUGAGUGCAAGGAAAGAACCGCUAAGAUGCGUGCUAAAAAAGAUUGGUUUAUAAAAGCGUGUUCUUCUAGCUAGUUUCCGUGAAAAUAAUGAUGAAGAUCUUAAAGUGAUUGAUGUGACUCCUAUUGAAUUUUUGUUUUCCAAUAUAAAUCUUGAGAAAGAUGGGACUGGAUAUGAGUCAACUUUAGUUAGAAGGCGUCCCAAUGAUUCGGAGUUUUUAGAUAUUAAUGCAAAAAUUGAUAAAAGUGGGAUUGGAGAGGUUAAAACUUUAGGUAGUAAUGAACCCACUCUUUUGGAUUUCAAGGAAUUUAAUUAUAAUAAUUUCUCUUUAAUAGAUUGUAUUUCCUUGUUGCAAUCCAUGUUGAAUUUUCCUCAUGCUUAUAAUCAAAACAAAGCUUUUACUAAACAUAUCAUUGAUGCUAUGAUGCAAUCCUUUGAAGAAAAGCUUGAAUUGGAAGUUUCUAUUCCUACACUAGUAGACAAAGGGUCAAACAUGAAGCACAUUAGUGCCGGUUUGAAUUUGAGCCGGCACUAAUGUGUGCAUUAGUGCCGGUUCCAACGGCUAGCCGGCCGCUCUCAUUAGUACCGGUUCAUGGCGAACCUUUAGCACCGGUUCGUGCCACGAACCGGUACUAAAGUGAGUGGUGGCAGGAUGUUGUCACUCCGGGGCCCCUCCAGCACCUUUAGUACCGGGUCGUAUCACGAACCGGUCCUAAAGGCCGUCCUACAUAGACCCUUCGUCCACCCGAGCUCGCUCUGUUCUUCCCCUUUCCCCUCUCCUCUUUGUACUUUUCCCUCUUCCUCUCAAUCUCAUCACACAUUUUGCCCAAAAUUUGUCAAGAUUUGAAGGCCCCCAUCCAUUCAAAUGAUCACAAAGGUUAGCAACUUUUUCCUUUCAUCUCUCAUUGCUAGAUUAGCUCGUGCAAUGCUUUAUAUAGUGAUUGAUUUUUGAGUUUAGUAAUUUGGGAGGAAUUAUAUAUAUGUGCUAGUAUUUGAUUUAUAUGCAAUUUUAGGUCAAAAAUAACACUUAGUUUGCAUAUGUAGGUGUGGUUUACGUAGUACCUUCUAAAUCUCCGUCGUAACCACCGUCGAUCGCUCGCAACGUCCCGUCACCAGCACCACCUUUUGGUGAGCCUCUUGUUCAUGAAGUUUUAUAUAAAAAAUUGAUGUUUGUGUGAUUUGGAUAUAUAGUUACUCGUAUAAUUAUCUUACCCAUACGUUGUUUGUUAUACAUAGUGCCAUGGUUUUGAUAUCCGUCCCCGUUGGCCCUCGUCCGGGUUAUGAUUCGGAUGUGGUAUAUUCUAUUUUAAAACUAUUCAUUGCAUUUCGUGUUUAUGACAAAUUAUGCCCAUCAAGUUGACAUAGAUAUUUGUAUGUAGGAGGUAGUUGAAACGGAAAUUCCAACCGACCCUAUUGUCGAGAGGUUAAAUUUAGUUGAAAGAGAAAACGAGGAUUUGAAGGAAAAAUUGAAAAGAAUUGAGGGGGAGAAGAUGGAAUUGGAGUUGCAUGUUGCCGAUGUCGUCGAUGAUCACAAGAUUAAGAUGGAGAAAAUGCGCUUGAAGAUUAGAAAGAUUAGAAAAUAUGCCAUUCAUAGUGAGGCUUGGUAGCAUUAUGCUGUUGGAUCAAUUGUUACCUUAGUUGCGAUCUUGAUCGCAUUUGUUGUUGCAUUUAAAUUCUUUAGCUAGGGACUUAUUUGUUUGUUGCAUUUAAGUGUUGUAUGAUCUUUAUGUAUGAACCUUAUGUAUUGUAUUAAUUUGAUGUUUUCGGUGUUGUGUAUUGAAGAUGAGCCGGCAAUGGAUGUACGAUGACUGAUGCUCUCCCAAGUUCAUUAAUGGCGUGCGUACUUUUCUGCUUGCGGCUGAGGCAAACAAGCGAGCGGAUGGUUGUAUGCCUUGUCCAUGUGCUGGCUGUAAGAAUGGUCACAGUUACUCUACGUCAAGAACCAUUCACGUCCACCUGUUUGAGUCUGGUUUCAUGCCCCACUAUAAUGUUUGGACCAAGCAUGGAGAAAGAGGGGUUAUGAUGGAAGACAAUGAAGAAGAAGAGGACGACGAAAGCUAUCCUGGCCAUGGGUUCCCUGAAUACGGUGAUACAACAAUGAGGGAAGAAGCUGAGCCGGUAAUGCGGGAAGAAGCUGAGCCGGCAAUGCGGGAAGAAGCUGAACAAGAGGCACGGAUGAGCCCGUUGAUGAUCUAGGUCGGGCCAUUGCCGAUGCAAAGAGAAACCGCGCUAGUGAUUUGGAGAAGAAGAAGUUGCAGCGCAUGUUAGAGGAUCACAAAAAUUGUUGUACCCGAAUUGCGUAGGUGACAAGAAAAAGCUAGGCACCACACUGGAAUUGCUGCAAUGGAAGGCAAAGAAUGGUGUAUCUGACAUGGGAUUUGGAAAGUUGCUGGUAAUGAUAAAGGAUAUGCUUCCAAAGGACAACAAAUUGCUCGAGAGUACGUACGAAGCAAAGAAGAUUGUCUGCCCUCUAGGGUUAGAGGUGCAGAUGAUACAUGCAUGCCCUAAUGAUUGCAUCCCCUACCACGGUGAGUAUGAGGAUUUGAAAGCUUGCCCGGUAUGAGGUGCAUUGCGCUAUAAGAUCAGCCACGAUGACCAUGGUGAUGUCGAGGGCGAGCGCCCCAGGAAGAAGAUACCUGCCAAGGUGAUGUGGUAUGCUCCUAUAAUACCAUGGCUGAAACGUUUGUUCCAAAACAAUGAGCAUGCCAAGGCGAUGUGAUGGCACAGAGAAGACCGUAAGAAAGACGGAAAGUUGAGAGUACCCGCUGACGGGUCGCAGUGGAGAAAAAUCGAAAGAAAGUACGGGAAGGAGUUUGCAGAUGACGCAAGGAACGUAUGGUUUGGUCUAAGCGCAGAUGGCAUUAAUCCUUUUGGGGAGCAGAGCAGCAACCAUAGCACCUGGCCUGUGACUCUAUGUUUGUAUAACCUUCCUCCUUGGUUGUGCAUGAAGCGGAAGUUCAUUAUGAUGCCAGUGCUCAUCCAAGGCCCUAAGUGUCAGGACCCCGAUUCCAAGUCACAUCGUUCUAGCCGGUAACACCUCAUAUCACUUUGCGGCCUCAUGCACGGUAUCCCACAGGUGUCGCCUUACCAUGGCCCGGGACCGUUUGCGCCUUUUGGCUCACGUAUAUGAUAGUGUCGCUAGCAUCCAUAUGACAGAGAACCCGGGCCGACAUGGCUAGUCGUGAACCCAAAGCGGCACAGACCUAUGGAGACAGGCAUACAUGAAUCACAUCAAGCAUGUCAGUCAUCAGUGAGUGAAUCCGGGCUGUAGCACUGGGCUAACAGGACUCCGGGGAACCCGGGCUGUAGCAGGCUAGGCAGGACUCCGGAUGUCACCGCGUGACAUUUCCCCGAAGGGACAGACAUAGGAACGACGUGAAACACAUGCCGGCCAGUCAAGUGUCCUGAGCAGUAGUGCUGGGCUAGCAGGACUCCGGUGAACCGGGCUGUAGCGGACUACUAUGGCUCGAGGAACACUAGACUACGUUUCCCCAUAAGAAAGGCUGCCAAGGAUAAACAACUAGAUUGUCGGAUCCCACUCAUACCAAGCAUUUCAAUCAUACACACAAUAUGCCCGAUAUGAGUACAUACAACAUGGCAUCACAAGAAAACUCUACAACUCAAAUACUUUAUUUAAAGGCUCCAGAGAGCCAUACAUAACAUGUUCAUACAGAUAGGGGUCACAUGACCCGACACUCAAGUCAUACAAUCAUACAAGCACAAGCGGAAGCAACUAGUCUGAGUACAGACACUAGAAAGAAAGAAGGCUUCUCGAAGCCUGUCUAUCUACAUAGGUCUCUCCAUGGCCAGGAUCACCACCUGGGUGGCUAGUCACUCGUCGACGUCAAGGUCUACGUAGAACCCAUCGGAGGGGCGGUGUUGUCAUCUGAAAACCGUAAUUAAGCAAACAUGAGUACAAAGGUACUCAGCAAGUCUUACAACAUAACCUACUAUAAAUGCUCAUUCUCAAGAAGGUGGUGGGGUUAUUGCAGCAAGCCAGCUUUGACUCUUGGCUAAGCUAUCCUACGGAACUCCACUAGUAAAAUAGUUUUCGCACACGAGUCCACUACUCACCAACAUAAUACUCCACCGGGGAUCCUCUCUCGUCAUCCUACGAGAGGGCCAUCCUCGGUACUCACACUUAUCUUGAGUCUUUUAGUAAUAACCAUUAACUUGUCUAUGAACUGUAUAGGCAACCAGGUAGUCCUUUACCGCGGACGCGGCUAUUCGAAUAGUUUUAUACCCUGCAGGGGUGUACUUCCUCAUACACGCUUUCACCACUUACCGCCGUUUACACGACAUGUACUCGGCAACCUUCAAGCCUUGGCCCAACGAGGGUGUCGGCCACGGCCUACCUAAACACUCAAAUCUCUAGUCCAGGUGCAUCGCCUAUCCAAGUUCCAUCCGCAGGGAGUCCGGCCGAGGUUUCCACAUACGGCCCCGAACGAUGUGAACAGGGUUCCCGAGACACCAAACAGGUGACUCGGUACACCGUGCCACGGUGUAUCUACCGCAACAUAGCCCACCCCUAGGGUCAGUGCUACGCACGGCCGCCAACACAUAACCUACAAACACCAGAAACUAUUUGCAACUCCUGGACAGAGUACUAGGGUAUUUAAGAAGCCGAGAGGGUCAAUUAAGGAUCCCAAUGCAUGGUAGUAGCUGAAUCUUAAAAUCACACAUACAGAUCUCAGUUCUUAGGGACGGCCUCAAUAAAACAACCCACCAUGUACUCCUACAUGGCCUCUCAUCGAUACCUUUACCAAAUCAUGUUCAUCACAUCCCUCACAUUACCGAUAUAACCAUUUCACUCUAGCCCAUCACCCAGAUGGACCAGACCUGACACAACUCUAAGCAUAGCAGGCAUAGCAAGGUAGGAAACACAUACCUGGCUCAAUCAACUCCUACACAUGCUAGUGGGUUUCAUCUAGUUACUGUGGCAAUGACAGGUCAUGCAGAGGAAAAGGGUUCAACUACCGUAGCACACAACAAUUUGAAUCGCGUUGUCUUAAUGCAGUAAACAAGAGCAGAAGCGAGAACAUGGGUUUGUAUCAGAAUGAUCAAUGGUUGUUUGCCUGUUGUAGUGGUAGUAGGGUACUGCCCUUCAGACGGAUACUCGGGGUUAUCCUCGGAGGCAGAACCUACCACGAAAGAUACACCGAACAUAAUCAACACAUGACAAUAUGCAACGGUAUGAUGCAUGCUAUGACAUGGCAAAAUGAAUGUGUCUUGGCCUAAUGCAAGCUGAAACAGGAUGGAAUGAACUCAUUUGAAUCAAAGAUUCAAAUGUUAGCUCAUUUAACAUGGCCUUAUUAGUGCAUUAUCUUAUUCUGCUUAAAUAGCAAGGUUAACUUGUUUUGUCAUGCAUGAAACCAUUACAGAUGGACAGAUUGAAUUUUUUUGAUCAUUUUUCAUAUAUAAAUCUUUGCAUUUGGAGCUAUGGUUGAUUUUCUAAGAUUUUUAGAAGUUUUGGCUAUUUACUGGAAUUUCCUAUUAAAGAAUAAAUCCAGUAAUUGAAUUAAUGCGUCAGCAUGACAUAGGUGUGAUGUCAGCGGGUCAACUGGGUUGGCCAGGUCAAACCUGACUGGCGGGCCCUGUCUGUCAGUGACUCAGCUAAUUAACAGAGUUAAAUUAACUCUAAUUAACUAAAAGUGGGGCCUGGGCCCACAUGUCAGUGACUGAACUAAUUAAAUUUAGUUAAAACAAAUCCUAAACUAAUCAGCAGGCCGGCCCCACCUGUCAUAGACUAACCUGGGCCCACACGGGGGUCAAACAGGGUAAACUCGCCGGCGUCUAGCCGCCGGCGAGGCCAGACGCGGCGGAGCAGUGCGGGAUUUGCACUCUGGCGACCAAAUGGGCGGCGGAGACUAUCUACGUGAUGCGGGGAGGAAGCCGCCUUUGGAAAUAUGCCCUAGAGGCAAUAAUAAAUUGAUUAUUACUAUAUUUCCUUGUUCAUGAUAAUCGUUUAUUAUCCAUGCUAGAAUUGUAUUGAUAGGAAACUCAGAUACAUGUGUGGAUACAUAGACAACACCAUGUCCCUAGUAAGCCUCUAGUUGACUAGCUCGUUGAUCAAUAGAUGGUUACAGUUUCCUGACCAUGGACAUUGGAUGUCAUUGAUAACGGGAUCACAUCAUUAGGAGAAUGAUGUGAUGGACAAGAACCAAUCCUAAGCCUAGCACAAGAUCAUGUAGUUCGUAUGCUAAAGCUUUUCUAAUGUCAAGUAUCAUUUCCUUAGACCAUGAGAUUGUGCAACUCCCGGAUACCGUGGGAGUGCUUUGAGUGUGCGAAACGUCACAACGUAACUGGGUGGCUAUAAAGGUACACUACAGGUAUCUCCAAAAGUGUCUAUUGGGUUGGCACGAAUCGAGACUGGGAUUUGUCACUCCGUGUAAACGGAGAGGUAUCUCUGGGCCCACUCGGUAGGACAUCAUCAUAAUGUGCACAAUGUGACCAAGGAGUUGAUCACGGGAUGAUGUGUUACGGAACGAGUAAAGAGACUUGCCGGUAACAAGAUUGAACAAGGUAUCGGCAUACCGACGAUCGAAUCUCGGGCAAGUAUCGUACCGAUGGACAAAGGGAAUUGCAUACGGGGUUGAUUAAGUCCUUGACAUCGUGGUUCAUCCGAUGAGAUCAUCGUGGAACAUGUGGGAGCCAACAUGGGUAUCCAGAUCCCGCUGUUGGUUAUUGAUCGGAGAGUCAUCUCGGUCAUGUCUGCAUGUCUCCUGAACCCGUAGGGUCUACACACUUAAGGUUCGAUGACGCUAGGGUUAUAAAGGAAGUUUGUAUGUGGUUACCGAAUGUUGUUCGGAGUCCCGGAUGAGAUCCCGAACGUCAUGAAGAGUUCCGGAAUGGUCCGGAGGUAAAGAUUUAUAUAUGGGAAGUCCUGUUUUGGUCACCGGAAAAGUUUCGGGUUUUAUCGGUAACGUACCGGGACCACCGGGAGGGUCCCGGGGGUCCACCAAGUGGGGCCACAAGCCCCGGAGGGCUGCAUGGGCCAAGUGUGGGAGGGGACCAGCCCCAGGUGGGCUGGUGCGGCCCCCCACCAAGGCCCAAGGCGCAAGGAAGAGGGGAAGGGGGCAAACCCUAGGGCAGAUGGGCCCUAAGGCCCACCCUGGUGCGCCUCCCCCUCUCCCCUCCCCUUGGCCGCCCCUAGAUGGGAUCUAGGGGGCUGCCGCCACCCCUAGGGAGGGAACCCUAGGUGGGGGCGCAACCCAUCCCCUCCCCCUAUAUAUAGUUGAGGUUUGGGCUGCCCAAUACACAUGAGUUCCUCUCUUUCUUGGCACAGCCCUAUCCCUCUCUUUCUCCUCAUAUCUCGCAGUGCUUGGUGAAGCCCUGCUGGAUCACCAUGCUCCGCCAUCACUACCACGCCGUUGUGCUGCUGUUGGAUGGAGUCUUCCUCAACCUCUCCCUCUCUCCUUGCUGGAUCAAGGCAUGGGAGACAUCGUCGGGCUGUACGUGUGUUGAACGCGGAGGUGCCGUCCGUUCGGCACUAGGAUCUCCGGUGAUUUGGAUCACAACGAGUACGACUCCUUCAACCCCGUUCUCUUGAACGCUUCCACUUAGCGAUCUACAAGGGUAUGUAGAUGCACUCUCCUUCCCCUCGUUGCUGGUUUCUCCAUAGAUAGAUCUUGGUGACACGUAGGAAACUUUUGAAUUUCUGCUACGUUCCCCAAUAGUGGCAUCAUGAGCUAGGUCUAUUGCGUAGAUUCUAUGCACGAGUAGAACACAAAGUAGUUGUGGGCGUUGAUUUUGUUCAAUAUGCUUACCGUUACUAGUCCAAUCUUGUUUCGACGGUAUUGUGGGAUGAAGCGGCCCGGACCGACCUUACACGUACUCUUACGUGAGACAGGUUCCACCGACUGACAUGCACUAGUUGCAUAAGGUGACUAGCGGGUGCCAGUCUCUCCCACUUUAGUCAGAACGGAUUCGAUGAAAAGGGUCGUUAUGAAGGGUAAAUAGCAAUUGGCAUAUCACGUUGUAUUUUUGCGUAGGUAAGAAACGUUCUUGCUAGAAACCCAUAGCAGCCACGUAAAACAUGCAAACAACAAUUAGAGGACGUCUAACUUGUUUUUGCAGGGUAUGCUAUGUGAUGUGAUAUGGCCAAGAAGAAUGUGAUGAAUGAUAUGUGAUGUAUGAGAUUGACCAUGUUCUUGUAAUAGGAAUCAUGACUUGCAUGUCGAUGAGUAUGACAACCGGCAGGAGCCAUAGGAGUUGUCUUUAUUUAUUGUAUGACCUACGUGUCAUUGAACAACGCCAUGUAAUUACUUUACUUUAUUGCUAACUGGUAGCCAUAGUGGUAGAAGUAAUAAGUUGGCGAGACAACUUCAUGGAGACACAAUGAUGGAGAUCAUGGUGUCAUGCCGGUGACGAUGAUGAUCAUGGAGCCCCGAAGAUGGAGAUCAAAAGGAGCAAUAUGAUAUUGGCCAUAUCAUGUCACUAUUUGAUUGCAUGUGAUGUUUAUAAUGUUUAUACAUCUUAUUUGCUUAGAAUGACGGUAGUAAAUAAGAUGAUCCCUCAUUAAAAUUUCAAGAAAGUGUUCCCCCUAACUGUGCACCGUUGCGAAAGUUCGUCCUUUUGAAGCACCACGUGAUGAUCGGGUGUGAUAGAUUCUUACGUUCGAAUACAACGGGUGUUGACGAGCCUAGCAUGUACAGACAUGGCCUCGGAACACAUGCAAAACACUUAGGUUGACUUGACGAGCCUAGCAUGUACAGACAUGGCCUCGGAACACAAGAGACCGAAAGGUCGAGCAUGAGUCGUAUGGUAGAUACGAUCAACAUGAAGAUGUUCACCGAUGUUGACUAGUCCGUCUCACGUGAUGAUCGGACACGGCCUAGUUGACUCGGAUCAUGUAAUCACUUAGAUGACUAGAGGGAUGUCUAUCUGAGUGGGAGUUCAUAAGAUGAACUUAAUUAUCCUGAACAUAGUCAAAAGGACUUUGCAAAUUAUGUCGUAGCUCACGCUAUAGUUCUACUGUUUAGAUAUGUUCCUAGAGAAAAUUUAGUUGAAAGUUGAUAGUAGCAAUUAUGCGGACUAGGUCCGUAAACUGAGGAUUGUCCUCAUUGCUUCAUAGAAGGUUUAUGUCCUUAAUGCACCGCUCAGUGUGCUGAACCUCGAACGUCGUCUGUGGAUGUUGCGAACAUCUGACAUACACAUUUUGAUAACUACGUGAUAGUUCAGUUAAACGGUUUAGAGUUGAGGCACCGAAGACGUUUUGAAACGUCACGAAACAUAUGAGAUGUUUCGAGGGCUGAAAUUGGGAUUUCAGGAUCGUGCCCACAUCAAGAGGUAUAAGACCUCCGACGAUUUUUCUUAGCCUGCAAACUAAGGGAGAAAAGCUCAACUGUUGAGCUUGUGCUCAGAUUGUCUGAGUACAACAAUCAUUUGAAUCGAGUGGGAGUUGAUCUUCCAGAUGAGAUAGUGAUGUUUCUCCGAAGUCAUUACCACCAAGCUGCUAGAGCUUCGUGAUGAACUAUAAUAUAUCAGGGACAUAUAUGAUGAUCCUUGAGAUAUUCGCGAUGUUUGACACCACAAAAGUAGAAAUCAAGAAGGAGCAUCAAUUGUUGAUGGUUGGUGAAACCACUAGUUUCAAGAAGGGCAAGGGCAAGAAGGGAUACUUCAUGAAAUGGCAAUUCAGCUGCUGCUCUAGUGAAGAAACCCAAGGUUGAACCCAAACCCGAGACUAAGUGCUUCUGUAAUAAGGGAAACAACCACUGGAGCAGAAUUACCCUAGAUACUUGGUAGAUGAGAAGGCUGGCAAAGUCGAUAGAAGUAUAUUGGAUAUACAUUGUGUUAAUGUGUACUUUACUAGUACUCCUAGUAGCACCAUGGUAUUAGAUACCGGUUCGGAUGCUAAAUGUUAGUAAACUCGAAAUAAAAGGCUGCAGAGUAAACGGAGACUAGCCAAAGGUGAGCUGGCAAAAUGUGUUGGAAGUUUUUCCAAGCUUGAUGUCAUCAAGCAUCGCACGCUCCCUCUACCAUCGAGAUCGGUGUUUGCGUUGAGCAUAGACAUGAUUGGAUUAUGUCUAUCGCAAUACGGUUAUUCAUUUAAGGAGAAUAAUGGUUACUCUGUUUAUUUGAAUAAUACCUUCAAUGGUCUUGCACCUAAAAUGAAUGGUUUAUUGAAUCUCGAUCGUAGUGAUACACAUGUUCAUGCCAGAAGAUAUAAGAUAGUAAUGAUAGUACCACCUACUUGUGGCACUGCCAUGUAAGUCAUAUCGGUAUAAAACGCAUGAAGAAGCUCCAUGUUGAUGGAUCUUUGGGCUCACUCGUUUUUGAAAAGUUUGAGACAUGCGAACCAUGUCUAUUGGUGUAUAUGCAUGAAGAAACUCCAUGCAAAUGGACCGUUUGGACUCACUCGAUUUUGAAUCACUUGAGACAUGCAAAUCAUACCACAUGGGCAAGAUGACUGAAAGCCUCGUUUUCAGUAAAAUGGAACUAGAAAGAAACUUGUUGGAAGUAAUACAUUUUGAUGUGUGCAGUCCAAUGAGUGCUGAGGCAUGUAGUGGAUUUCAUUAUGUUCUUACUUCACAGAUGAUUUGAGUAGAUACUGAGUAUAUUUACUUGAUGAAACAUAAGUCUGAAUUAUUGAAAGGUUCAAGUAAUUUCAGAGUGAAGUUGAACAUCGUCGUGACAAGAGGAUAAAAUGUCUAUGAUAUGAUCGUAGAGAUGAAUAUCUGAAUUACGAGUUUGGCACAAAAUUAAGACAUUAUGGAAAUUGUUUCACAACUAAUACAGUCUGGAACACCACAGUGUGAUGGUGUGUCCGAAUAUCAUAACUGCACCCUAUUGGAUAUGAUGCAUACCAUGAUGUCUCUUAUCAAAUUACCACGAUAGUUUAUGGGUUAGGCAUUAGAGACAACCACAUUCACUUUAAAUAGGGCACCACGUAAUUCCGAUGAGAUGACACCGUAUGAACUAUGGUUUAGAGAAACCUAAGCUGUCAUUUCUUAAAAGUUUGGGGCUGCGACGCUUAUGUGAAAAAGUUUUAGGCUGAUAAGCUCGAACCCAAAGCGGAUAAAUGCAUCUUCAUAGGACACCCAAAAUAGUUGGGUAUACCUCCUGUCUCAGAUCCGAAAGCAAUAAGGGAUUGUUUCUAGAAUCGAGUCCUUUCUCGAGGAAAGGUUUCUCUCGAAAGAAUUGAGUGUGAUGAUGGUGGAGAUUUGAUGAGGUUAUUGAACUGUCUCUUCAACUAGUGUGUGGCAGGGCACAGGGAGUUGUUCCUGUGGCACCUACACCAAUUGAAGUGGAAGCUUAUGAUAGUGAUCAUGAAACUUCAGAUCAAGUCACUACCAAACCUCGUGGGAUGACAAGGAUGCGUACUACUUCAGAGUGGUACGUAAUCCUAUCUUGGAAGUCAUGUUGCUAGACAACAAUGAACCUACAAGCUAUGGAGAAGCAAUGGUGGGCCUGGAUUCCAAAAUGGCUCGAAGCCAUAUAAUCCGAGAGAGGAUCCAUCUAUGAAAACAAAGUGUAGACUUUGGAAGAACUACUUGAUGGUCGUAAGGCUGUUAGGUACAUAGGGAUUUUAAAAGGAAGACGGACAAUGAUAGUAAGUAUCACCAUUAAGAAAGCUUGACUUGUCGUUAAGAUGUUUUCCGACAAGUUCAAGGAGUUGACUACGAUGAGACUUUCUCACUCGUAGCGAUGCUAAGAGUCUGUUGGAAUUAUAUUAGCGAUUACUGCAUUAUUUAUGAAAUCUUGCAGAUAGGAUAUCAAAACAUUGUUUCCUCGAUGUUUUUUUGAGGAAAGGUUGUAUGUGAUACAACCAGAAGGUUUUGUCAAUCCUGAAAGAUGCUAACAAGUAUGCAAAGCUCCAGCAAUCCUUCUAAGGACUGGAGUAAGCAUCUCGGAGUUGGAAUGUAUGCUUUGAUGAGAUGAUCAAAGUUUUGGGUGUAUACAAAGUUUAUGAGAAACUUGUAUUUCCAAAGAAGUGAGUGGGAGCACUAUAGAAUUUCUGAUGAGUAUAUGUUGUUAACAUAUUGUUGAUCGGAAAUGAUGUAGAAUUUCUGGAAAGCAUGCAGAGUUAUUUGAAAAGUGUUUUUCAAUGGAAAGCCUGGAUUAAGCUACUUGAACAUUGAGCAUGAAGAUCUAUAAGGAUAGAUCAAAACGCUUAAUGGUAAUUUCAAAUGAGCACAUACCUUGACAUGAUCUUGAAGGUGUUCAAGAUGGAUCAGUCAAAGAAGGAGUUCUUGCCUGAGUUGUAAGGUAUGAAGUUAAGACUUAAAGCUCGACCACGGAAGAAGAAAGAGGAAGGACGAAGGUCGUCCCCUAUGCUUUUGUCAUAGGCUCUCUACAGUAUGCUAUGUUGUGUGCCGCACUUGAAGUGUGCCUUGCCAUGAGUCAGUCAAGGGGUACAAGAGUGAUCCAAGAAUGGAUCACAAGACAACGGUCAAAGUUAUCCUUAGUAACUAGUGGACUAAGGAAUUUUCUCGAUUAUGGAGGUGGUAAAAGAGUUCGUCGUAAAGGGUUACGCCGAUGCAAACUUUGACACUAAUCUAGAUUAUUCUGAGUAGUAGACUGGAUUCGUAUAGUAGAACAGUUAUUUGGAAUAGCUCCAAAUAGAACGUGGUAGCUGCAUCUAGGAGAUGACAUAGAGAUUUGUAAAGCACACACGGAUCUGAAAGAUUCAGACCCGUUGACUAUAACAUCUCUCACAAGCAUAACAUGAUCAAACCCAGAACUCAUCGAGUGUUAAUCACAUGGUAAUGUGAACUAGAUUAUUGACUCUAGUAAACUCUUUGGGUGUUAGUCACAUGGGGAUGUGACCUUGAGUGUUUAUCACAUAUCGAUGUGAACUGGAUUAUUGACUCUAGUGCAAGUGGGAGACUGUUGGAAAUAUGCCCUAGAGGAAAUAAUAAAUUUAUUAUUAUUAUAUUUCCUUGUUCAUGAUAAUCGUUUAUUAUCCAUGCUAGAAUUGUAUUGAUAGGAAACUCAGAUACAUGUGUGGAUACAUAGACAACACCAUGUCCCUAGUAAGCCUCUAGUUGACUAGCUCGUUGAUCAAUAGAUGGUUACAGUUUCCUAACCAUGGACAUUGGAUGUCAUUGAUAACGGGAUCACAUCAUUAGGAGAAUGAUGUGAUGGACAAGACCCAAUCCUAAGCCUAGCACAAGAUCAUGUAGUUCGUAUGCUAAAGCUUUUCUAAUGUCAAGUAUCAUUUCCUUAGACCAUGAGAUUGUGCAACUCUCGGAUACCGUAGGAGUGCUUUGGGUGUGCCAAAUGUCACAACGUAACUGGGUGGCUAUGAAGGUACACUACAAGUAUCUCCAAAAGUGUCUGUUGGGUUGGCACGAAUCGAGACUGGGAUUUGUCACUCCGUGUAAACGGAGAGGUAUCUCUGGGCCCACUCGAUAGGACAUCAUCAUAAUGUGCACAAUGUGACCAAGGAGUUGAUCACGGGAUGAUGUGUUACGGAACGAGUAAAGAGACUUGCCGGUAACGAGAUUGAACAAGGUAUCGGCAUACCGACGAUCGAAUCUCGGGCAAGUAUCGUACCGAUGGACAAAGGGAAUUGCAUACGGGAUUAAUUAAGUCCUUGACAUCGUGGUUCAUCCGAUGAGAUCAUCGUGGAACAUGUGGGAGCCAACAUGGGUAUCCAGAUCCCGCUGUUGGUUAUUGACCGGAGAGUCAUCUCGGUCAUGUUUGCAUGUCUCCCGAACCCGUAGGGUCUACACACUUAAGGUUCGAUGACGCUAGGGUUAUAAAGGAAGUUUGUAUGUGGUUACCGAAUGUUGUUCGGAGUCCCGGAUGAGAUCCCGGACGUCAUGAGGAGUUCCGGAAUGGUCCGGAGGUAAAGAUUUAUAUAUAGGAAGUCCUGUUUUGGUCACCGGAAAAGUUUCGGGUUUUAUUGGUAACGUACCGGGACCACCGACAGGGUCCCGGGGGUCCACCAAGUGGGGCCACAAGCCCCGGAGGGCUGCAUGGGCCAAGUGUGGGAGGGGACCAGCCCCAGGUGGGCUGGUGCGCCCCCCCACCAAGGCCCAAGGCGCAAGGAAGAGGGGAAGGGGGCAAACCCUAGGGCAGAUGGGCCCUAAGGCCCACCCUAGUGCGCCUCCCCCUCUCCCCUCCCCUUGGCCGCCCCUAGAUGGGAUCUAGGGGGCUGCCGCCACCCCUAGGGAGGGAACCCUAGGUGGGGGCGCAGCCCCUCCCCUCCCCCUAUAUAUAGUUGAGGUUUGGGCUGCCCAAUACACAUGAGUUCCUCUCUUUCUUGGCGCAGCCCUAUCCCUCUCUUUCUCCUCAUAUCUCGUAGUGCUUGGCGAAGCCCUGCUGGAUCACCAUGCUCCUCCAUCACCACCACGCCAUUGUGCUACUGCUGGAUGGAGUCUUCCUCAACCUCUCCCUCUCUCCUUGCUGGAUCAAGGCAUGGGAGACGUCAUCGGGCUGUACGUGUGUUGAACGCGGAGGUGCCGUCCGUUCGGCACUAGGAUCUCCGGUGAUUUGGAUCACGAUGAGUACGACUCCUUCAACCCCGCACUACUAGGAAAAGGCCUACUAAUGGCGCACCAGUUUUGCCUACUAAUGGCGCAUCACUGGUGCGCCAUUACUAGCACGCCAUUAGUAAUUUUUACUAAUGGCGCACCACUGGUGCGCCAUUAGUAUCUGGUAUACUAAUGGCGCACCACUGGUGCGCCAUUAGUAUAGGCCACAGGUGCACCAUUAGUAUACCAGAUACUAAUGGCGCACCGCGUGGUGCGCCAUUAGUAUACCAUUCGGUGCUCCACUGGUAUUCCCUCCAGGUGCGCCACUAAUAACCUUAUAGGUGCGCCACUAGUAAUAAAGGAAGGUGCGCCACUAAUAAGGGCUUAAAUGCGCCACUACUAAUGUAUUUGGAAAACAAAAAAAAAUCUAAAUUUACAGAAAAAAACCUAUAAGGAAAAAUAAUUUAAAAACAAAAAAUGAAAUAGAAUCAUAAUUUUUAUUAUAGUAAGAAUAUUACAAUGUCUUUACAAGUUUCCAAUAAAAGGGAAAUUGCAAGGAAAUAAAAAAAAUCCUAAAGCUAAUCUUCUAGUAAUCUUCUCUUCUUUUUCUUCACUUUAUCCCUGCAAAAUGUAACAAAAUAAACACAAACACAAACAAACUAUUUAUAACAUGUCAAUACUGUCAUUUUUUCAGACCAAGUAACUAACAACUUCAGUGAGACAGGCACAGUGCAGUGUGAAUUUCAAUUGGCUAAAUCAUAUAUAGAAAUCAGUAUCUUCUCUAUGAACCUGAAACUGAGAUGACUGGACUAAUUUUGCACAUUUGAUUUAUGAAUUUAUUCUUCUUCGACAACCAACUAAACUUCGGAUCACCUACUAAGCAUCUGUACAUACUACAUAGGCUGAUUAAUCCAACAGCCACAAUGCAAAUAUUGACUAUUUCCAUUCAACUUCUUCACUUACUCAUUAUUAUCUAAUGAAACCAUUCGUAACUAAUGAAGCAGAUUGGCUAAAGUUAUUAUCAAGUCCUAAGUCCUAAUUGAAGCAGAUCUGCUAGGGUUCUUCUCGCUAGCCCCUCAUGGCCAACCGUUUCGGAACAGGCAGGCAGAGCUGCUUGGCCGGUGGCUAGGGAGUCGCUGGUGAUGUUGGGCAUCUCACACGAGCACCUGGCUAUUUGAGGAAACCGAAAUAGUAGCAUAAACAAGAUUGAUUCCGAGGAAAUGAUAGAACCUAUUCUAUCAAAGUGCUACUCCCCCCGUUCCAUAAUUCCAGUCGUGGUUUUUUAACUAAAACCAUGAAGAGAACUAUGGAAUGGAGGGAGUAGAAAACAAUAGCAUGCUUAAAAUUCUACCAUACACAGCAGCAACAGACAUUACACAAGCAUUUAUUUAUUUAUUGCAUUUGGCACAAGUUAAAAAUUCUCACAAGCAGAGGCGGUCCUAUCAGACAAAAAGAACAUGGACCGCUCAUUACAAAGCACUUCUACUGCAGUAUCAUGGAGUAGGAAAAGGGGCUUAAGCAGCAAAGAAGUAUAAUAAGAGAAAAAAACACUAUGGCGGCUGGAACUAGAAGAGCACCAUCACAGGUUCGAAACAUCACCAUGGAGUCGAUGGCCGGCAUAGCCCAUGGCAGGGCUGGAUGGGCAGCAUAAUAACACAAUAAAAGUUUGAUGUAUACUUAUUCGUUUGAAAAGAUGCAAGCUUAUUUACACCCUAGGACUGUUGAUUAGGGUCUGGAUGGUAUUUUUGUUCCUUGCGUAAGUAAGAGAAGGACUAGCAUCCAUAGUAGAAAGAAGGGUAAACAUACAUAAAGGAAAGUUUUUAUAGCGUCACGACCGAAAGAGGCUACGUGCGGCUGGGUGAAAUGGACAAGGUUUCAUGUAUGCAAUAUAUUAUAGAAAAAUAAGUGUUGACAGAAAAUGAAAGAUUUCCUGUCAAACAAACAGAGCUUCAUUUUGUAACAUUUCUGACCCACAUGAUAAUUGUACAACAUAGUAGAGGAGACCACUGUACAUACAUGUGUUGAAUGAAGCAGACUAAGAAAUAUUGGGUGGGUAUAAAGAAUACAAUAGUACGGUAGCUGAUGUAAACAAGUGCAGAGUUGCAUCCACAGAAUAGGUAACAAAUUAAAUAGCCCUGGUGCCAACAGUAGAGUUCGUGUAUCCAAUCCAUCCUUUGUUUAACACAGCAGCUCCAACUCUUGUGUAACAAAUUAAGUUUGGCAUGGGCACACAUAAAGCACUGACAUUUUCAUGGCUCGAUGGCCGUGGGCUAAGGGAGCAGAGGAGGAGGUGCGGCUCACCUCACAUGGCGGCGGAACCGAGGGAUGAAGGUGCGGCGCACCGGAGCAGGCAGAGGUGCCUUGUGUUGGCCAAACACGUGGCCAGCAGCAGAGAAGCGCUUCUCUUGCUCGACGGAUGUUGGGUGUGUGUGAGGCGUGCUCCUGCCUGCCUGCCUGCGUGAGGAACGGGAGGACCAUUAGAGAAGAGAAGGGAAGGGAAGAAGAGCAGGUAGAGGAUGGCAAGGGGAGAGGAGGGAAUCAAAAUCAAAGAUGAGAAGAUGACCUUGAGGAGGAGCAGGGGAAGAGCGGAGCAGCAGAAACAGAGGCCUUCCUCUCCCGGUGGUGAGGACCGAGGCGACCUCCGUCACGGCCUAGCCAGGUCGACGACUCUGGCGACCGUGGCUGCCAGAUCCGGUGUCACCAUGGCCGGCCUCCUCCUGUGGUGCCUGCUAGGUCGCCAUGGCCGCGGGCUCCUUGUCCGUGGCGGCUGGAUCUGGGGCCUUGGGGUGGCGGGGAGCUCCUCCUCCUGCAGCUCGGCGGCCUCCACACCCCGGAGCAACGCCGUCGCCGGAGGACGUGGUCACCUGCUCUCCUCUGGAUCCGGUGAGGAGGGUUGGGGAAGGAGCUCACCACGGCUCCAUGCCCUGGAUCUGGUGUGAGGGAGGGGGAAGGGAGCUCGCCGUGGUCAGGAGGGAGAGGAAGAGGCGGGCGGCCGGGGCUUCCCGAUCUAAAUCAAAGUCGAGGGAGGUGGGUGGGUGUGUCAGGAGGAAGGUGAGGGGGAGAGAACGUGACAAGAUGGAGGGGAUAAGGGGUGAUAGCAAUGGCGCACUGGUAGGGGUGCGCCAUACGUAUAGAUAGCAAUGGCGCAUCUCUUACUGGUGCGCCAUUACUAGUUUAAACUAGUAAUGGUGCACGGUGGAACAGUGCGCUAUUAGUAGUUUUGCAAAAAAAAGUAAUAAAAAUAUAAUAAAAAAACAACAUUAGUGGCGCACUUUUCGACAGGUGCGCCAUUACUAGUUACAACUAGUAAUGGCGCACUGUGUCUGGAUGCGCCAUUAGUAUGUUUGGACAGGCGCACUAGUUCAAAAAAAAUUGAUACUAAUGGCGCACCCUGGGCCAGGUGCGCCAUUAGUAGUUUCAACUCUAAUGGCGUAUCAGAAGGUGGUGCGCCAUUAGUAUAUACCCUUGUAGAGGACUUAGGACUUGAUAAUAACUUUAGCCAAUCUGCUUCAUUAGUUACGAAUGGUUUCAUUAGAUAAUAAUGAGUAAGUGAAGAAGUUGAAUGGAAAUAGUCAAUAUUUGCAUUGUGGCUGUUGGAUUAAUCAGCCUAUGUAGUAUGUACAGAUGCUUAGAAGGUGAUCCGAAGUUGGAGAGGUCGGGGAUGAGCUGAUGCGGCGGGGGUGGUGAAGGGGAUCUCUGGUGGCCGGAGUUGAGGACGAGCUCGGUGCAGCGUCUCCGAGGCGAGCAAGCGCUCGGGCGCGGCCUACUCGAUGUAGUCGAUGGCGGCGGAGCUCGUGGACACGAUGGCGCGGCGCGAGGACGACGGAAGGCACGGCUACGACGACGGUGCGGCGACAGAAGUGUCGGCCAUGGUGGGGAACGGCGAAGGGAUAGAGACAGGGGGGAAAUGGCGUGUCCAGGGGCUUCGGGGUGCGACGUGGAGGCGUCCAGGCGUCUAGGGGCGCGGGCGGCAAGCAGGUGACGCCGUGGUGAGCUCGGGCACGCCGGAGUCACCUCCCUGCCUGCGUGGCGGGGAAGAAGCAGCUGGCUGGCGCGAGCCAGCACAGUGCUGGGCCGCCUGGUGGGCCGGCGGGUGAGAUAGCUGGGCCGCGCCAGGUAAGCUUCUCUCUCUCUCUCUCUUUCUUAUUUGUUUUCUUUUUCUAUUUUUCUGCAACUGUUGGGCUUUAUUAAAAAUACCUAGACAUCUUUAAAAAUCCUGAAAAUAAUCAGGGGCUCUGUUUAGAUUAUUCCCAACAGCCCACACUUAUUUCUAGAAUUAUUUGAGCAUUUAAAUUAUUUUAUAGCAUUUAAAUGCCCAAAUUCAAAUACUUAUGAUUUAAUUCAAGAAAAUCCAGAAUGUCCUAGAAAAGAGUGCACCAUUUUUGCCAGGGGUUUUAGCCCAAUCCAGAAAUGAUGAACAUUUUGUGAAAGGCAUUUUGGGUUCAUUGAAAAUAAUUUUAGUAAACCCUAGUUGUUUCCAGGGGGUGCUGGGGGUUCUGUCAUCCCCAUUUCAAAUUUAAAAGGAAUUUAAACAUGAUGCACACUCUAAUGCUUGAACUAGCUAGGGUGUGACACUAAGCAACCCGGCAACGACAUAGAUGUGUACCUAAGGCCAUUAGUUGAAGAACUCUUACAACUGUGGAAUGGAACAGGUGUACGUGCGUGGGAUGAGCACAUGGGGAAAGAAUUUGACCUAAAGGCGUUGUUGUUCGUGACCAUCAAUGAUUGGCCUGCUCUCACUAACCUUUUAGGACAGACAAACAAGGGAUACCGCGCAUGCACGCACUGUUUGGACGAUGCCGACAGUAUAUAUUUGGCUAAAUGUAAGAAGAAUGUGUACCUGGGACAUCAUCGAUUUCUUCCGAGCAGGCAUCCCGUAAGAAAGAAAGGCAAGCAUUUCAAAGGUGAGGCGGAUCACCGGACGAAGCCUCGCCACCGUACUGGUGCUGAUGUACAUGAUAUGGUCAACGAUUUGAAGGUGGUCUUUGGAAAGGGUCCUGGUGGACAACCUAUUCCGAAUGACGCUGACGGACGCGCACCCAUGUGGAAGAAGAAAUCUAUAUUUUGGGACCUGCCCUAUUGGAAAGACCUAGAGGUCCGCUCCGCAAUCGACGUGAUGCACGUGACGAAAAUCUUUGUGUGACCCUGCUUGGCUUCUUGGGCGUGUAUGGGAAGACAAAAGAUACACCUGAGGCACGGGAGGACCAACAAUGUAUGCACGGAAAAGAUGGCAUACAUCAGGGUCAUGCAAGCUACGCUCUUACCAAAGAAGAGAAGGAAAUCUUCUUUGAAUGCCUGCUCAGUAUUAAGGUACCGUCUGGCUUCUCGUCUAAUAUAAAGGGAAUAAUAAACAUGGCAGACAAAAGUUCCAGAACCUAAAGUCUCAUGACUGCCACGUGAUUAUGGCGCAACUGCUUCCGGUUGCAUUGAGGGGGCUUCUACCAGAAAACGUUCGAUUAGCCAUUGUGAAGCUAUGUGCAUUUCUCAAUGCAAUCUCUCAGAAGGUAAUCGAUCCAGAAAUAAUACCAAGGUUAGAGAAUUAUUUGGUGCAAUGUCUUGUCAGUUUCGAGUUGGUGUUCCCACCAUCCUUCUUCAACAUCAUGACGCACGUCCUAGUUCACCUAUGCGAAGAGAUUAACGUUUUGGGUCAUGUAUUUCUACACAAUAUGUUCCCCUUUGAGAGGUUCAUGGGAGUCUUAAAGAAAUAUGUUCAUAACCGUGCUAGGCCAGAAGGAAGCAUCUCCAAGGCCAUGAAAAUGAGGAGGUCAUUGAGUUUUGUAUUGACUUUAUUCCUGACCUUAAGCCGAUUGGUGUUCCUGAAUCGCGGCAUAAGGGCAGACUGGAUGGAAAAGGCACGCUAGGAGGGGAACAAAUAAUAUGUAUGUACGGACAUUCUCUCACUGAAGCACACUACACAGUUCUACAGAAUUCCGCCUUGGUGGCUCCAUAUAUGGAUGAACACAAGAAUUUGCUACGCUCCAAACACCCGGAGCGGUCUGAUGACUGGAUUACACGUGAACAAACCAGAAGUUUCGCCAGCUGGUUGCAGACACGUACCAUGCAUGACACCUCUAUUGAAGAUGACCUGUACUUGCUGUCCCAGUUACCAUCUUCGAAUAUAAUGACUUUCAAAGGGUACCAGAUAAAUGGUAAUACAUUUUACACGAUCGCCCAAGAUAAGAAGAGCACCAACCAAAACAGUGGUGUCUACUUUGAUGCAGAAACCAAGACGGGAAAGGAAACAUAUUAUGGUUAUAUACCGGACAUAUGGGAACUUGACUAUCGACGUGGUUUAAAGGUCCCUUUGUUUCGGUGCAAAUGGGUCAAUAUGACACGAGGCGGGGUAACGGAAGACCCGCAGUACGGAAUGACAACAGUGGAUCUCAACAAUCUUGCGUAUGCAGACGAACCAUUCGUCCUAGCCAAUGAUGUGGCACAGGUUUUCUAUGUGAAGGACAUGUCUACCAAGCCAAGAAAAAGAAAAGAUAAGGAAGCGAAUGCAUCGUACGAUGAGCCAAAGCGGCACAUAGUUCUUUCUAGGAAGAGAAACAUCGUGGGAGUGGAUGACAAGACAGACAUGUCAGAAGAUUAUGAAAAGUUUGAUGAAAUUGCUCCAUUCACAGUGAAUAUUGACCCGAGCAUCCCGUUAAAUGAUGAAGAUUUUCCAUGGUUACGGCGCAAAGGGACGCACGCGAAGAAAAAGUUUCACACCCAAAGAUCUGGGAUGUGAUCGGCUUCACUAUCAUCACUUUCUUCUGUGUUUCACACCCAGGAGGGAAUCUCUGUAAUAGUUAGGGUAGUUAUGUGUUUUGGCAUUUGAAACGCGAAGAAAUUUUAUGUGCAAACAAAUUCUUUCAUGCCUUUACUGAUUUUUAAAGUUAAGUUAUUCACAAACUAGUGAUUCACACUAAUUUCAAAUAAUUCAAAAUUUAAACUAUUCAAAUUUGAAAACUACAGGCACUAACAGAAAGUUUGUAAUUUUUUGUACCUAAAGCAAAAAUUGAAGGAAAUAUGCCCUAGAGGCAAUAAUAAAGUUAUUAUUUAUUUCCUUAUAUCAUGAUAAAUGUUUAUUAUUCAUGCUAGAAUUGUAUUAACCGGAAACAUAAUACAUGUGUGAAUACAUAGACAAACAGAGUGUCACUAGUAUGCCUCUACUUGACUAGCUCGUUAAUCAAAGAUGGUUAUGUUUCCUAACCAUGGACAAAGAGUUGUUAUUUGAUUAACGGGAUCACAUCAUUAGGUGAAUGAUCUGAUUGACAUGACCCAUUCCAUUAGCUUAGCACCCGAUCGUUUAGUAUGUUGCUAUUGCUUUCUUCAUGACUUAUACAUGUUCCUAUGACUAUGAGAUUAUGCAACUCCCGUUUGCCGGAGGAACACUUUGUGUGCUACCAAACGUCACAACAUAACUGGGUGAUUAUAAAGGUGCUCUACAGGUGUCUCCAAAGGUACAUGUUGGGUUGGCGUAUUUCGAGAUUAGGAUUUGUCACUCCGAUCGUCGGAGAGGUAUCUCUGGGCCCUCUAAUGCACAUCACUUAAGCCUUGCAAGCAUUGCAGCUAAUGAGUUAGUUGCGGGAUGAUGUAUUACGGAACGAGUAAAGAGACUUGCCGGUAAUGAGAUUGAACUAGGUAUUGGAUACCGACGAUCGAAUCUCGGGCAAGUAACAUACCGAUGACAAAGGGAACAACGUAUGUUGUUAUGCGGUCUGACCGAUAAAAGAUCUUCGUAGAAUAUGUAGGAACCAAUAUGGGCAUCAAGGUCCCGCUAUUGGUUAUUGACCGGAGACGUGUCUCGGUCAUGUCUACAUUGUUCUCGAACCCGUAGGGUCCGCACGCUUAAGGUUUCGAUGACAGUUAUAUUAUGAGUUUAUGAGUUUUGAUGUACCAAAGGAGUUCGGAGUCCCGGCUGAGAUUGGGGACAUGACGAGGAGUCUCGAAAUGGUCGAGACGUAAAAAUCGAUAUAUUGGACGACUAUAUUCGGACAUCGGAAAGGUUCCGAGUGAUUCGAGUAUUUUUCGGAGUACCGGAGAGUUACGGGAAUUCGCCGGGAGAAGUAUUGGGCCUUAUUGGGCCAUACGGGAAAGAGAGAGGGGCUGCCUAGGGUAGGCCGCGCGCCCCCCAAGGCCUAGUCCGAAUUGGACUAGGGGGAGGGGCUGCGCCCCUUCCUUGUUUCCUACUCCUACUACAUGGAAGGACUCCUACUUGGACUAGGAAAGGGGGAAUCCUACUCCCGGUGAGAGUAGGACUUCUCUAGGCGCGCCAUAGAGAGGGCCGGCCCUCCCCUCCUGCACUCCUUGAUAUACGGGGGCAGGGGGCACCCCAUAGACACACAAGUUGAUCCACGUGAUCAUAUUCUUAGCCGUGUGCGGUGCCCCCUUCCACUAUAGUCCUCGAUAAUAUUGUAGCAGUGCUUAGGCGAAGCCCUGCGACAGUAGUACAUCAAGAUCGUCACCACGCCGUCGUGCUGACGGAACUCUUGCCCGACACUUUGCUGGAUCGGAGUCCGGGGAUCGUCAUCGAGCUGAACGUGUGCUAGAACUCGGAGGUGCCGUAGUUUCAGUGCUUGAUCGUCGGGCCGUGAAGACGUACGACUACAUCAACCGCGUUGUCAUAACGCUUUUGCUAUCGGUCUACAAGGGUACGUAGAUCACACUCUCCCCUCUCGUUGCUAUGCAUCACCAUGAUCUUGCGUGUGCGUAGGAAAUUUUUUGAAAUUACUACGUUCCCCAACAGUGGCAUCCGAGCCUAGGUUUUAUGCGUUGAUGUAAUAUGCACGAGUAGAACACAAGUGAGUUGUGGGCGAUAUAAGUCAUACUGCUUACCAGCAUGUCACAGUUUGGUUCGGCGGUAUUGUUGGAUGAAGCGGCCCGGACCGACAUUACGCGUACGCUUAUGCGAGACUGGUUCUACCGACGUGCUUUGCACACAGGUGGCUGGCGGGUGUCAGUUUCUCCAACUUUAGUUGAACCGAGUGUGGCUACGCCCGGUCCUUGCGAAGGUUAAAACAACACCAACUUGACAAACUAUCGUUGUGGUUUUUGAUGCGUAGGUAAGAACGGUUCUUGCUAAGCCCGUAGCAGCCACGUAAAACUUGCAACAACAAA